rnacentral:lncRNA from 1 species
CAGGCCUGGGUUUCCCUCGCGCCCGAAAGGAAAACGAAUUUUAUUGAUCUAUGACUCCAAAAAAAAAAAAAUCCAUAACUAUGUUUUUUUGUAUCUCGUGUUCAAAGGGAAUAAUUUAUUUCUUUUAAUUUAAUAUAUUACUAUUCUUGAAAGUUAACGUUAGUCUCUCUUUCAUUUAUGCUUGGUGGGAGACACAGGAAGGCAGCAACUACUAAAAACAAGAAAGCCAAGACAAGACAAAACAAGAGCUAUGAAGUACAAACCCUGAAAUGUAUAAAUUAACUGGUCAAGUUCUAGGUUUGCUUUCUAAAGAUUACCAGUUCAAGUCCCAUAAAUUUCAAGGUCAGUGAAAGCUUCUAUGAUCGUUAACUUCAGGGUUCAUAAAAAUAAUCAAGGUGUACACAAGUUGAUCCAAAUAUCCAUAUUAAAAAAAAAAAAAAAAAAAAACAAAGCCACUAACACCAUGCAUCGAUCGAUCACUCACCACCUUCCCUCGUAUCCUUAGAGUAGCUUAUCAGUUAAGCCUAUUCCAUCAACCUCAAAAUUAUUUUUCUUACAAUAUUAUAAAAUUAUCCAUGGUGGUGAUGAUGAUGUAAGGUCCCCAGUUGAAAAUCCAAUACUACUCUUCGGCAUUGCUUUAAGAUACCAGCAGCUCCCUCAUCGAUCAAGUAAAAAGGUAACAGGAGAUGUCCAUGGUUACCCCAUGAAGAAUAAUAACACCUCCACUAAAAUUAACCAACAAUUUCCAUUGCAGCAAUAUCAACACCAAUUUGUAUACAACUCUCUUUAUAUAUAUAUAUAAAUUAAAUUUUUAACCGUUUCAACUAAUCCAUGAAAGUAUUGUAUAUCUGUUAUUGUAAUGUAUGGUUUUUUUAAAAAAAUUAUAUCAACAUAUUAAAAUAAUCUAAAAAUACUAAAAAAUUAUCAAUUUAAUAUUCUUUCAAAUAAAAUAUACUCAAACCCGGUAACAAAUAUAUAAUGCAAGAAAACAGGAGGAGAACAACAAAAAGGAAAUAAUAAAGCAAAGGACCUCUUUCCUUCGCCAACUUCUGGUGUACAUGUUGCGACCUCUCCCCACCCUCUUAAAAAACACAAAACCCCAUUAAUUCAUAUACUAUAUUACUUAAUUAAAUUGUGAUUAAGCCCAUGGUUUGGCUCAGUGGCUCCCUCUGUUUUCAAAUCAAAAUUUACAAGCUUUCAACUUUCAUGGGGAUUGGAAUGGUCAAACCUCUUUAUAUACAUGUAUCUAUCGUUUCUUUUCAGGAUUGUGAUUCCAAUCCCUUUCUCACCUUUCUGCUGUCAAACAAGCAAAUCUUAAAUGAAAGAGAGAAAACUUAGAAGACAAUAUAUUAGUCAGCAAAGCAAACCCAUUUCAGAAGUUGUGGUGACUCUUUGUCUCUCUCUGCCGUGCGCUAAUUAAACCUUUAUUUGUUCUUAAUCUAAUUAAUUUAAUCACACCAAGAGCUUCUCCAACUCUGCUCUUCUGUCUCUAAGCUCACAUGGUGCUCCGUUCCGGAAUCUCUGUUAUUCUUACCACUAAACAAUCCAGUAAAGAAGACAUAAACAAUUCAUGGCAGUGCAAUUCCAGCUCAUGCAAUGUCUUUCGUUUUAUCAGCAGCUUUUACUAAAGAAUAAAUUGCAUCCUACUAAUUAAAAGUCCCAUUUGUCACAACUCGUUGGGAAAAAAAAAUUACAAUUCAAUUCAACGGCUAUAAAUGCUAUGGCAGAUAUAAUAAGUACAUGCCAAACUAAAAAAUCAUGCCAGUUGCUCGGAUCACAUUGGUAUUUAAAAUAAAAAAAAAACUUAAGGUAAUUUAAAAGUUUAUCUUUAAAAUUUUUAAUGAAAUAAUAUAUUUUUGUCUGGUCACGAUUCGUGAAACAUAAUGUUUAUUAAAUAUUAUUGUUUUUAAAUAUAAUAAAAUAGUUUUCGUAUUUCAGAAAAGAAAUAUUUAAACAAGUCAUGUUUUUUAAGAUCAACAACUAUCAACCAACCGAUUGAAUAUAGUUGUAUAAUUAAUUGAUCGUUUCACACAAAAAUCAUAAUUUUAUGAAUUUUUUUAAAUAUAUUUUAUGAGUAAAAAUAUACAAUAUUUGCCAAACUUGUAAACUAAAAAUCAAACGACAAUUAAAAUCUUAAAAAGUUAUUGUUCACACAAUAGUUCUCACGAGUAAUUCUAAGCAAUCAAGUGUGGGAUGUCAUGACUAGAUGAGGAUUUACUCCAGACAGAUUACGUGGAAGGCCUAACAUAUGUAUUUAUGGAUCAAUGGGACAAGUCUAGGCUCAGGAGGAGGUUUAGUCGUGUCAAACCAGAAUGAUGGUUCAAAAAAACCGUAACUUUUUAUCCGACCAUUGAAAUAUAUUUAAUUUUUUAUAUGAAUUUUCAGAGGUUUUUUUCUUAGAGUAGCUAUGGAAUCGUUGCUACAACCAUUGCAUAUUUAAAUUUCAAAAAUCUCGCACGGGAGCCGUGAUUUUGACAAUUUUAAUAAUUUUAUAAUUUUUUUUAUGAACCGGUUAACCAGUUUAACAAACAUGUUGACCGGUUAAUCCUAAAUUUAAAUAGAUAUUAUAAUUAUAAAUCCCAAUAUCAAUUAAAAUUUUUAUCACAGUUGCAACCCACAUUCAAGAAUAUGUUAUUCCACCCAAAAAAAAAAAAAACUCUACUAUGUAAUUUCACAAUUUAUUUAUAUAUUACUUGGUAAUGGUCCGAAUUAUCCAUCAAAAUGUAUCUUACAAGUAGACAAUCAACACUGCACAUGGCACAGAAAUUCUUUCUUGUUUUCUCGCAUGAACCAUGAAAAUAACCGAAACAUAGAUCCCAAGAAAAAUGCACUGAACCCUGAACAACCACAUUCUUUAGCCUUCACAUCCACAGAAAAAUACUUCGUUUUUAAUGCGUGGUUUAUAAAAUCUAGCCCGACAACAGAUCAGUUCGAUGAUUCGGUAAUUUAGAGUUUGAUUCAAAUUAAUUUUAUUUUAACCUGAAUUUUAUUGUUUUGUUUUGUUUUUUUAAAUGGCAUAGUUAAUUUAAAAUAAAAUAAAAAAUAAAAUUGAUCCUAAAUUAACUCGACAAAUUCAUCACCGAGCCCAAGCUUUCUGAUUUCAGCUAUCAACUAAAAUUAAUUGUUCCGUGAGAUUCUAAAAUUUAAGGUAUGUAAAUAAAAAAUUAUUUAUUAUUUGAAAUAAUGGUUAAUCAAUAUGUUAAUUGCUUAAAUUUCUUAUUUUUAAUUUAAGAAAUUUCAUACUUAUAAUAAAAAUUUAAGUACCUGCAAAAAUAUCUCAAUCAGAGGAUUUAAAGACGCUUCAAUGAUAAAGUCAAUAUAUUUAUAGAAAAAAUAUUAAAUGACUUAAAACAAUAAAUAACUUUAAAAAAACCUUAAAUUCAAGGAACAUAAAUAUUUGUUCUUGAGUUUUUAGUUAGUUAAUACUCUAAAAUUUAUAUAUCUUUAUCUUAAAAGAUGAAAAGUUCUAACUUUAUACCUGCAUAGUUCAGGAGAUAUUUAUACUCUUUGAACUUUGUCGUUUUCAGAGAAAAAAAUGACUGAAAAGUUCUCGUAUAGACAUGAUGGUUUAUCAUGUAUUUAAUAUUUUUAUUGUAGAGAAUCGUCCACGAUCAAGUAUAUAACCUUAAAACUUAGUAAUGUCUAAAUUCUUUGGAUCUGGUAUAUUUAUCAGAUCCACGUUAUCCUGGACGUGACUGAUUAUCGAGCCCAAGUAUUUUAAGUUUGGUAUGCUUGUCAAAUUCACGUCAUCUUAGAUUUAACUAUUACCAAGCCCGAGUAUUUUAAGUUUAGCAUACUUGUUUAAUUCAUUUUAUUCAAGAUGAUUUUGAAAAAACAAUUACUCUUUUUCAUUAACACCAUCGAAUUAACGGGUUUGCUACAAUUAUGAUAUCCUCGUUAAACCAUUGGAUUUAAAUCUUGAUAAAACGACGUGGCAACAAUACCAAUAUUGGUAAAUACUUUAUUCAUUAAACCAUUAGAUUUGAAUCUUGAGAUUUACCGGUGCCGGUUUUCUAGACUUCAUCUUGAAUCAAUCUCCUCAUUGACAAAGAUAUAAUUUGAACAUUGAAUCCAUUAUUGCUUCUCUUCCAAUCUAACUGGUGAUUAACUGACCCGAAAUCUUAAAUAAGAUGAGAAUUGACCCGGAAAAAUCCCGACAAGCCAACGACCAACACAGUUAGGUUCAAAGUACUUCCAAUCACUUGGCUAGAAGAAUUCUACUGAUGAUGAAUGACGAGUUCAAAGUUUUAAACACAAGAAGAACGAUUUUGUAGCAUAUGAUUUUUCACUUUCAUUUACAAAACAAGACUAUAAAUAAAAACAUCAAAUAAAAAACUAACAAUCUCGUAUCCAAAAUCAAGCAAUUUCAUUCUCUUUUGUAUUCACUAACAAAAUUUUCCUUUCGAUUUACAAGAACAAGAAAAUCUUUAAAUCUCUCUUGAAAAAAGAGAGAAAAAUUAUAUCAAUCAACCCAUAUUUGGAAACAUCAGAAGGGCAUGAUAUGAGUAGUCUUAGUAUCAUAACUAGAAAGACAAGAACUAAACUUAGAAUUCACCCUGAAAAUCUUCAACAAAUCACCAGACAUUUGCCUGACUACAGGUGAACAGUUACUUUGCAUUAACAACAGUAUCUUCGUCAAUCCGUUACUCUUCACUAAAGCAUCUUGUGCAUCACCGUCUCUAAACAAAUAACACACACUCCACAAUAUCAUCACCGCAUGCUCCGUCGCCUCGCUCGAAACUUUCAGCACUUUGUUCAUCACAGCCUCCACACACGCCGUGUCAUUGCAAAACUCCGCUCUCCCUUCUCUCAACGAUGUUACCAUUUCUAGCAACUUCAAUGCCUUUUCUAUGAUCGAAACGCUCGCUUUCUGCCCUCCGGUUAAUAACUUUCUUAACUCUGCAAUUACUUUGAAAUUGAUUAGGUUGGUCUUAACUCGUUUCGACAUAGAAAUCGCGAUUAAACAUGAUAAACUUGCUUCGAUCAAUCUUGGAUCAUUUUCUAAGCUGAUCAAUUUCACCAAUUCGAGCAAGAACCCUUCUUUCUCCGAGACCAUCUGUUUAGACUCUGCGUCGAGGGUUAUAGCUUCGAUUAUUUUAAGAGCUCCAAUUCGUGAACUCACGCUUCUUCCUUGUUUUAAGACAGCAAGGAGGGCAGACAAACAAUCAUUGUUUUGCUUCAGAAUCAACAACCUUAAAGCUUUGUAAUCUCCAACUUUGUUCAAAAUCAAAACAAAAACUUUAACAACUCGUUCGAGAAAAUUAAUGUCUUUAUCACCGACUAGAAAACCAACAAGCAUUUCAACAAAGCCAUCAAAUUUCGCCAAGAACUCGCAGUUCUCUUCGGAUUCUUUAGCGAAACAAAUGAAUUUCGACAAACGAUCAGUUUUAUCCUUCUUGGCUCUCAUUUCUUUAACCAAAACUUCAAUAUCUUCCCUCGUGACGACCGAGCUGGCGGCUGAGUCAACUCGGUUGUCUUUCUGAGUCUGGACCGAGUCGGACCAGAUCUUGAUGAGCCUCUGCAGAGUGCGGUUUGGCACAAACUCCUUGCUGUUGAGAACCUGCAUGGUGGCGGGACACGUGUUGUUGCCGCUAUCCAACCAGCGUUCGAUGCUGGUGCGGUCGUAGGUGACUCCAGUACAGAGACUGACAGGUGAUUUCAUAACGUCAAGUGAGAUUGGACACCUGAAGAAACUAGGGACUGUAACGUACAAAUCAACGUCUCUCACCAUUUUGUUUUUUACUUUUGGCUGUUUGGGCGCUGAGAAAGGUAGAGAAAAUGAGAGAGCAGGAAUGGGAAAGAGAGGGGAGGGGGUGGGUUUAAAAGAGAAACAGAGUCAAAGGUUCGGUGACGUCAGAUUUUGCUUUUUGAGUAUUUUUCAUUUAUAUAUAUAUAUAUAUAUAUAUAUGGCUUUUUAUUUUUGAGGUCUCUGGUCAAAGAGUGAGAUUGUUUUCUUUGCUUUGCGUGUGUUGUAGUUCAUUAGUGCGUGUGAGAUGGAGUUUUUAGAAAUUUCAACUCUAUUGAUUGGGCUAGAUUUUUUUAAAAAGGUUAAAAAGCCUAAAGAAUUAAAAACAGCAUAUUAAAUAGAAAAAAAGACCACAAAAAUUUUAUUGUGUGAUAAAAAAUAUAAAAACCGAUUUACUAUUAACUCAAUAUUGAAAUAUAAAAAUAAAUAAAAUCUCAUAUUAAUAAAAAAAUAAAAAUAAAAAUAAAAAAAAAACCAAAGAAACCUAAAGGAGAUAAACAUGUCAUGUUUAUUAAGGAUGAAAUUUUUUAAAAAAAAUAGACAAAAAACUCAAAUAUCCAAUUAAAAAAAAUCAUAGGUAUAUUAUGAAAUAGUCUAAGUGCAUGAGUCAGAGUUAAGCCCGUGCGUCUAGUUUUUAUUUUUAUUUUUUUCAUUUUAUAUGGAGCAAAGGACCUUGCUUUCUCUCUUUUCUAAAGGUUAUGUGACAGAUGCUGAUAACCAUUUGUAAUCCAAUAACUCAAGUUGUUAGAUGAGAUUACAAGAAUAAUUUUUUUAUUGUUUUUUAAUAUACUUUUUCAAAUAAAAGCUCUUUGAACUUGAAAUUUAUAUAAGUUAACAUUAUCUUGUGCUUAAUUUUUAUUAAUUAGAAUAAAAAUAAUGAAAUUUGAAUUCGUGACUACUUGAUCAAUAAAAUUUUGAUAUCAAAACUAAUUCAAUACAAUUAUUUUCAAGAAUUAUUUUAAACGAAUAACUUAAAUAAUCAUGUGAGGUAACAGAAAUAGUACUGGUAAUAAAAUUAUUAAACAAAUACUUCAACAUGUCAUCUCUUAAACAUGAAAUAUUUUGUUUUGACGGAGAUUUAAACACGCAACAUCUACUCUCACAUGUUAAUUAUUGAACUACAACACCUAGCAAGUAAUAAAACAAUUAAACAAAUAUUUUAACUUGGUUCAUUCUUUAUAUAAAGAGUUAAACCAACUCUCUGUAUUUUGUUUUUAGGUUUUGUUAAUUGAAUAGUCGAGGUCCAUUUAUUUCUUAAAAAAUGACCAUGGUAUGAAAUAUAAAAGGAUUGAUCCUCUUGGAAUGAGUUAAAGUGUAUCUAGGGAAAGUUUGCAUCUUCCAUACAGGAGUUAUAAAAUCUGAUUAGAGAAUCGAUUCGGAAUAAAACUCGCUAUGUGUUAUAAGAGUCAACUCUUGAUUUUUUUUAAAAAAUCUACGAGUCAAGAUCUAUACUGAUCAAGUUAAUGAAUCAACUUGAAUUUUCAAAUGAUUAAUCAAGUUUUUUUAUUUUUCAACUCAAAUCAAUUGGGAUCUCAAAUUAACCAAUUAAGUUGGUUCAAGUUUUAUAAUAAGUUCCAUAAGAUAAUAGUUCCAAAAGAAAAAAGAUUUUGUAACAUUAAUCUUUUUAGUCCAAGAAAUCUAUAUGAGAUUACAUCCAUAAGUAGGGGCGGAGCUGGCAGUAAUUAAUAGAGGAGACCAAAAUCAAUAUAAUAAGUUAUAUUAUAAAAAAACCUAUUUAUUUAAAAUAAAAAAUAUUAUAUAUUCCAUAUUUAAAUAUUAAAUAAUAAAAAAAUUAAAAUAUUUUGUAGGGCCGAGUCCUUGCUUGCCUCCCCCUAAUUCCACCCCUCCAUAAGAGUGAUAGAUUUCAUAUGUAGAUUUAUUUAAAAUCUUAAUUUCAUAUCUAUGGUAUAGUAUAAUAUUUUUCAUUGGAUACAUGAUUAAGUGUACACAUAACCUAUUGUCCUGCAAAAAAAAAAAAAAAAUCCACCAUUUACACAAACUAGUGAAAUACAUGCGCCAUUUCGUUAAGUAAUUGUUUAGCAAGUAAAAAAAAAAAUGCGUGCUUAUUUUAUGUUUUUGACCAUGAAAACUUAGAGGUUUAAUGAUUAAUUUCUUAGUUAGGCAUCAUGGUUAAAUCAUGUUUUUAAAAAGUUUUGAUUUUUUUAAUUUUAAAUUAUAUUUUAUUUUUUAAAAUAUUUUUAAUAUAUUGAUGUUAAAAAUAAAAUUUAGAAAAUAAAAAAAUAUUAUAUUAAUUCAUUUCUAAAUAGAAAAGUCAAAUUAUUUUAAUCUACAAAACUAAAAUUUUCUGUAUUUAUUACGAGACAAAUAACUUUGAUGAUGAGAUAUGAUGAACGGCUGGCAUGAGAGGAGAAGUACACGUGGGGAGGAGAGGAAGGAGGGCUCCAUGGAAAUAGAUGAGGAGGGGAACGUGAACUGUUGUUUCCUCGGUUUGAUUGCACUUUUGUACAUCAAGAGAAGAGAUGAUUUCGUGGAGGGGAACUUUUAUUGUUUUAUAUGGUCGGGGGUGGGGUUUUUUUAUCCUCAGCUCUAUUUUUUUUAGCGAUUUUUAUAAUUUUAAUAUUAAAAAUAAUUAAAAAAUUAUUUUAAUAAAUUUUUAAAUAAAAAUAUUUUUUAAAAACACCAUCUAUUACAAUAACAAACACAUAAUUAUUUAAUUAUCCCAUCUUCAUUUUGCCUUUCAUAGGUUUUUUUAUUAGUAUAAGUUGAAUUGUGUUUAAAUGAUGGGAUAAGUUACAUGUGGAACGUAGAAUAUUAAAUUGAUUCUUGAAUAUUUCAUUAAUCAGUCUCUGAAAUUCCACCCAGUUCAUAGCCCGUGACGGAUUGUUUUGGAUCAAUUAAACCAAUAUUUUUUUAUUAAAAAAAACUAAUUAAUUCAGAUUUUUAAUUAUACCAUAUUAAAUUUAUUUUUAAAUAUUUUUUUAAACUCGACUCAAAUUAAACUCGAAUUAACUUAUAAUAUUUAAUAUUUGUGGUUUUGACUUUAGAAUGUUACUCACCUUAUAAUAAAUAUAUAAGAAUUCAAAUUAAGUGAGGAUGGGUUAAGAAAUUUACAGCUGAACCUCACUUUAAGAUCAUUAUCCAACGAUGUGCUUUUAAUUUAAUUAUUUUUAAUUUAUAAAAAUCUUGAUAGUGUUAUUAUUGAAAAUAUUUUUGUAUACCUAUAAAGUAACGAAAAAGGUGAUGAAUGCUAUGACUUAACUCAUCCAUCUACGUGUAAAAUUAUUGUAUAUUGGAAAUAUACUAUAUAGUUUCUUAGACCGACACCUGAAAAGAAUUAUCAUCACCUUUUAUUUUCUUUCAUCAAUUAUAUAUAGAAUUAUUAUAGGUGAACGUCCGUGUGCAGUUGCAAGCUAGGGCUGAGAGCUCAUUAUUAUACCUCUAGGUAAGAGGCAUCAUUGCCAUAGCAAUAGCACCGAAAGAGUAAUCUAGCAGAGAGGCCACAGCAACUUUUUUUCUUUUCUCGAGAAAGUUUUGCGAUCAUGUUUUUUCCUGGGUAUCUUGAUAAUAUGGAAAGUGCCAUCAUUUUUUACUUCAAGCUUUUAGAGAAAUUCCCGGAUUGCUUGUGAUUAUUGCAUUAAUCCAGGGCGUGCGCACUUUAAUCAUGUGAAAUUCUUAGAUGUGACAAUCAUAGCUCCGAUUAUCUCUGGCAGGUGGUAAUUUUUUAUCUCGAAAUCUAAUUUAAUUUAGAUCUUUUUAAAUUAAGAUAAAUAUUGAUUUAUUUAAAUCUAAAUAACAUAAUAAACUUUGGCAACUCUUGGGAGUAAUCUUCUAAAUUUUUUAUUCUUUUUUAGAAAAUUAAAUUAAUAUUUUUUUAUUGUUUUGACUUUUUUUUUUGGAUUCGAGAAACCCCAUCUUCCAAAAACGUACUUUGUUAGUUCAGGUGAGCGAGUAAAACCCCGACUGUUCCGGACUCUUACAUAAUGUCAAAAACAAAAAGAAAUAUAAAAAAUAUUAUUUUAAUAUAUUUUCAAGUAAAAAAUACUCUUAGAAUCUCAAGCACAAUUUUUAUUAGAUUUAAUUUUUAUUUUUUUAUAUAAAAUAAUAUCAUUUUAAAAUAAAUAUAAUUAGAAUAAAUACAGUUAACCUGCCAGCAUGCCACCAAGAAUUCGAGCGGAAUAUGAUAAUUAUCUUCCAACACCUCUCGACUAGCCUUUUUUAUAAAUGGAAGAAAUUAAUUUAUUUUAUAAAUGAAAACCAACCUGCACGAACUCAUCCUGUUCCAAAGCUGAACAAGACAAGACUACAAAAAAUGACAAAAUUCGAGCAAUCUGAAUACUAUAAAGUAUAAUUAACAAGCAACCUCUACUCUCCUCGUUAGGACAAGACGUGUUUGAUUAUCUACAACUAAUUCUACAGUAAAUAACAAUUGAAGUAAUCAGCAAUGAUUUUGUUUUCCACUACAAGAUGAUUUUAUAAGUGGCCGAGAGGGGUAUGUUUGGAUUGAAUUACACACGUUCAUGAUAUCAUAUAUUCCUAUAUAUAUCCUCAUUAAUUCACAAAUACAGAAUCUAAUGAUAUUUAAUCAAUUGGUUGGGAUUGAUGAUUCUAUUUGUAUUUUGAUUUACAACUAUAUAUGUGUACCAAAUUCAAGAGGGAUUGUGCAUGAUAGAUAAUUAAUUAUGUCUAAUGAUAGUAAUAUAGUCCACUCUAACCAAAUACGUAAUCAUAUGGUUAAUUAACUAUGAUGGUAAAUAAUUAGUAUAAUGAAAAAAUGAUGUCAAAUGAAUGCCCAUUAUGCUUCCAUUGAGAGUUUCCUAAUUUAUUUCCUAAAUAUUAUCUCUUCUUUUAUUUCAGUUUGCAGAUAUUAUCUCCAUUUUCUGGCUUUCACAUCGUAAUCUUCUUUCUUUUAAUUUUAUCUUUCAUAAUUUAAAAAUUAAUCUCAAUAAACUUGGUAACAAAGAAAGAGUGUACAGAGCUAAAUUAGACAAAAAAUAAAAAAAUAAGGAAAAAAUAGAUAGGUCACCGUUAAUAUGAAUAAUGAUUAUUAGUUAAUUACUGUAACGCAAUGAAGCCUAACAAUAGUCAAUAUACCGAAAGUUAACAUCAAACAUAAGAAAAUAAAAGUCAUCAAAUAAAAAUGUCGUGUAUAAUCAAAUCACGAGGCUAUCUAUGUCAAAGUUGGUAGAUUUCGCAUGACAAAGACACCUGAUUGUUCUUCGGCUUGUGGCUGUCACUUGUGGACUUGCAACCAAAAUUUCAAAGGCAAAGACUCUCUAACAGUUCCUCUAAGCAAUUGCCCCGUUUGACCAGACCUAACUUGUGGCCUUUCCUGCACCAAAUUGUCCAAUUUCGUGUGCAUGGCUGUUCCCCAUGGCAAUUUGUUUGCCAUUUCUAAGUCAAAUUUUGGAAAAAUUUUCCAGCCUCACAUAAUUAGAACCAUCUACUCUCAUUGGAAGACGAGGCAUGCACGUAAGUUGCAAUGUUUUUCUUCCCAUUGACUGUAGGGAUGCCCAAUUCUUCGUAGAGGAUUUAUGCUACUUUGACAAUGAAGCUAUAUAAUUUCUUUAGUCAGUGAUGUCGGCAAAUUGGUUUUGGGUUCUAAGAAAAUAUCGGCAAAUAAUUAGUACUUUGAAUAAUACAGGCUGUGAAAAGGAAAACUCUUACCAGUCCUCUAAUAUUGGUAUAAAGAGAUUAGUUUUGAUCAAAUCCGACACGUAAAUUUAAUUUCAGUGCAUGAAAGCUGGUUUAAGAAUACCUCCAUGAUCAUCAAAAAAAUAACCCAAAACUCAAGAUAUAGGGGGAAACUUUUCUCUUUUUUCUUCGGUGCUGAAAACCUAAAUCUUGAUCCGUCCCAGUUCUAUCUUUUUAAGGGAUUCUUGCAUUAAAUCUCCUAUUUCAAACCCUUGUAUUUGGAAUAUUGUUAAACAAGGAUUAAAGUUGGAGAAAGUAAGUGGAAAAAGAAAUGUAGAGAAAGGAAAAUGAACGGCUAGAGAGAAAAUAUAUAUUUAUAGGAUAACUGGAUUCUCCUCAUCCAUAAUUAACAAUCCUGGUGUACAAUUAGUCAACAAAUUAUACACUAAUCUUUUUUAGAAUCAAUAUAUUCACAUUUUGAAUCUCUCUUUUUAACAGUAAUGGUGGACAAUUUGCCAUAUUUUUAAUUAGGUGGUUCUUAUGUCACCAAUGCACUAGUAGUGGGCAUGAUUUUCAGUGGUGGAAGUAAAGCUUGCCCAAUCUUAUAAAUAAUUUGCUUUGCUUUAUACACACACAAAAGUCAAAUCGAAGAGCAUUUCAUGCAAAUGAUUUAUGUUCCUGUUCAUCAUCGGAUUUGAACGUAAUUACGUGUGUAUUUUUCUUUUCUAAGAAUUGGGAAGGCAAACAAUUCAAGUUUGACCAGGCAUAUAUGUUGCUGUAGCUACACGAUUAUCAUGUCAUCUUACCCACUUGUUAUCCUCUCUUUUUUCCAAAAAAAAAAAAAAAUCCCAUUUGAGUUUCUAGUUUCUUUUGUAUGAAUUCUUGUAUAUUUAAUAAACAAACACUUAAAUUGUUCUUUUUUUCUCAAGAAUGUGGUAAUUUAAGUAGAAAAAUCAAAGCAUAUGAAUUGAAAUUGAUAUUUUGAUAGAGUAGAGAUACCAAAAUCAAGAUUUUCUCAAUUUUAAAAGGAGGUGUUUCUCGCACGGCCCUUUUUGAGGGGAUUUUAAUCAAGCAUCCAUUGAAUUAGCUUGCAAGACACCAUCCAUAGAAAUGAGUAAUGAUAAUAUAUAGAGUGCAAUGUUGUACUGCUGCUAUUAUUGGUGUUCUCCAACCAUGUAAUCAAAAUAAUCAUUUGCUUUGGAUAUUGGGUAAGAAAAUAAUAAAGAAAAAAGCAUGUAUUGCUUACGUGAUGAUUUUUUUGGAGUUUUUCAAGGUAUUUUAAUUAUAUUAAUAAAUAAAAUAAAUCAAGUUAAAAAAUAAAAAAUAACUUAAUUUAUGAUUUAUUAUAUUUUUACAUUCCAGAAUCACUUAUAUAUUAAAUUUAAAAAAAGACUUAUUUAAACAAAGAAUUCAUAAAAUCUCUAUUCAUACCUAUAUUUUUUAUUUAUAUUUAUACCAAUUCUUAAAUAUAAAAUUAUUAGUAUAUAAGAAAUAUAAUAAUAAACAUUUUUAUUGUUUUCAUUAGAAGUGAAGUUAUUGAUAAUUAUUAAUACUAAAAAAACAAGAAGGUAUAUAACACAUGUUUAAGCUUUUUGUAGUAAUAUUUGAUUGGUUUUAAACUCUUGAAAAUGUUUUUCAUUGUCUCAAAAUUAGUUUUUCUAAUUUAUAUCACUUUUAUUAAUUUAUGAAUUGUCGGAAGAUAUUACCUUACUGUCAAAUGAAAAUAAUUUCCUUAUUUAUAAAUUUAAAUAGAAUGUUUGAUGAAUAUGUGUCAUGGGCUGGGUUACUGACAUGGUACUGGAAAGCCUCCUCUUUGAAUGAGAUGGGCCUGAGCAAUUAAAAAAACAGGCAUUUUCUCUUAUUGGUUGAAAGUUAUAUAUGCCUAACAGCUCCAAUUUUUUUUAUUUUUUAUUAAGGUAAUGUUUAGGGAGAUGAUUGAAAUGAUGUUUUUUAAAAGUUUUAUUUUAAAAAAAAAUUAUUUUUUUAUAUUUUUAAAUCGUUUUGAUGUGUUGAUAUUAAAAAUAAUUCUUGAAAAAUUUAAAAAAAUAUUAUUUUAACGCAUUUUCAAACAAAAUUCAUUUUAAAAACAAAUACCAUCACACUCUCAAAUACUUUAAAAAUUAUUAAUGCAUAACUGCUCCAAUUAUUUCUUGAUGACUAAGAACCACUCCAACUAUCAAAUUCAAGAAAUUAUAACCUCAAACAUUAUCUGCUAUAAUUUGUUCACAAUUGAAGAUUUUCUCUUCAUUAUCAAAGUUUUCUUAUUGCAUAUAUCAACUUUACAUGUAGGUAGUGUAUGGUAUUGCGUUGACAGUUGUUUUUUAAAGUGCUUCUCGUUUUUUAAUUUUUAAAAUUUAUUUUUGACAUUAGCACAUCAAAACGAUCAAAAAAAUAUAAAAAAAUUUAUUUAAAAUAAAAAAAAAUAUUUCUUUUAAAAUAAUACUGCAUGGCCGCUUAAACAAACACACUCGUAAUCAUAUACUAGAAUUCCUCUCUUUUAAGGGAAGUAGUUUAAUUUAUAGUUAAAUGUUAAACAUAGUUUCCAAUUUAUUUGGGAAAACUGUGAAUUUUGUUACGUAGUUGUGGUUGUUAUGGUUAUAAAUAAAGGUAUUUGAUAAUUAAAAUGCUUUUACAUUAUGUAAUAUUUAAAAUUUCAAAAGCUUUAUUUUAUUGCUCACGACUUUUUAUUUCUAAAUAAUUUUCAAGUUGUUUCCUAGAAUUUUAUCAAAAACCUAGUUCUCACAAGCUAAAGAAAGCCAAAAGCCAUUGGUUGCCAAACAGACAUUAAUUGCUAGUAAUUUGCUUAGAGAUAUUUUUCAAUAUAUAUUUUUGUAUUUUUUUAUUUAAAUUGGCGAAAUACCUUUACAUGGGAAACUCAAUCCCACUUGAUUUAUUAUUCAAAAAUACAUAUAAAAAUACCAUAUUAUAGUUUCUCACUUGAGAUAUUUUCAUUAAUUUGAAUAAAAAUACCUGUAAAAAAAGUAGUUUAAAAAAUGACAUUAAUAAGCAUAAAAACACACUAAAAUCAAUUAGACCUAUGAAGAUAUAUUCAAAAAAAGGACAAAUUAAAACAAUUUACCUCAUUUAUAGCUCAAGAAUCAAGAUAUUUCUUUGAUAGAUGGAUGUAUCCUGACAUGCUAAUUAAUGACUGGAUUUACUAACGUUGUCCAACAAUUCAGGUUUUACAGUCAAAGGCUGAUGAAAGUUGGUGACACCAUAAAUGAAGGGUGUCCACCUCUCACCAGUCCAAGAAAACUGGGAAAAAGUAAAACAGAGAAAAUAAAUUCUUCAAAGACUGCAAAAAAUUGCAUGUCUGGAUUCAAGUUAUUAAAAUACUUUUGUUUUUGUUUUUAUUUUAAAUAAUAUUAGUUGAAUAUUACUUGUAGUGUUUCUUAAUAAUUUCAAUGUGUUAUAAUUAAAAAACAUAAAAUAAACAUUUUAAUAUAUUUUUAAAUAAAAAAUACUUUUAAAAAACACACUAUAUCUAUUAAGAUACUAUACAUAUAAACACCAUACUUUAAAACUGAAAAAUAUUUUUAAAAAACAUAAUCAUCUGACAGUGUACAUAAACACAAUUUGAAGCUACAAAAUUCAGACUAGAAUCGAGUGACUAGAAUCGAGUUCUUCACCUAUGAAUUUGGAACUUUGAUCAAUCGGUUUUACAAAUUUUGGCUAAUGUCUUCGUGAUCUACAAUUUUGAUUUGUCUCUUCUCUUUUGUUUUCAAGAAAAAAAUAAUAGCAGAGAUUGUAUAUAUUUCUAAAUUUUGGCUAAUGCUAUGAUGUGUUUUGCUGUUCGUUUGCGAUUUUUUUUGUUGAAAAAUGACAGAUUACAAGAAAGUUAUAAGAGAAUAACUCAAUUUUAAUUUUUUUUUAAAAAGAUAUAUAUAUAUAUAUAUAUAUAUAUAUAAAACCAUCAUUUUGAAUCAAGUUUUUAAUGAAAAUUACAAUUUAAAAUCACGGUUUCAAUAUAGCAACAAUUAUCAUCAACGGUCGUACAUUUGCUUUAAAAAACCCUUUUAGUUUGUGGCUGGAAGUGCAUGUUCCUCUUCCAUGAACAUGAAAGGGGAUGCAGUGAGCUUUCGUAAUGAAGAAUCACCCUUUACCCCUUAUUUCUUGGCUUGACGACAAAUCCCCUUUUGCCUCUUAUUUCCUGGCUCAACGAUAAAAAAAUAUAUAUUUUUUUUAUCCUAGCAUUCGUUCAUUUCUUCUCUGACGCAGAGGAUAGAAGACUAGGGAGAGGAAAAUGGCUCAAACAUAGAAUCUGGGAAGCUGAUAUGGUUUGUGAGAGAAACUGGUAAAACUUUUAUCCAUGGCAUCCGACAGUUCUUCCCUUUUGUUUCUACAAAUAUAUGUUUGGAUCGAUGGCAGGAUCUCCUGACAGCCGGCGUGGAACAGUUAUCUUCUCCAACACAGUCUUAUAGUUAUCGAGUUGACUCAUGUCUCAGUUGCUUACCUGGUUUUAAGGCUUGAAGAAGUAGAGAAGAAGAAACAACGGUAAUACAGUAGGUAACCAUCAAUAGCGAUUGUACAUAAAUGUUUUUGAUAAAAUAAUAAUAAUAUAAAAUAAAUCUAUCUUAGUUAUAUUUUUUUACUUAAUUUCUAUGUUCUUGAAACAUGAUUACACAGAGACAUGUUCUUUCUUUUCUAAUUAUUUUUAAUUUUUUAUUAUCACAAAACAGUAAUCAAACACCAUCUUUAUACAUAAUUCAUUGAGAAAACCCAUAAAACUAACAGAGACUAUUUAGAAUUAACCGGUAAUUCAGAGGGUAAUUACGCUUUAAUCAAAUAAAAAAAUAGCUUACAUGCAUUCCCUCGAAAUAAAAAUUCCAAACUUACUGUUUUACCAAAAAACAAUAAUCUAAAAAAAUUAAUUUAAAACAAAAAAAAUCAAGAUUUUAUAAAACGACUCCAAACAAAUGUGCUCAUCAAAUAUUGUUGUGGGCUCUAUUGAUUUUAACAUAUGAGGCGGCCAAGCUCCGGCAUGGAAAGUUCAUCAAUGCAAGUAAUUGAACUUUGAGGUUUAAGGAUAACGAUCUCAUUGCCCCAAAUUUUUCUAUAUGCUUUCAAGUUUUUCUUUUUAAAAAUAGAUUUAUCACAUAUUUUAUAAAAAAAACAUGGUAUUUUGUUUUUACAUUUAUAUAUAUUUAAAGAGAAGCCCGCCUUGCUUAUAUCAAAGUCAAAGUUUAGAAUUUAAAGAAUUAAACCAAAAAACCCCAACAAAUAAUGAUAAAUAGAAAGACCUGAGAUAUCUGGAUCAUAUUUAAGAUCAAUAAAAAAUUUCAUAGAAAGGAAGCUAAAAUUAAAAACUUAAUUUUUAAUUGAUUAAAUAUUGAAGUAUGAAACCGGAAAAAAUUAUUUUAGAUGAAGGAAACAAAAACCAAACAAACAUCCUAAACCAGUCAAAUCUAAAAACUUGCAACUUGUGAAACUCUAGAUCCGGGUCCAUUCAAGAAAUUUAUUAUGAUCAAUUUAAAAAUAUCAAUUUUAAAAACUUGUCAAAGCAAAAUAAAUUGGUAAUUAAAAGAAUAUGGAUUAAAUUUGAUAGGAAAAAUAAAUCAAAUAAGAAUGGAAUUGUAAAAUAAAAUAUAUUUAAAUACCACAAUUAAGAAUUCCACCACAAUUCAUAAAAAUAUAUGUUUAUUAAAAAAAAACAACAAAAACUUAAUGUUGACGAACUAACAUGAAAAAAAAAAAAUACAUCUUAAUAACCUUAGUGAAUUGAGACAAAUCAUUAGCGUUAACUCUAAAUCAAUAAAACACAAAACAAUCAAAUUAAAAAAAAUAUAAUAACUAACCAAAAUACUUUUUAAAAAAAACACUAUAAAAAAAGGCCUGCCCAGGCGCAGAAGCCUUGGUGACCCAGUGCACUUAGGUCUUAGAAUAAAAAUGCCUAGUUAAUUUUUUUCUUUUUUUGAGAGGGUAAAUAACCUAUCAUUCGUUUUAUUUUUUUUAAUUAAUAAUUCACUCCAUAAUGUUUUAGUGACACUCCUCUAAUAAAUAGAAACACUUUUACACCGAAAUUGUAACGAGUUGAAAAAAAAAGUCAAGGUAAUAAAAAUGCUCAAAAGCCCGCCGCAACUAUAGUGAACCCAAAAAAAAUAAAAAAAAUAGCAUGGGGAUUUUUCUCAUUGUUAAUGUUGGUCUUCAGUUUUAAUUCAAUGAAAUUAAAUCUGAUUAUGACAAAUGUGGUAUUGAUUUAAUCACUGAAUCUUUUUUAAAUACUUUGAGAAACCCUUGCAAAGCUAAUAUAAUCAAAUCACUAACCAUAACCUUAAAUUAACUAAAUUUAGAAGGGUAAUUUUUUUUAAAAAAAUAAGUAACUGAAAAAAAUAAAAGGACUAAAAGGAAAAGAAAAAGAAAAACAUUGUUUCCAUCCAUAGACAAUGCACAGUGAAAAUGCCAAGGGAAUCAGUUUUUGUUUUAAUUUUAAUUUAAUUUAGGACGUGUUUGAUUGCAGGAAAGUGAAUUCCUGGAAUUCACUUUCCAUGUUUUCCCAUGUUUGGCAGCAAUAUAAGAAAAUAGUCAAAGGAAACUGAAUUCCAAUCAAAUUAAAAAAAGUAACGUUACGAAAGGAAAGUGUUUUCCUUUUGUUAAAGAAAGGAAAACACUUUCCUUCCGUUCAUUUUCUCAUACACAUUUUCUCAUACACAACUGGAGAACUUUUUCUUCAAAAUCACACAGUCUCUUUUUCUUCAAAAUCAAUUGGAAACUGAGCAGGAACAAGAGUAUUUUUCUAGACCAAUUAAUUUCAAGUAAUUUUUUCCUCUUUAUUUCCUUUAUGUUUUCUCUGAUUCUGCGUAGAUAUGUAAAAAUGAUGGCAUAAAUCUUUGAUAUUCUUGAUAAAUCUGCUACUGCUACUGUCAUAUUAUUUCCAUAACAUUUCCAUAACUCUCCAUCUUGAUAAAUCUACUACUGCUACUGUCAACAAUUAUUAAUCUCGUCACAUUCAAUUAAUCAAGCAACAAAAAAAAAAACACAUUUUUUCUGCUACUGUUUUCUUCUUUAUGAAUCACAAUCGGCAGCUUACUAACCAAACAGAGAGACAAAACGGGGGGGGGGGAGAGAUAACUGUGACAGAGAGAGGCAAAGGCAAAACGGUGGAGGGAGCGAUUUCUGUGAACAGUGAGGCAAAAUAGGGGGGGCGAUUUCUGUUAACAUGGAGAGGCAACGCGAUGGGGGGGCGAUCGAUUUAUGUGAACAGAGAGAGGCCAAAACCGGGUGGGGAGGGGCGAUCAAUUUCUGUUGACAGAGAGGCCAAAACGGUGGGGGGGGGGCGAUCGAUUUCUAUGAGAGACCAAAACAGGGGAUUUCUGUGAGAUCAAAACCGGGGGGGGGGGCGAUCAAUUUCUGUGAGAUCAAAACGAACAGGAGGGGCGAUCGAUUUCUGUGAGGCGGCCGCUUUCUGUUGUGGGGGCGAUCAAUCUGUUAGUGAAUCCUUGCUCUCGGGGGGGGGGAGAUUUCUGUUAGUGAAUCCUUGCUCUCGGGGGGGGGGAAUGGGAGCAGGGGAAUUGGAGGAACUGGAACCGAGAGGAGAGGGGAUUGGGAGGGGAAUGAGAACAGUGAAAUUGUUGAAUGCUAAUGGGGAAUUAUACAAACCGGUUAUAACGAAACUAUAGGGAAAAUGUGGAAUGAAUAACAGGGGGAAUGGAACAGUGCAAUUGGGGAUGUUAAUGGGGAAUUAUACAAACCGAUUAUAACAGGGGAAAUGGGGAAUGAAUAUAACAGGAAAAAUAUGGAAUUAUUGUCCGCUUCUUUCAGCAUAAUUUAUUGUAUUAAUUGUGUAAGUAUUUUAUAUGCUUUUUUUAAUAUUUAUUUCCCUAAAUUUUUAGGUUUUGUUAUCAGAAAACUUCACUUUCAUGAUAUGGAUAGUAAGAUAAUUCAUGCAACAUGUAUGGGAGCAGCUGUAACUGUGAUAGCUACAGGGGUAGCUAUUAUUGAACAAGAAAGAAAUACAAUUUAUAUACCAAGAGAACCACGUAUAAAUGCAAUUGCUCAACGAGAAUUCUAUAUUGACAGCAUUGAAGGCUUUGAUGAGAUCAUUCUUGGGGAUGCAUUUGAUCAUUUGGUCCAAAAUGAAAUGUUGGCAAAAGCAUUUAUGACAAAAAAUGCUAAUUUGAGGAAAAUUUGGGUUCAGAAUUUUGUGAACCACCACUACUACAGGCCUGCUUGCUAAGAUGGUUUGACUAUGUUCAAAAUUUGGGUUCAGACUAUACUUGUUAUUUAAUGAGUAUGUUUACUUGUUUAAUUCGGUCUAGCAUGUUUAUGUUUGUAAUUUGAACUAAUAUGUAUGUAUAUGACAUCGAAACUUAAUAUUUAUGUAUGAUUAUGUUUGAUGUUAGAUAUUUAUAUUUAUAUCUUGAUGUUUAUUUGAUAUAUAUUAAAGGGAUAUUAAAGAGAUAAUUGCCUUUACCCGUACAAAAAAAAAAAUUUAUCCAAAAAACCCAUAAAAAUAUUUUUGUAUGUAUUGAUCUUAUAAAAAAUUCUUCAUACAAAAAAAAAACUCAAAUAUAUAACUCUUACCAUAAACUAAUUUGGCUUUCUUCAUAUGAAAAAAAAAACUUAUUUUAAGCUUUUAAAAUUGAAAAAAAUAUAUUAAUAGGUUUUUUGUAGAAAUAUUUCAUAAGCUUAGGUAUGAAUAUAGGAUAUAAUAAAAAAAAUUCAUCAUUAUACUUUUUAGAUUUCAUUUUUUUUAUUGUAAGUGAUUAAAUAUUUUAUAUAUAUUAGAUAAACUUAAAAAAAAAAUUAAUUCAUUAAUAAAUUAUUUUCUAGUUCAUUUUUCAUAACAUAACCAAACACUGGAAAGUGUUUUCCAGUUUAUUUUCCAUAACACUACCAAACAUCGGAAAAUACUUUUCCGGAAUUCACUUUUCAGGAAUUUACUUUCCCCGGAAUUCACUUUCCCCGGAAUUCACUUUUCCAAAGGAAUUCACUUUUCUACAAAUAAAUGGGGCCUUAAUGUAAUUAUGUAAUGUAAUUCAACAGCAUAGCAUGGUAGCAUGGUAGAUGCUUGCAUUGCAUACCCAGAUGGGUUACCUGACCUUUCUCCAAUAAAAUAAUAGCUAUAUUAUUUUACAGAUCACAGGGCUCUGAAGAAAUAAAAAUCAUGUGAUAAAACAGCUUGUAUGUUUUUACCUUUUAUAUUUACCCCACAUGAAACCGUGAGGGGCUAUGUACAAAAUCUCAAGCACAAUCAAAUCGUGUGUGUUUUUGUGUGUUGUUAGGAAGUGUGAUAAUAAUAAUAUUUUAAAAUAAUUUUUAUUAAAAAAUAUAUUAAAAUAAUAUAUUUUUUUAUUUUUUAAAAUUUAUUUUUGAUAUUAGCACAUUAAAACUAUUUAAAAACAUUAAAAAUAUUAGUUUGAAGAAAAAAAAAAUUAAAUUUUAAUGGAAAGAAUAUUGCCGACAUACAUAGAAUUUAUUUAUUUUUUAUAAAUGUAUUAAAUUAAUUUUAAUAUAAAUGAAGUAUAUAAAACUUGAUUUGAGAAAGAUUUGGUUUUACGAAAACAUUCCCAUCAUUACAAAAAAAUAUUAAAAAAAUAUAGGGAACAGUGAUUUCAUUAUUUGCGUUCACUUUAUGGAUCAAGAAUUAAUCAUACAGUUUCAUUUUUUCCGUUAAAAAUCAAGAAACACUUUAAGUUUUCAAGAUUUUUACCCAAACCUUAAGCUUUUUACACCAGAUCUCAUCUAGCCCUCAAUUAAAUAUAGCAUGUUACCUCGAGUGAAUUUGGAUCAAUCCCCAAAACCACUUGAUUACCUCAUCUCUUUCACCAUUGCUAUUUGUUAAUGGGCGAAUGGAAGCAUGCAGCUUUCACACAUGAGUUAGCUGGGGUUGAAUUAAAGACAAAUUGGCCUGGAAGAGAUGAAUUUGGACCACCAAAACCAUGGGAGCUUUGCCGAACCUCAUAGGUUGAGGCAUGGUCCAUCAAGACCUAAAACACCCAUUAAGGUCUCUUGUGCUUGGAGCACGAACCGUUUAUUUCUCAUUUAAACCAUUUUUUUUCAUAUUGAUUCCGGUCAGAUGCAGAGUCUUGUAUGAUUCACCUCUUCCAAGAUCAUACGAUUUUCUUAGAUGUUCAUCAUGUCCAGAUACUUUCCCCCCCAAAUAUUUUACAAGCAAACCUUCGCUUCAUAACUUGGACCUGGUUGCACUAAAUUUGGAGCUUAAAUAAAGUGGGAUUAAGUUAGGUAAUUUAAUUAUUUUUACAGAUGAAAUUAAUACAUGAAAUAUCCUCAGUACCGUUCAUGAAAGUUUAAAUGUUAUGAUUUAAUUAGCCGUAAAUUAAAAGGAAUUCAAUCUGUUAACGAAAAAUAGGGUUUUUAAAUUAGUCCAUUUAAUUUAUAAUAUUUCUUUUAUGAAAAUCAAAGUAAUGUAUAAAGCUAUAUAUGCAUCGUUACAAGUACCAAGUAAAAUGUAUCACAAGUUUUUUACUAUUUACUUUAGAUUUUUGAAUCUUGAUAGUAAAAAUUAAUUUAAUCAAAUCAAGUUUCUCUGUAUAUAUCAUUAGUCAUUACAACAUUUGUUUUUAGGUGAUGUUUUAAUAUUAUGUUCCAAUUGUAUUUUUGAAUUUAUUUUUUUACUUUUAAAUUAUUUUUUUAAUAUUCUUGAAUUAUUUUAAUAAAAAAUAAUAUUUAUCACGGAAACGCUAUAAUUUUGUAGGGAAUUUUUGUGUUGGAGUUUUUGUUUCUGCUUCCAAGAACUACAAUAUCUACCAUAUGUCCAAUGGAAACCAUCUCUUAUCCCUUUAUAUAGAGGACCUUUCUACGUAACCUCACAUCUAUAUAUCGUGGCAAAAUGGGACUCAAUAUUAGACAACAGACAUGACCAUGAACAUGAACAUGAACAUGAACAUGAACAUGAAUUGAUCUUCAACUCUAUUCCUAGGAAAUCAUAUCUCCUGUAAGAAAACGAACAUGUGGCAGCCUUAAAAGCUAAAACAACGGGGGGGAGGGGAGAUAGAUUUGAGAGGCAAUAAGGUUGUACGAUACCACUGUACAUGAAAAGGCAUUGAUGUUUAUUUACUUACUGUUCGUGCACAAAGACACCCUGUCCAGACAGACCCCUUUGAUCAAGGAGAGUGGGCAGGACGUCAAGAAAUACUAUUAAUUAUAUACAAGUUAUAUUUACGGAUUUUUUUUUUAAAGCGAAGGUCUCUGUGAUUCGAUGAUUGUGAUAUUAAAUCCUGUGGUUUAAAAAAUGGAAAUUGGGUUCUUAACAUUUUGAAUAAUUUUGGGGCGAAACUUCCAUUGAAGUCAAAGUUAUUAGCUCAAAAAGACAAUACAUGCACACAAUAAUCUAAUUACUUUUUUCUAAGCUAUAUUAUUUAGUUAGACAGCAAAUAACAAAAGAAAAGAAAUCAGAGUUUCUCAAGUGCUAAGUGCUAGGUUACAGCCCUUAUAAAUUCUAAUUAAUAUGAAGUAUGAUCUUAAUAAAAUAGCUCAGUUCAAUUACUUUAUAUAGAAAAAUCUCAUAAAACUUGAUGAGGUUUCAAAAAUCUAGAUAACUUAGAAACAAGACUUAUAUGUCGGAUAAUCUAUUAAUCUCUUGAUUCUAAAAUCUAAUUCACUUUCCUUAAUCAAGAUAGCUGGUAGCCAAUAUAUACUUAAUGUCUGGUACGCUAGAGUGAAUAGUAAUCAGUACAUGUAAAAAGUUCUAAUUUGUAGAUUUAAGGACUCCUUGAUAUUUAAGAAAGAAUAUUUUUUAGAGAAAUGACAAUGAUAUUUUAAAGAAAUAAACUUUAAAAAUAUAUAUGUUAAAACUAUUGAGAAUGAUAAGAUUAUAAACCUGUUUUUUUUAAAGGAUUUUUAUGAUUAUAACUCAUGAAUCUUGUUUUUUUUAUAUAGAAAAGAGGGCAUGAAAUGUCAUUUUGCUCUGAUAACUUUUAAAGUGGGAUAAAUAUCUCAAACACAUUAAAAAAAAAAAAAAACAAGCUGAUCAAUCAAAGCUCUGGGGUAAACUAUAGGUCAUUUUGAAUAUUUUUAUACACUCAGCGAUGUAAAGAAAUGAGUAUCUUUGACCUUAACAUUUUAUAUUAAGGAUCAUGAAAAAAAAAAAAAAAAACAAGCUGAUCAAUCAAAGCUCUAAAAUCUAAUUGAGAAAAUAAUAUAAAAAUAAAUGGGAAAAAACUUUUUUUAAAAAAAAACUAUAGCCUUUCUUAUUUAGAUUAACAACAAUCCGACCCUUUUAUAAAACAGAGUUCAUAAAAAUUUCUAAUAAAAUUUGAGCACAAUUUAAUAAUUAAAUAGAAAAUUAUAAACUUUUUCAUCAAACAAGUCAUUUGAUAUUUCCAAACCUCUUUGAAAAUGUUAUCUAUUUAGUCCAUCAACAUAUCACUCGAUAAGAAUAAUCAAAUCACAAACAGCCGUUGCCGAAAACCCUUGCAUAUACAUGAGGCCACAUUAGAGAGCAUGAAAUACAAGCUCAUCAAAUGUAGGGGAGGCGACAAAUAAAGGACGAGUUUUGCUGUUACAGGGGCCUAAAACUACAGCUGCAAUCCCAGCUUACAGUCGGCCAUUAAUAACAAGUGGGACCAAACACUACCUAACCACAAGAAAAGAUGGCAUAACAUAACCUUCUCCUAACUUUAAUUAAAUCUUUAAUCUUUCUCUCCUUUUGCUUCGUUUCCUUUUUCCUUUUUUUUUUCUUUCGAUCACUUGUUUGUUGGCAUUUGAUCACUCGAAGGAGAACCCUUUUUUCCCCCUUCUUUCAAUAAAACCCCCCCGGCAAGACCCACUCAAAAGCUUUUUAUCCAGCUCUCACAUUUCCUCAGCUUUCUGCUUGUGACAUUAAUGCUACUGCUUGCAGAAGCAUCCGAUAUCUUUCUUUUAAAAUCAUCUCCCUCCCUCUCUCUCAAAUCUGCACACGCGAACACAUACAAAGGUGCCCAUGUUUCCUGCUCUCAACACCUUUUGCUCAUCAAAGUUAGACCCUAAGCAACAAGCCAGCACUCCUCCUAUUACCCUCCUAAGUCUUUCUCUCUCUCUCUUCGUCGCUUGUUGUUUUGCAUGAUGGUUGCAUGUAGAAGACCUCUAACUCUACUUCUUUGUCUCUUCUUCUUGUUCUUCAUUUUCUUUGUUGGUUACUCUCUUGGUUCAAGGUCCACCCAUGUAUUUAAAUUCAAGCCCAAAACUCAGUACAAAGGUCAUUUCUUCAAUUUGUUGCCAAGACAUUUACCUAUACCAACUUCUGGCCCUUCAAGGAGACACAACGACAUUGGCUUACAGAAUUGGAAAUCACCAUGAAGAUUAAAUAGAUUUCUUGAAGAAAAGGUGACUAUUCGUAUUUUUUUUUUCUUGAAAACACUGAGGAGUUGUGGGUACUGUAUAUGGGGUUGCUGGGUAGUAUAAUUCUUUUUUAAUUAAUGGGAGGUUUGUUGACGAAGUUUGUUCAAAGAAAUUGUUAUGAGUAUGUAUUGUUUCUCCUUUACUCUCAUGGAGAAACUGGUUGGUAAUUUUGGUGUGUAUCAAAUGUAGACAAAAUCACUAGCUUGAUGACAGAAGUCUAAUUAUUACUUCUUUUUUUUAAUAUAUAUACACAUAUUUUUCUGUUUGUGGGUUAAUUACAGAUAGAUCAAAAAUAUUACAGAAAAGAAGUUUCCUUCUUCAUUGCAAAUUUGCAGAUUUUCCCACACCCUCUAUUUUGCUUAUGUUUUUGAGUUAUAGACAUAUAUUAUGUGUCUAAUAUAUGUAUGUUAUUUUUUUUAUAUCAUCUAUAUAUUCUCUUUUUAAUUUGGGCUCGUGUAUAUGUAUCUUGAUUUUAGUAUCCAUAGCUUGAACUACUCGAUAAAUUAAUUGUUCAUUAUGAUCCAUAAGGGUGGAGUUUUCGGGAGUCAUGUGGCAUUAAUUUCUUUUUUCUUUUUUUAAUAAUAGGCAUUAAUUUCUUUCUUUAUUAUCAAGUCAUAUUAAUAAAGAAAUUCAACAAUACCAAUUCGUGAAAAUUAAUUAUUUUUAAUGACAUUAAAAGGCUAUACCUCUAAUUCAACCAAAAUCUAAUUAGAUCUGCUCCACCAAUUAAAUUUUUCUUUCCCCCCCUCAAGUUUUCUCUAAAAUUGAAUAUUUGGUGUAACUUUAUUCAUUGAUCUCAUGGUCAAAUUAAUUAAAAUGGUCAAGUGAGGAUUAACUUUAGGAAAACUAGGCUUCUUACACUUAAUUUUUUGAUUUAAGUAGUAAAUAUUGUUACACCGAAAACCGUAAUGGUAAGCCUCCUGUGAUAUUUCCUCCAGCAAACCUUGUUCACUGCCAUUGAAUACAAGGCAGGGGAACUCUCAUGUGCAGCAAUGCGAUGCAGUUGUUGAUUUGUGCUUUUCUUGAUUUGAUAUGCACGUAUAAAUCAAUGCUUACAUGUCCCCUGCCAAGCCAGAAAAAUUACAUGUCUUCCACCAUUACAGUACUUGUAUUUUCUGUUCUUUUCCAUAGCAAACAGCGAUUCACUCCAUCAAUCUUACUCCAUCAAUCUUUCUGCCUCGACAUCAUGAAGUACAAAUUAUUCAUGCGUACGUACGUGUAUCCAUGAUACAUGUUUAGUGUGUGUGUGUGUGUGUGUGUGUGUAUUCAUCAUCGAUUAACCCAAUUUUCAAGUAAUGAUGAGGGAAGUGGACCUUUUGGAGUGCCCAUCUCUCUCUCUUUUUUCCAUGGAUAUAGUGAGAUGAAUUUGCGGAAUUAUGGGCUUUUUCUAUAUUUGUGGUAUUUAUCAUAACAUGUUAUCAUAACAAAUAGCAAAGGACUCGAAAAGCCUCCAUCAACUCAAAGCUUUCCCCUUUGAUCAUGACCACCCAAGGGAAGGAGGGGUCUUGAUGGAUCCACUUGUUUGGUUAUUAUUCACAACUCCAUUGGAUUCCAUAAAAAUUGAGUUUUGGAAUAAUGAGAGGACAUUUAUAAGUGGAGAAUGAUGUAUCGAGUUUUUCUCAAUAGAUACACGGUUUUGCACUGGCAAAAUAUGAUUACAAGUAUUUUUCAUUAUUACUGUGCUCAUUUCAAGCAUGCAAAUGUUGCUCAUCCUUCCAUUAAAACCCAAGAUAACUAUGAACGUAUGAUUAAGAUUAAAAGCUCCAUUUCAAGCUAAUUACAUAUAAGAAGAUGAACUCGAAUUCAAGACCUGCUUCUCUUUGCUCUGCAAGGGAGCCACAGUCGACGGGGUCAUAAGAAAAAGAAAAGAAAAGUAGAAUGCUCCUCUAUUAAUUUUAAAUCACAAGGUUGAGAUUUGUUAGGGUUAACAUAAGGUUUAGAAUUACUCGUUUUCUCUGUACCAUAUUGAUUUUAUUAUGUUAAUCAUUUUAUAUGAAAAAAAAAGAAGCUAUAAUUAGCCUCUUUAUUAUAUGAAUUUGAGUGUUUUAGAUUAAAUAACAUCAAUGGAUCAAUUGCUAUUUGAAUUUGAGCAUUUUAGACUAAACAACAUCAAUAGAUCAAUUGGAUUUUAACGUGUGUCUUAGUUUUACUGAAAAUAAGAUAGAGGGGUUAAUUUUAUGUUUAAUGACCGUAGACCACACAACAAUUAAAGCAUCACCCAGCUUAUUCAUCACACCUCUCAAAUUCAAAUCUAGAAAAAAUAAUUUUCUAUUAUUUAAUGAGGGAGGGUUAUUCUCCUUUUUUUCUUUUUCUUUUUUAGAAAUUAAAACCUUUGACUAUAACGUAUAGUAGAAUUUUUUUUUAAAAUUAAGCUACGUAUCUGUUAGCUAGUGUGUUGUCAUUAUCAUACACCCAUAUGAUAUUAACAAAGAAGUUUGAGAAUUAUACGUAGUUCAGUACUGGUUACGUACAGUGAAAGGUGUUGAAAAGUUGAAGUCGAAAGACAUGCAGGGCAGGAGUCCAAGUUUGAAAAUUGGAAGUUGAAAUAUAUACAUGCAUGCUUCUUAUCCAAUUUCUUCAUGCAAUUAAAAUUGGAUAACCUAUCAUAUUCUUUAUUGAAAAUUUAGGCACUUUGCGUUGAAUCUUGCUGUUCUAAUGUAUAUUUGGGAAAUAAUUAUUAAUUAAUUUACUUGUCGGCCAGCAAGCCAAUUGCUUUCAUAUAUAUAACUUUAAUUUUUACUUUACAAAAUAUAUAUAGACAUGUGCACUGCAAAAAUAAAGGCCGUUCCUUAAAAAGAAUUUUUAUUUAGGUAUGUCAUGCUGUGUUAAUGAAAACUCUAUUAUCCCUUUUAUUUUGAUAUUAGAUUAUUUUAAUUAUAGUAGAAUUAAUGAAAAAACUAGAUUUUAAUACCACGCUUCGCUAUUCAUUUGUUUUGGAGCCUAAUUUCAUGAUAUAAAGUUUUCAUUUCAAUGAGAAAGAUAAAAUUUAAAGUGAGAAGACCAUAAUGUAAUGUAAGCACAAAGAAAAUAUAUGGUCAAUCUCAAAGUUUUUAAGAUUUUUAUUUUGAUAAAAAAAUUAAUUUUAUUUAUUUUUGAAUUUCCGAGUAAGAGAUGAAAGAGAAAUUUAUUAGAAAAUGAUGAAGUUGUUGUUUAGUCACAAUCCAAAAAUAAAAAAAGAGCAAAAGAUCUUUGUGUCAAUGGAUUUUUUUUAUCGAGAGGAGCUCGAUGAAAGUUAUUUUUCCUUUAAACAUUCAGUAAAAGUAGAUCAGGCUUGGUUUUGAUUUUUUUUAUUCGAUUAAUUUUUAUUUUUUGAGUGAUUUUUUUUUAUGUUUUGUGUUGUUGGGCAGUUUAUAUAGCCUUUGUUUUUAAUGAAAAUGGGUAGAAAAUGGAUUUUUAGACCAAACUCUUCUUGAUUUUUCAGCCAAACCCCUAAUUUGUUAAAUUCUUAAUUUAAUUAAUAAUUUAUUGUAUGUAUUAUUUUAUUAAAUAUUGUUUUACUUUUAUUUUUUUGAAUAAGAAUAUAACGGUCUUUUUAUAAUAUUAGAAUUGUUUUUGACAACCCAUCAUUAUUUUCUUGAUUUAUUCAGUUUUUUUCUUGAUAAUGUAUGUUUUUAUUGUUAUAUAAUUAAAUAAAAAUUAUUUUAGAAAAAACAAUGUUAUUAAGCUCAGUUCAAUCUAUGAUUCGAGUGAUGAAUUUGACAAUUUAUUUUAAGUUGGCUUGAGUAAUCGGAAUGUUAUGGUCUUGAUAUUUGCAAUUUCCCCCUCCAUAUAUAUUAAGUUUUGAGCUAAUAAUCAAAAUUGUACUUGUACAUAGAAUAUUUAUCUUUUUUUAUUACAUCCAUGAAAAGUUUUUAUAUUAUCAGUAAUUUUACUAAUUAAACUAACACGCGCCUCACAACAUGAUAUCUAUUCCAUGGUGUGAUGAGACUUUCUUGGCAUUUUUACUUAUAGUUCAUAAGUUUGAUGUAAAAUUAGCAGGGACCCUUGAUUGAAUAUUUUUCUCAAUGUUUUUGCAUUUUUUUGGGAACUCCUUUGACUAUGGCUUGAAUAGUACUCCAAUUCUUUUCCCUGUUUCAUGGCAAAAAGUAAUAUAAAAGCACCCAAAAGGUUUCCCUAAAGAAACAAAGAGCUAGAAGUACAAUGAUGGGCAAUGCACCAAAACAACAAAUUGUGGCCCAUAAACAGCUUUAAAAUAAAUUAAAAAAAAAUGGAAUAGAAGAACCCCCAUGAACUAUGUGCUCCAAGAAAUCAUGCUAAUCAUUAGUUUCUAUCCCAAAACCUAAGACUCAUGCUUUUACCACGUUUUGUCGCUUAAAGAUGGCAAAUGAUGGCCAUUUUCUUCUGCUAAGACUGCUGCAACUUCAUGUCAAAAAUUCCCAGCUUUCAUCCCUUUCAAGAACUUUACGAAGAUGAUGUAAUAUCCAAUAUUGCGUUGUGGGUGAUUAGGUUUUUCGUUAAUCCAUUGCAAAGAAUUAAGGGAGGCCCAUUGAUGUAACAAACUCCAUUAAAUUACCAUGAUUACAGCAGUUUUUUUGUGCUCUUUAGGGCCCACGGUAGCUUCUAAUGACAUUCAAACGAUAAGCUUCUGUUAAUAUAUUUCAACUUUUAAUUUGACUUUGUUUUCGCAGAAAAUAUCGACCUAUUUCUUUUAUAUAUAUAUAAACUUAAUUUGUUGUUAGAUUAUUAACCUUUCUAAACCAAAAUAUAUACUUAUUUAAAACAAAGUGAAAUUUCCAAUAUGAGAAAUGGGUGUUAUUAUUUUCGGUUCGGUUCGGAUUUUAUAAAAAAAAAAUAACCAAACCAAUUUUUUUUUAAAAAAAACCAAAACCGGUUUAAACCGGUUUGGCUCGAUUUUUCCAGUUUAGCUCGGUUUUGGCACGAUUUUUUCUGGUUUGGCUUGGUUUUUUAGUUUGGCUCGGUUUUGAUUUGGUUUUUUCGGUUUCAGGCUUAUAAAACCGAAACCGAACCGAACCGGUUGGUUUUUUUAAAAUUUUAAUCGAUUUAAUCGGUUUAUUUUUACGGUUCAGUUUUUCAGUUAUUUUUUUCUGAUUUUCUCAAUUUAAUCGGUUUUUUUGCUCACCCCUAGUACGUAUUAUAUAUAUAAAGGAUAACGUUUCAAUCUAUCUUUAUUAGGAAAAUCUCCAAUCAGUCUCUAUAUCUUUAAUCGUGUCAAUUUAAACUUCAAAUAAAGGUUUAAUUAAUCCUCCCGUCAAAAUUUUCCAUGCAAACUGAAGAUCUUGGCAUGUGAAAUGGUAACCAAUCACCCAAAUAGAGUGGCAUAUAUAUGAUAGAUUGUGCUCAUAUUAUAUGUUUUUGAAUGGAAAAUCUUGACGAAAAAAAAUAAUUAGCACUUAACAUUAAUUAAUUUGAGGUUCCAAUCACCACAAUUAACUAAUUAGAAACUUACAACGUUAUAUAAGAGGAUAUAAUUAGUUAUUAUUAUCGAGAUCGACUGGUUUUCAUGGUUACUAUAAACCAACAUAAAAUGUUGAAGUACAAUGUCAACAUGUUAAUGUGUUGAUUACUAUAUCAGUAAGUCCAUUGAAGUUCUAAUUAACUACUAUAUAUUAAAACAGAAUGAAUUUUUAAUUAAUGCGUGUUCCUUUAACAAUGGUUUUUUUUUCAUUUAUUUUUCAUUACAAUUUUAUCUUUAAAUAUCAUGUUUGUCUAUCUUUAUGUGUUGGUAUUUUUUAUAUAUAUAUUAAAAAAUUUGAAGAGAUUCUAAAACCGAAUUAAAGAUCAAUUUUACAUCAUAAAACUUAAGGUUAUAACUGAGAGAAAAAUUGAAAUAACAAGGAUCUAAUUAAAAAUUAACAUAUUCCUUUUUUAUUUUAGUGUGAAAAACUUUCUUUUCAUCCAAAGAGUUUUAUUUACAUAUUUUUUAUCCUUUUGAUUUAGGUUUUUAUGUUUAGGUCCCAAACUUCUUCUUCUCUCAUUUUUUUUUUGAAUUUUUAGUUCCUAAGUUUUGAGAGAUUAGAGAAAAAGUUGCUAAAAAAAUGAGAAUGGGAGAGAAAGAGAUCGGUUAGCCAUAUUUUGACCAUAAAAAAAUUAAUCUUGGUAUUAAUAGUUUUAUAAAGUGUCAUUAAUAUGUUUUUGAACUUUUCAUCUAAACGGAAAAAACAGAUUGAGACUGUAUAAUUUUCUUAUUUAGUUUAAUUUUGAGUUUUUUAAUCGAUUGAAUGACGUUUUAAAUUUAAAAAUAAAUUUUAUGAGGUUCUUAGGAUGUUUCAUAAGUGUUUUUAGAUGAAAAAAAAAUUAAAAAAUAAGUUUUUAGAGUAAAACAAAAAUGAACCUUACUUUUCAGCUAUUUUUUAUAGUCAAAAUCUUAACUGCUAAAUAACUUGUCAUCUGUUUUAUUUUAUUUUAUUUUUUAAAAUAAAUAAAUAACUGUCCAUCCAUUUAAAAAAAACAACCAAAUGUAUAGGCCUGACAUGCGAAGCUUGCUUGACCUUUUUUGUAUCGAGCCAGGUACAUAAAUUAGGCCUAAAAAACGAAUAUCUUUACAAUCGAAGUAAAAAACUAUUUUUUCUCAACGAAAAACAAAUACACCGAGGCAAAGAUAUAAACGAUUUUUCAACAGUUGAGAUUCAAAUGGAGACUUCCCACCAACUCCUACUUUUCCUUAGAUUGCUUCAGUCAAGUUAUUUUUUUUUAAAAAAAAAAUAAUUGAAAAACCGAUUAAAUUAAAAAAAUAAUUAAAAAAACUGAACCGUGAAAAAAAACCGAUUAAAAUUUAAAAAAACCAAUCGGUUCGGUUCGGUUUUGGUUUUAUAAGCCUACAACUAAAAAAACUGAACCGAACCCAAACAAAAAAAACCGAGCUAAACCGGUUUGAACAGGUUUAUGUCCUAAAAACAGAACCGGACCGAACCGAAACCGGUCGGUUUGAACUGGUUUCGGUUUUUGUUUUUUUUUUUAAAAAAUCAGUUUGGUUAUUUUUUUUUUAUAAAAACCAAAUCAAAUCAAAAAUAAUCACCCCUAUCCUUUUGUAUCAUACAAAUUAAUGAUUGAAUAAUAUAUAAAAUCGGUGUUUCCACGAGUCACCGAUGGCUUAUAUAUACGUGUGUGGUUUGAAACGUAUAUAAAGAACUGAUGAGUAAUUAAUUUAACAAUAAUUUUCCAGUGCAAUAAUAUUGUAUAUACAGCAAGGAGAUUACAAUCAUGAGAUACUCACUACGUACUCUCUAUAAUUCUUUUUCGAUAAUAUUUGAGAUACUCUAUAAUUAAUUAUCUCCUGUGAAAUAAUAAUAUUCUUGGUUGACAGCCAGGAUAUUGUUCUGAUAUAGAAAUUAUUGAAGCUGAGAAUUGACAAGUGGAUAUGAUCUGAAAUCAUGAUGAUGAUGAUGAUGAUGCUAAAAUGCAAAAGAAAGAUAAGACUUGUGAGGUAUGAGUGAUCUUUGUGAAAUUGGCUCUACUCGCACGCUUCAUUAUUUGAUUUGUCCAUGUUUUACAAUUAUUAGCAUGAAUAAUUAAUUGCUUUUAUAUAAGAUUCUUGGGAAAAAAAAAGGAAAGAAAAUUUGAAAAGGAAUUUGUCUUUUUUUUGCCUCAACUAAUAUUAUUAUAUUUUUGGAGUUUAACCUUUAUUAAUUUAGUAUUACAUAAAUAAAAUAUGUGCAUAUAUAGGCUAGAAGAAAAUUAAAGCUAUUAUAGAGCCUCUCUCUUUGUUUAAUUACUUUUUUUUAGUUAAUAUAAAGUUGGGUGAAUUUCAUGCUCCAAAAUUAAGGGUAGUUCUUAUCAAAAAAUCAUCUCAACUCAAUAGCUUAAAUUUUUAGGUAAGGUCUCAAUAUAUGAUUUAUAUUAUUCUCUAACACACCCCCUCAAGUGAAAGCUUUUUGGUCUUGAAACUUGCACAUGCUUACAUUACUUUGUGCUUGAUUUUUUUUAUCAAAUAAAUGAGAAUGGUGAGAUUCGAACUCGUGACCGUUUGGUCAUCAAGGCUCUAAUACUAUGUCAAAGAACUAAUUCAACCCAAAAGUUUAAGCUGUUAGGUAAAUCUCAAUAUAUAAUUUAUAUUAUUUUCUAACAGUUCUCUUGUAUAAUUUGUAUACUUUGAUCCCAUCUUUUUCAUGUUAUAAAUUUUAAAUUUCAACUGCUAAAUUAUUUUAUUUUUUAACAUGAAUAAUAAAGUAAAUUUAAAAAUUCUUGCUAGCUAGGGAAGAAUGGGUGGCUCGUAGAACAAUUCCAAUUAAGUGUUCAAAACCACCAGAAAAUACUCUCUUAAUUUCAACUUGUAAUGUCAGGUGACAUUAAUAAUGCACAUAACAAAGUUCAUGAUUGGGAGAUUCCAAAAAUAGUGAAAUACAAUAUAAUUAUCAAUAAAAGUUUUUUUGUAAUCUAAUCUUUGGUUCUUUCUAGUGUUUCAAUGUGCCUUAAUGUGACCCUCUUCUGGUUGAUUUCACAAAACUCUUUAAUCACCAUGAUUCCCAGAUUUAAUUCUCUCGAGUUCAUAGAAGAAAGCUGAUGGAGUAUGAGAAUAAUAGAAGCAAAUUGAGUACUAUAUAUAUUUUUUAAAUAUAUAAAAAAACUAGGGUUAUCUUUCUGCCUGGAUUUUCUUCGAAUUGAUCAGUCAACAUGUCCCCUGUUCUAAGGCAAUAGUUCAAUUAAAAUACCAAAGAAACAAAAAAUGGUUAUCCUUUAUUAGGCUCUCUAACACCUUUUCUUAAUCUAUUAAAUAAUUAAUUCGAUUAAUAUCAGAAAUAUUGUGGUGGAAAGCACAUAUAUAAUCAGAUAUGUAAUAUGAACCAAAUGAUUGCCUCCUAUAUAUAUUAAUCAGGAUGUAUGGGGACUGUUCUAUAAACUCAAGUCAAGUUAAAGACCUCCUCAGGUUGGAGUUUGAACCCUAGUUUCUACCUAGAAUUCUUCUGAUAUUACUAUUUAAUAGUAAUUAAUAUAUAGGUCUAUUGAUUAAAACUGGUUUACUCCUUUAUUUGAUUAAUUUGACCAUUUGGAGUAUAUAUAUAUAUGUAUAUUCUAUUUCUGAUGAAAUUAGAAAAAUGAAAUUAGUUUUAGAAUGAAAGUAGAGUGAAAGUAUAUCAAACGUCAUCAGAAACUAAUUAAAAGUAGAGAUUUGGCCAUGAUCCGAAGUAUCUUCAGUUGAGGAGCUAGAGAUAUACUUGUGAUAAUUACAAGGGGGAUUUGGGCUCAUAAUUAGCUAUAAUGUAGAGCAAAUGGCUCCAAAAAUUAUGUUACUUUCAUUGCAGUAUCCUUCUGUUCAUAUUUGCUUGCUAAAGUUUUAAAACUUGGAGAAGAAGCAUUGUCUAUGACAAUCAAUUUCACUAAAUGAUGGUGCGUUGAUAUGCUGCAGUAAUGUACAACAAAGCAUCAUUUACAGCACAAUUCUUAAUGGUGGUGGAAUUAUUGCUUGAAACUUCAAAAAAGAAUAAAAAAAAGAGGAAAAAAUAGAGUAGAAAUUAGGAGGAAAAUGAGCUUCAUAGCAUAGAUCACACAAAACACCAUUAGUUGAUCAUGAUCCCUUGAAUGAUUAAUGGGGAUGGCCCAUCUUGAAUACUCAAGCUUUUGUUUUAUACAUAGGGUUAGAAUCUUGGCUUUUCUCUUUUGUAUGACAAGACCUCAAUUAAAUAAUUAAACAACCAAACGUGUCCUUAAUCAUUUGAACUCUCUCAAAUAUAUAUAUAUAUAUAACUCUCUCAAAUAUAUAUAUAUAUAUAUAUAUAUAUAUAUAUAUAGUAGUAUUAUAUAGUAGAUGACAAAUUGCAAUUAAAAUUGUAGCCAACAUUCUUCCUGAAUCCACUGUAACAUGCAUCGAACACAUGGUGGUGUUAUAAAAUUUUAUUUUCUUCUGUUCCCCGGUUUCCUAUCAAUAAAGAUUUCAUGUGAAUAUCACUUAUUUUAUAAGUCUAUAAAAUUUCUUGUCCCACUUUGGGAUCCCUAGCUUAUCAUUUGACCCUCUUAAUUUUUAUUUUAUUUUUAAAAUUUUUCCUUUGAUCUUGUUAGAUUUUGAACUCGGCUAGAUAUGACAUUCCUAAUUGAUCUUCAUUUUGAUACAUGAAAUUAGAGACAGUUAGACUAUGCUGGCAAACUUUUGAUAUUAUUGAAUUCGGUCCAAAUACUUAUAAUUAUUAAAUUUGAUUCAACUUGAUAAAUUGAUUCGGAGCAUUUUCAAUAUAAUCUAAGUUAGGUUUUAAAUUAAAAUAUGCUAUACUCCUUGGCAGGCUAGCACCCUCUGGAUCAUGCAUAGUUACAAAGAAAUAAGACUAGAUCUGACAUUAAAAACUGGAAAUAUUAGUAGAUUUGUACGUCAAUGGGCCCAUCACUGGAAAUCAGAAUUCUACCGGGCCACGAAUUUGAACACUAAAUUAUAUUUUAAGCUUCUCAUAUCUACUUACUUUGGACAUACAAAUCUUCAUCGGAACUCCAUGGCUUGGACACCCCAACAUGUUUCCUGUUUAACUGCAAGAGUUAGAAUUUAAGUAUCAAAAGAUGCAAAUAUAGUAUGAUCACAAGCCACCAACUUUCUUUGUUUCUAAGGUACACUACAUGGAUCAUGUGAUCACAUGAAUGCAAAUGCUAAACAGUAGCUUUUGUUAAAGUGCCUCGAGCCUCUCACUAGCCUAGCCCAUUAUCCAUGGCUGAAGCAUUUUAUAACUGAUGAAAACAUCUUCCACUGCUCCACAUAUCAUCAAAACAUUCUUAGGGGUUAAAGAGUGAAAUAUAAACUACAGCCCUUCAUCACAUGUAGUUUCAAAUUUCAACAAAGUUGCAACCUCUGCAUAGCCAAGAACAUAAUCGACAGACAUUCGAGAAAUAAUGUGCCCAUGUCAACUGCCUCGUUUAAUAUUUGCAUGACUGGGUUUACACAACUAUAUAUUUGCUCUUAUGUGAUAUUCAAGUAAAGGUGUAUACAUAAAUUAAAAGGAUCAAUUGUAAAGGAAAUCCAAAUUUUUUUUUUGUUGAUAUCUACAGUGGCAUUCGGCGUAGCAUUGAAAAUCUCGAGAGUGUUGAUUGUGUUAUUUAUAGUAAACUUCUAUUUGCUGCAAAAGUGCCUGGUGAUAACCUGCUGAGAGAUAAAUGGGAGUUCCAGAAACAACGAAUCAAUCCCUUCUGCAGCAGGGUUUUGCCCUACAGCAUUUGUUUGUUUCCAUUGAGAAAUGGAUUGUCUGAUCCUCAAUGUGUCUCCAAGCCAAACCAUUUUCUAAUCUAGAUGACCAUGCAGUGUACAAAGCUUCUGCAACUUGUGUUGUGAAGCCAUUAUUGCCCAAUUCCAUGAAUUGCAGCUGCUUUGCCAUACUGAUGGCAGUUGUAAGCUCUUGAAUGAAUUGGCAUUCUAACAAAGAAUUCUUUUGACACGAGCUUGUGCAACUGUCAUCAAAGUCAGAUGGAGCAGCUUCUGCCCUGAUAGGACCAUCUUCACUAUCGGCCACUUCAAGCUGAUUACAUUCAGUAUUCAUAACACAUACACCCUGCUUGUCUGAGUCGCUUUCCUUGGGCACACUCAUCUUUGAUGAUUCAGAUUUAUUUAAGUUGGGUUGCAAGAUGUCUGAGCACGACCCUUUAGUCGAGUCAUACUGUAUCAUAUAUGUUUUCUCCAGGUUGGCAUUAUCAGCAAGAUGGAGCUCUUCUAGACAGUCAUUUUCUGCACUCAUUAAAACAAAAGAAAGAAAUUAAUAAUAUUAAUUCAUAAAUGAACAGUUCAAGGGACUUUUUUGUAAGAACCUGCAAGUGCCUGAAUCAUUUGAAGAAUCCCAGUGAGCCCCAGUUGACAUUUGUUCAGGACCAAAACUUUCAGACAGCAUUGUGGAUUUGUAAGCAAUGACACCAUUGCAUUUGUACCCUGCGUCCAUAAUUCAUAAUCAGGUUAGCUCAAAUUUACAGAACUUCAGAUCAAGUAUCUCAAGUUCAAUUCCAGAGGGAAAAAGAAAAAAAGACAUGACAUGACAGCAUGGAGCAGAUAGAAUUUGGCAAUAUUCUUGCCAAGAGCAAUUUAUUAUGAAUAGCUCACACAAUCUACUUUCCCCCCUAGAUCUCAAUGCAUUGUGAUUUGUUACCAGACACCAUUUUCCUUCUAAUUGGUAUCAGGUAACUAGAGUUCAUGAGCAAAAGCAGAAGAGCUUCACAUUGAUGACAAUUAGACACAAUUGCUGUUCGUCAGAUGUGUGAGCACUAAGACAGCCCCAUGUGGUAGUUAAACCAAAUGUCUUGUGGAAUUGUUUACGAUAUUUUGGCCAUUUGCAAGAGAAAACAAAGACUACAGGAUGCCAAUCACCGUUGGAAUUGCUCCUGCUGCAAAGCAGAUAGGGGCCAAAAGAGGUGUGGUUUCAGGUUGUGACACUUCAAACCAAAUUAGACUUGAGAUGACCUCAGAUAGUGGAUUGGCAACAUGGAGCUGAACUCAGAAACUAGAUGAAACAGGUUUCUUGUUAGCAAAAAUACACGGAGUAGCUGUAUCUUUUGUUGUUCUUUCACUCAUAAGAUAUCAAUGAAUUCACGUCUACUCAGAACAGAUUCUGAAUUUGUACUAUGAGCCAGCAACUUUUAGGCAAAUAUAAAAUAUAAGGUUUAGAAAAGACUUCAAAUUAAGAGAAUCAAGAUCAAGCAAGAAACAAGGAUCUCAAACAAAUUGAGUCAAUCAUAUAGAUCAAAUAUAAUUGAACCACCAAAAUCAAGUUCAUCUCCAGUGAGUCAAAAUGUCAUACAAUAGGUCAUGUUUAUAUGUGAUAUUAACUGUUCAUAAUGUGAAGACAUUGUAUCAUGAAACUGUUCAGUACGUAUCUACUACCAUACUAUUUACUUUUCUCUCUAGGAACAUAAUUUCUGAAGAGGCAAACCAAGCUGAAGAAUAAAAAUAGCAAGUUUAACGUCAGAAAACAUGUGAUUAUCAUAAAUUCAAUAAAGAGCAAACCUCUUGCAUAAUAGGAUUUCCAGCAAGGUUCAGCUCAAGAAUACCACAAAUCAGAGUAUCGGUGCUGAGCAUAUGAGUAUAUGCAGGCAUUAGCCCGCAGUAUGACAGGUCAAGUUUAACAGACUCUUGAGACCCCUCGAACAAUGAUGCAGUUAAUUGUAGUGCCCCAUCCUACAAGUAAUAUCAAUUAUUAGAGAAAACAGGAUGUACAACCAAAAGUUCCACAGAAAGUCAACUAUUACUCACAGUUCCUAUGCCAGUGCUCCCAAGCAUUAACCGUGACAAACAUGAUGUUUUAGCAAGUUGGCAGAGACUAUCAACAACAGGCUUGGUUAGCUUUAACCCACUCAGAUUCAGUGCUGCAAAACUACAAACAAGAAAAAUUCCAGGCUUUGUGAGAACUUAUUCAGAAGCUGAAAUCUCAUCCAUGAACUAUGCAGGAAUAUAUAGGUGAAAAGCACUUCAGAAUAUGGAGUUGUAUUGAUAUAAACCUUUUCAAGGUGGCAAGUUUGGCUAGUAGAUUAAUGAUAGCGUUUCCAGAUACAGGGUUAUUAUAUCCUGUUGAAGCACAAAUUAAGUAGACAAUAAAAAAGAAAUAAACUAAAGAAUAUAAUAUAGUAAAUGAGCCAAAUAUAGUGCACCUAUUGAAAGUUGUGCCAAGACCAAGCUCGCAUUUAGUGCAUCAGCCACCUUUUGAAUUGAUCUUGUUGUUAUGGAACAACGCUCAAUAUUCAAGCUGUAUAGGGCUACAAAACAAAAAGAGCAUUUAUGAGCAAAACAAAUAAGGAUAUGUGGGGGAAAGCAAAUGCUAGCAUCUUCAAGCAUACACAGUUGAUGUUCAACACAGAUCAAUUCAACAAAGCCCUUGCUCAACCCCUGUAGGUGCACACUCCGACACAAACUCUUUCAAGGAAAACACAUUAAUAAUCAUUUACUAAAAGUUUUAAAAGUCCGAAACUUACCUCUGCAGUUUUCCAAUAUGGUUGAAAGGUAAGAUCCACAUGCAUCAGUGAGACGGUUUCCAGAGAUAUUAAGAACUUCCAAGCGAGCAAAGAGAACAGGACAUUCACAGAUCUGAAGAUUACAAAUUAAAAGCAUAUCAAGAGCAGAAAAAAAAGGCAUCGCCAAAUGUAGUUCCAGCCAUCAUGAAGUAAGAAUAUUCUGAGCAUAGAAUUCAGUGUUCAUAACAAAACCAAUAGAAGUUCAAGUUACUGCAUUGUCUGGUAUGGAGGAUGUUUAUGUCCCUCUUGGACUCACUAUAUCAGGUAUAUGAACACUGACAGUGCAAUUCUUGGAAUAUAGAAUGGUUCUAUUCGCCUCUUAACUUGCACUUGGUUCAUUCUAGUAAUUCAUAUGAUAUAUAAAUUUGUCCAGAAAGUUCAAGGUUUCUAAAUUGCCUUUGAAUCGCGUGAAUCUCUUUUCUAAACUUAUGCAUGCUACUUAUGGAAUAAAAUUUAACAUUAUAAGGAAAAAAAAAACAAAGGCAUUGAACUCUUAUAUAUUGAGAAGAUGCAUCGCUGCUUACCUAUGCAUGAAAAAAGGCUUACAACAGAAGCCAAAUCAAGUGUAUCAAACCAACUUGAACUUAACAAAACCCAAGUACACUAUCAAAUACUCAGGAAAGAAUUGAAAACAACUUCCAUAAACAUGUAAUUUAUUAAACUAUCAUAUUGUUUUUGGACAAACUUCAAAAAUACCCCUAACCAUAUAGGUAGUCUCAAUGUUACCACCAAAUAAUUUUUGGUAUCAAUUUUACCCUCAAAAUUUUAGAAAUUCUCAAUUAAGGACUUUCAUCCAUUUUUAAGGCUUUCCAUCCAUAUUUCCACCCAAAUUGUACUAUUUUUUUUUACGAAACAACAUCAUUUUAUAGGAAACUUAACGUUUUCUAUUAAGUAUUCUACCAAAAGUCCUUAAUUGAGAAAUCAAAAUAGAUUACAGGUAAAAGUGAAAUAAAAAAUAGUUUGGGUGCAAAAUUAAUAAUACCUCAAAAACUUGGUGGUAUAUUUGAUGUUUUCCCCAAUUUUUUUCAUGUUUUGACAAUAGUUUAACUCCCUAGCAUAUAAUAUUUACUAGUUCAGUGGCGAAUAACCAAAUUCAAAGGAUGCACCAGUCUCAAGAUGUUUACCCGAUGUCUAAAUGUUCUGCUUGACAACCUAUUAAUUGCUUUUACAGAAUGAGAUUUCUCUGCUAGUUAGUGAACUACCAACCGUACAUAAAAUUGACAAUGUAAACAUAAUUUGUAUUUAAUUGCAUUCUUUUUGGUUCACGUAUUCUCCAUGCAGUUUUUUUCCUGACUUUUAAUAUCUUUGAAUUCAUUCUACUUACUAGAAGUGCGCUACUUAAGUUCUAUGUAUCACUUCCAAUUGAUUAACAUCAAAUUUUCCAAACAACUUGUCCUCAAUAAUAACGUCAUGAGCACAUGUAAGAACUAACAGCAAUAGAAAACCAUGGCCUUUGUACAGCUUUGUUAUUUAAUCCUCCAAGAUUGCAAUAUCCAAAUGCCAUGUUAUUAUUUGUUGAAAACAUGAGUUUUUGGAAUAGGAAGUUUUAAAGCAACAUCAGGUUGUAAAAUUGCAAAAGAUCUGCAUCGCAUAUGGUCCGUUCAUUUCUUUCUUAAGUAUGGGUUUUAGCUGGACCUAAAACUGAUGUCAUUUUAAAAAAUUAAUCAUUGAUGAGAUAAACUAAUUUUGGAGAGAGCAGAUUGUAGCAGUGAAAAAUGCAAACUUUAUAUACAACUUAUUGGUAGUAAUCGACAAUGUCCAUAGCACAUUAAACAAAUAACCAUAAUAUUGCCAUCAUUUUGUGUCCAGAUUUCCCAGUUACACGUUUGAAAUUGGUUGAGAAUGUGAUUCCUUCGGAUUUGAGAGUCACAAUGAAUGCUUGAGAACAACCAAGCAGGGGAUAGAAUACUCUAAAUCAAUAUUAGGCUGUACAAGUUACAUACCUGAAAUAAAGCAGUUGGACCAAACCGAUUACAAUGCAGGUCCAAAGUCAAAUCACCGUAUUUUUGCCCUGAUGUGAGAAAUUGUUGAAGUUUCUCCAUUGUUCCAUUCCCUGAGAGACAAUAACCAAUGGACAGCUAAUAUUAGCAGAGCAGAAAAUUGACGACCCCUCAUUCCUUUAAGAGAUAACAAGGACAAUGAUGCAAUAACAGCUUUUUUCUGAGAAGCAUGCAGAGAAACAGUAAGCAUGCCCUUUGUAAUCCAGAAACAGAUCCAUAUAGAAGUUACGAUCAAAAGCCAACUAUCAUUACCCAAAAAAUUAUGGGAAAGGUCUAUCACGGCAACUGUUUUGUGGGUAUCCAGGGCAUUCAACAGUGGAGUUACUGAUAUAUCUUGCAAUUCACAUUCAGAUCCAAUGACUUCAUCCUCUACCUGGCACACAAGAAAUGAGUGGAACAAAAUAGAAACCAAUUUGGACAUGUAUAACUCCAACAGAUAAUGAGAUCCACUAUCCUGCCAUUACCAAUAAUAGAACAAGAUCCCCCUUCACCAAUCAGCACCUAACCAAUCCCCAUGCUUACCUCUGAAAUGUAUAGUUUCUUAAGCAACUUCAUAUUAGGUGCCUCGGAUAACUCCUCACAGCAGUCGAUGUACAGCUUCAUCAAGCGCUUUUGAACCCAACCUGUUGUUUCAUUGAAUAAAGAACAUGACAUUAGGAAAAAACUUGAAAUGAAAAGAAUAAAGCAGCAGCAUCUACUUUGACAGUUGCUGAAUAUGGUUAUGCUGCCUAUACCAAUUAUGACUAUCUUCGGAAGUUACUAGAGAAUAAGAGAGCAAAGUUGAAGAUUAGUUUUAGAAAACUGUUCUGGUUGGAUUCUCUUCCAAAGUAGUAUUUCUUCAAGCAUCAGGCAGAAAUAUCAUUUGAAAGCAUGCAGUUUUAUUUAUGCCAUUCUCAUUCUACAGCUCUUAUAUAUUUCAGAAGUAAAAUUCCUCAAUCAGGAUCCUUGUUGGCCAGAAUAAUGUUCAACACAAUUUGAGCCAACUUAAGUUAAUUUUUUUUUUUUCCAGUACCUCUAUUCUAAAGUACUUUAUUCCGCAACUCAUUGUGAAACUGAUCCUAUCAAGAUUGUUAAUGAAUGCCCAAAAAGUCCCUCAAGACUGUCAACAACAAUGCCACAUAAAAUAUCGAUAGUUUCCACUGACUAUUACCACGUACACAAGGCCUGAACUAACAAGUUAAAAUAUUUGAAUUGGGGAGAGAAUGACAAACUACAUUCACCAUAAGAAUACUCAAGAUUCAAGGAAAAUAAAGAAGGCUGGAAAAAAUAUAUCAUGGAAAGGAAAUUGGAAGUUGUAACACAUACCAUUAAUGGAAACUUCUAUUAGGAUAUUUCCUUGAUCACCCUUGAGAGUUUCAAAUGCUUCUAUGGAAUCUAGAACUCUUCCAUGACAUUUCAUAUGCUGAACGAUGGGCAAGAGACCUAAUGAGAUAAAAUCCACGUGUUAAUAGAAGUGAUGUAACCAAGAAAGGAAAAUAAUACCAUUAAAUAAUAAACAUGCUGGAGAGUGAAAUUUCUUCUAAUUAAGAUGUUGCGAGAAGGUUUUAGUUUUAUGUUUAAGAAAAUAAACAUGUUGGAGAGUGAAAUUCCUUCUAAUUGUGCAUUGUUCUUCGCUCUUUUUCAAUUUUUGCAUGACAAGAGUAGGACUUAAACCCAAGACUUCACUUCCUCUGCAUUGGGAAAGUACUGUUGGGCAAAACACCCAAUCAAAUAAAGGAGCAAAAAAGGGAGUCUAUGCACAGUUGAGACCGUAGCAAAACAAAAAGCUCAUUGUCAUGCAAUGUAGGCUUAUGCACGUGCCAUGUACAACAAAGGAGCCUAAGCUUCAUACGCUGGGCAGUAGAAAAACUUCACUAUGCAUAUAACGUAAAGCAUAUAUUUGCAACUCAGCAUGGGCACCAAUGAAGCCCACCAUUGGUCAUUUAGAUGCCAAAAUCAGCUACAUUGGAGCAACACAGCCUUCACAGAAAGAAUCUCUCUGCCAACUCACUUUAGGAAUACACAUGACAUGAUUUCCACUGCAAUUCUGCCAAAUUGUUUGUUGUCUUUUGAACAGAAGAAAAAAAUGAAAAAAAGACUUGUGCUCGCUGCUCAUUGUUAGCCUUUCUAAACAGUGCACAAUCAUGUGUUCGAAGGUGCAUUUAAAUCCAUUCUUGUUGCCAUUCAAUAUACUCUGCCACUCGUAAAUCAAAUGCAACUUGUUUCUUUAUUGUUAUUUAUUAGAUUUGUGUGGAUUACAACUCAUAUGCCCUAAAUUAUGAUUGUCAGAAAAUAAAAGCAUAUAAAGUCCAAUAGUCAUGCCCACCUUUUGAUCUCUUCUCUGUAGGAAGCUGCAAAUAGUACAAACAGGCCAGCUCAACAGUCAUAGACUCAAUGCUCAAUUUAUCAAAAGCGAGGUAUGAAGCUGCAUCUACUUGUAUCAGGUCAUUGUCAAUUCUGAAUACAAUACACUGCUGCAGUCAGUACAAGAGAUCAUAUUAGCAAUUUACAUCAGCAACAACCAAAUAAUUAUAUAGCAUAGGAAAUACAGUGAUAAAUAAGCAUUCUUCAUUAUCUCUAGAUGGCCUUUAUCUAGUUCCAUAGUAAGCAUCUCAGGUUUGAAACCAAAAGGUUGCAGAUUUGAGACCUACUUCAUGAAAAAUUGAUGGAGAGGAGUGUCUCUAAGAUCUCCCUUGUAAAUUAUAAUCGUAAGACAAUUAAAAAUACCACAUGUAACACUCACAUUAUCAUCAUUCUCAGAAUUGUGCAACCUGAGAUGAGCAGCAUUGUUUUUAUGCGUUAAGUUCUCAGAGACAUCACAUUUGGAGCCACUAGCAGCAAGAUCACAUGCAAAAACAACUUCAUUGUUGCUUGAAGAUCUGAAAACUUUGCCUUUGGGAGUCACAAUUUUUGGGCUCUGAGAUUUGUAUGAAGAAGUGCUUUCUUCAUUGUUAUUGGGAUUCCAGGAACUGGUAGCACAUUUGGAAGCAACUGUUGAUACACCCUGCCAAAUAAAGUGUAAAGUAAUUAACAAUCAACUUCACAAGGGAAACAAUAUACUUCAGCUUUUGAUCUAUCUAUUUUCAUACCUGAAAUGCACAUGCAGAAAUAGCUGGAUUGCUUGCCCCCAUAACUGCAAUUAAAUAAGAAGUACUUCAGUACUAAUAGAAAUGAAAUUUUAGAUCAUAAAUAAGUUCAUCAUUCCUGAUUAAAAAAAAAAAAAUUAAACCCACAUCCAUUAGAAGUAGCAACAUCCUCCGGAGGGCAUCUAUUGAGCCUUUCUCUGGAACCGUCUACGUUAUCAUGCAUUUCAUCUUCAUCAUCUGAAAGGACUAUUCUAAUACGUUUACGACUAAGAACUGUCUGCUGAUCACUAGCUGUUUUGGAAAAACAUUUUGGAGAGGCUUCAGUUGGCCAAGUAGAAGUAUUAUGCAUUUCUUCUUGAGUUGACUUUGUUCCGGGAGAAUUUUUAUGGGACCGAAGGAGUGAAAUCAGAGGUAAAUCAUCAUCCAACCCUUCAGCACCAGCUAAAGAUUUUGAUCUUGCAGAACCAGAUUUGUUAAUUUCUUGGGAGCAGGAUGCAUUAGAUCUACAAUCUGACAAGUGAUCAUCCCCAUCUGUAUCAGUCUCAGAGCAGCAAUCCGUUGCCAAAUUCUGCCUUUCAAGCUCUGUGUUUUUGGACUUUAACCUCUCAAUUUCAUGCUGCAACCUCCUACAAAAGCAAACCUUUCUUUGAGUAAUAGUACAUAUUUGUGCCUCUGCAAGAAAACCUUCAAACUUCAAUUUACUGCAAGACUAGUGUUUGGGUUAUCAACUUCUAAAGUUGAAAUUCCUAAGCCAUCAAAGCUAAUUCCAAGUGGCUAGCCUAGAUUGAUGAAAGGUCUUGCAUAAUCCAAAUUUACCUGGCCUCUUCUUCAUUGUCAAAUCUUAUCAUGUGGCUAUAGUGCAUGUUCUCUAAUGCUGAAAGCUGAACAGAGGGAAGAUUAGCAUUAACAGCAAUCCUGCAUAAUAGGAAAACAAAAUAAGUGAGGCUCGGUGUUAUAAGCCUAAGAAAUAGGUACAAGUAGACAACCACAAGACAAUUGAUUUCUACUCUAACAGAAUGAUUUCAGGUGACCCUCACAGGGAAUAGUCUGAAAUUUAUUUUUCCCGUCCUUUUAUUUUCCUUUGUUGUAACUCUUGCAAAUUCAAAUUACUAACAUAGCAAUUGGGUGUCAUUUCAGGCCCAUGUAAUAUUCACCAAAAGUUGAGAUUCUUGGCGAAUUCGUGUUCGCUGCUUCGCCAACCAUUACCAAAGUAGUAUCUAUUCUGUUUAGCACUUCAGAUGCUUCUGUUGCAUAUAAUUUAAAUCCUGUAGCAGGUCACCAAAAGGAAAAGGCAGGACUUUUGAGGUAACUAGAGCAUUUUGAUGAUGAUGAUAAGAAUUAAUAAAUCAAAUAAGGAUGAUAAGAGAAUGAUAUGAGAAAAAUAAUCACGCAACAAUUAAAAAUUUCACAGAAUUUAGUAAUGAUGCAUUAAAUUAAUGCACAAUCCCUAAGGAAUGAACUACAUGUGGCAAUACCUUGAGUAUAUUUUGUUUACAGAUAGUCAAGGAAAUUAUAGUGCACUGAAAUGCAACAUUUCAACAGGGAGUAUCAUGGAGAACCCACCUUUCAUAUCAACCCACCCCCCUCCCUCGAAAAACCCAUAUCCUGACACUAAAUAUAGGUUCAAUCCAGUUUCUGAGGAGGAGAAAUCCAGCAUAAAAGAAGAUCUUUCAUAAUUUGUUUAAAAUACAUGAUGAACACAUCAAAGCACCUUCCUAACCAUAUAGACUAGAUGCACCAAUGGCAUUUGUCUUUGGUUACAUUCCUAACCGAACACUCCAAAUACUGCUUACAAAUAAGCAAAACCCUGUUUCAAAAUACUAUCCUCUUAUUGUAUUGAAAACAGCAGUAUCCACAUGCACACUUCCCAGUUUGCCCACAUGGGCUGCAUUUGAGCCUUGUAUUAAAAAACAGGAUGUACUUUGUAAAUGCUGAUAUGCUUAAAACACCAAUACUGUCAUGCUAGAACUCCAUGAAUCUUCUAAUUCAAACAGAGAAAUUUCUGAGAAAAACAAGGUGUUAGAGAAAACUACCUAUAGCCCUCCUCAAAUGCAUUUAGAGCUCCCAUCCAAUCACCAUCACAGUCCAGAACAUCACCAAUAUUAAUUUUUGCUAAUGCUUGACCCUGAAAUCAAUAAUCGUUAAUAGUUAGAGCUUUGACUGUCAAACCUAAAGUGCAUCUUGACUUGCAUGUGCGCCAACUCUUAUACCAAGUAGCUCAAGCUAAAUUUAAUGGCUCCCCUCAAUCAACCAUAAGUUUAUUAACAGGUAUACAGGAGAACUAGCAUAUGAAAGGACCAUAGAACCUACAAAAUUACCUCCAAGUUGCUGAUUGACUUGUAUGUCUCCCAACUCUUCAUGAACCAUUUAAUGGCUUUCUUGAAUUUUCUGAGCUUCUGGUAUGAUUCUCCAAGAAGUAGAAAUGAAUCGCCCAGCUUCUCUUUAUCACAGAGUUCACUAGCUAUUCUCUUCUUCCUUUUUGCAAAUUCAUGAUGCUAGACAUAUAACAUCACAAAAUUGCUCAGUUUAAAAUCACAAAAUAGAAGGGUGGGGGGCAGAGACACAUGCCAUGUAUAAUCAAUUUAGUGGAAAGUUUCUCUUUUGCCUAAAAACAACAUACAAUAAAAAAUAGAAAGUUAUUUUAACAGUUCAAAAUAUGUAAAUGACACCAUACUAAAUCCUAGCUCAAACAAGUUAAUGAAAUUUAACUAGAUCUGUUUCAAAAAUAUCUAAGAAAUUCAAUUUCUGUUAACUUAGGACAGCAUUAAUGUGGAGAUUCUCUCUAAGAAGAGCACAGUGAGAUGAUCAAAGCUAGCAAGGGGACACAUAAAAUGAAUGCAUCUCAUGUAAAUAUGUUCCCAAUUUUUAAUGCAGUAAAUAACUCUUAGAAUAUGUUCUAAGAGCAGCUAGAUAUUGGCAAAGCUAUUAGAAGUUUACAUUAUGUAUGGUAGAGCAGCUACCUUUGACCAUGCAAGUAUAAUGCUCGACUUCUCAAUGAGGCAGUCAAGGGAUGCAUUCUGCUGCAGCAAACACUUCCGCUCAUGAUGUGUUCCCCUUGCAGUGACUAUACUUCUAGUUAACUUUUUAAGAUUCUGCUCUUCUUUCUUCAAUUCAUCCAUCACCUUCAUAGCUUCUUUUACAGUUCCAAUAUUAUGACCAAUUUCCUUGACCAAAGUAUCCUCAUCUUCCAUGGAUUUUGCCAGAUCAAGUGCCUUAUGAUAGCAAAGAUUUGCUUCCUCAUACUUUUGAGCCCUGUAAUGCAAUUCACCAAGAUUGAUGUACCCUUUUGCCUCCCCUUGGCAAUGCCCUAUUCUAUUACAAAUUCUAAUAUCUUUUUUAAUGUGUUCCUGAGCCUUAUCCCACACCUUCAACUCCAUGUAAACAUUUCCAAGAUUGUGAUGGAGCCUGCUCCGACCAUCAUCAUCUGCAUCAACUUCUUCCUCAUCGCAUAUUUCUAGUCCUCUAGCAAGUAUUUUCUUGGCUUCUUCCAAGUUAUCAAGAUCCAUUUCAAUCAUUCCUAUAUUAUUAUGGGCAUCUAUAUAUUCUUUGAGGAAAGACGAUUUAUUAGUAUGUGGAUUUUCCUUGAGAGACUGAGCUAGCUUCAUGGCUGACUUGAAGUACUUCUUGGCAUUCCGAAUUGAAGAAUGGUCAUUGUCAGAUUUUAAGAACAUUUCAUGGUAUGUUCGACCAAGCUGGGUGCUGGCUCUUUGCUGUUCAACAAGGUCGUUGGCAUCCUUGGCAAGAUCCAAAUGCUUUUUCUACAAUAAUGAAUCACCUUUUAAUAAUCCAUAUUGAUAACAGAUCCACUUACUUGCAACCUUUGCUUUUAAAGCAGAAAUUUACUCAAAGCUCACAAGUAAAUCCUGCUAUAACCCUUUAUUUAAAUAUUUUUCAAAGUUUAACAACCCGGCUUUUAGACAAGUCAUAUCUUCCCUUUAUCCAAAAACUGAAGAGCUAUAAACAAAAACCCUCUUGGUAGUUUAAAACGCCAAGAAAAAAAAAAGAAGAAGAAUCACCUCCAUUCAGCUAUUUCUAUUAAUAUCCAUUUCAGCAGACAUUUCAAAACUCACAACUCAAACCAUCAUAAUUUCUCCCAUUUUCAUAGAAGCCAACAAAUUGUAUAAAAUUUACAAUUUAAUCCUCACAAAUUAUACAUUCUUUUCAAAAAAACAAAAAUCAAAUUUCCUUCAAUUCUCAACACCCAACACCCACACCCCCCCCCCCCACCCCCCCCCCAAAAAAAAAAAAAAAAAACCAAUUCUCCUUUUAUUCUCUCAAAAAGAAAAAGAAAAAUCAUAAUCUGACCAGAAUCAAACCCUAAAAUCACAAAUUAGAACAAACAAAACCCCAAAAUUCCCCUCAAAAUUUUAAACUUCCCAUCAAUUCCCCUCACCCAAAAUCCAAAACGCACUUCUCAUUUUCCAAAAAACAAAUUAAAACCAAAUUUUCAUUUUCUAAAAAAAAAAAAGUGAUCCAAUUCAGAAAUCUAACCUGGUAAACCAAAGCAUGCUUGAAAUCAUGAAGUCUGAGAUAAACAUCUCCAAUAGAUUGACAAGUAGGCAACAACUGCUUCUCAGGCAAGUACUUGUUCGAAAUCUCAUAAUCUAUACGUAACCAUUUCAAUGCCUUCACAUACUCCCCUCUGUUCUUAUACAUAUCUCCUAUCAAAUUUGCCCAUCUUGCUUCCUCUUGGUGAUUCCCUACUUCACGCGCAUUAACAAAUGCGCGUUUCGCUGUCUGCAUUUCUUGCUCUUCUUUGCUUAUCGGCAUGAUGGUAUUUGUCGAUGUUGAGCGGAGAGAAAUGGAGGAUUUGGGAUUUUAGGGUUUGGUGUUUUAGAUAGGGGAUUUUGGGUUUUUUGAAAGUUUUUAUUUUGGUGCGCAAAAAUGAAAUUUCCCGCCAGAAGUAAAAGCGAGUUAUGAAUUGAACAGCUUGAGGCCCGGACCACGGUAAGGCAUCUGGGCAUCUGGGCCCAUAACCUUUACAAAUUGGUCUCAAUGAAUUUGGGUUUUUAAAAACUGGAAAAUUAAAUUUUACAGUGUUUAUCAAAGAUAUUUUAUUAGUUAUUUUUUAUGUUUAUUAAAAAAAAACAUACAAAAAGUAAAGAAAAAAUAAAACUCAUAAUACAUAAUACAUAAAGAGAUAAAAAUAUCUCCACUUUAAUUUUUUUUCUACUUGUAUUUAUUAAAAAAAUAAGCGUAGAAAAUAACUAAUAAAAUAUUAUUAAUUAUUCCCUAAACAUCAUAAAAAAAAAUUUGAAUAGUAGAUUAAGACUUACAUAUCAUAUGAUUAUGAAAUUGUUGCCUUCAAUAACCAUACAUCUCAAGCAAGAGUAGUUGUAUAGGCUAUGAUUUGGUGGGUUGACAUAAAAAUAUUGGAAUUAAUUGCUUGAAUUGGAUUGAGUUUCUAUUUGAAUUAGUAAGAUAUUGACUUGGCUAAAUUUAUUUAUCCAUUAUCAUGUUUUUAAUAAUUUAAUUAUCUAGAACAUCCAAAAAUUCAAUUAGGAUUUUUAUCCUAGUUCUUUUCAAUGUCCGCUGCAACAAAAAGUAUUAACGCUACAAAGUUCUGAUCAUUUCCUUCCUCUCAACAGGAAAACAUUGCCCUUUUUUUGCCCUUUGAAUCUCCAAGCACAAAGAAUGGGAACCCUAUCAACAGAAUUGUUAAUGAGGUUUUCUUCUUGGUUCAAAGUUUCUCUUAAAGGCUAGCUAGCUAGUUCUAUUAUUUAUUGUUUGUCUUCUACUUUGGAUAAAAUUAUACAUAUAUUGCAGCAGCAACUGGUAUACAUAUUAAUUAUGAUGUUUGUGGUUACUCAUAUAAUAGCUAGUGGAGGCUUACAUAGUCGUUAAUUUCAGGACCCGUGGGAUUAAUCGAGAUACACGCAAGCUGGUCCGGACACCUACGUUAAUAAAAAAAAAUGAUAUAUCAGAAAAUGUUUCGUACAGACAUCUCAUACACACAUAUGCAAACAUAUUUUUCGAACCUUAUCUCAAUCCAUGCCUUGAUUGACAUCAUAUUUCUCAGGUUUGGUAAGAAUAACUGAUGUACACAGCCCAACAAUCGAUCAUAUUUACUGAGAUCCCACUUCUGUCUACUUUAGCUGAUCAUCAAAUAUAUAUUAUGUCCUCCCGUUUUCCAAUAAUUCACUAAUGUUAACUUAGUUAGCGUCUUGUUCAAACUUCCACGAAGUAAAGCAUAACUUGAGUAAAGAGGGUAUGAUCCAGUGGUUAAACGAAUGUGCUCAAGUUACGAUCAAUGCAAUGGUUAAAGUAAUGUGUUGAAAACUUAGAUCAAGUAGUGAGGAUUAAUAUUCUCAUUAACCACCACCUAGUAUCCAACCAUAAAGAAAAUGGGGAAAAAAAGAGAGAAGAUAACAAGGAUAUAUACGAAGAAAAAAAAAAAAUCUCACAAGUAACGGUGAACUUAACUCUACAUUGAACUGUUGAUGAUGAAAAAAAAGUAUUAUUGAACUAGAACCUUGAUAAAAUGCAACUUAAUUUCAUGGCAGCCACACUACAUUUGAUCCAAUAAAUUACAUAAUCUGCAAUUCAAUUAUUAGCAGAAGAAUUUGGUGAAGGAGGAGGUGGUGUAACUAUAGUCCCAUCCAUCAUCAAAAUCACUUGCUUCAUUGUUGGCCUUGAAUCUGUCUCUGUUUGCACACACCACAAUCCGAUCUUAACCAUUUUCUCCAAUUCUUCCAAGUUCACCUCUACUUCACCGACCACUUUCUUUAGCUCGCCAGCUUCAUAGCACCUCUGAACCCAGUCCAUUAGUAUUAUUUCAUCAUCCGGAGCUGACAAGUCCACGUUCUUCCUACAAGACACAAUCUCAAGCAAUAAGAUACCAAAGCUAUAGACAUCAGCUUUGGUUGUGACAGGUGUGUUGUUUCUGUGCCACUCAGGAGCUUCAUAGCCUCUUGUGCCUCUUGGAAUCGUGUAUGUUCUUGUUUGGUCAGGUUUUAAGAGCUUGGACAGUCCAAAAUCUGAUAUUUUUGCGGACAUAGAUUCAUCCAUGAGUACAUUAUGGGGCUUAAUGUCACAAUGGAUGAUCUUGGUCUCGCAUUCUUCGUGUAGAUAAUGAAGCCCUUUUGCUACCUCUAGAGUAAUCUUGGUUCUUACUUUCCAACUUGGUUGUUUCUUGUCCUUGAAGAUUAGGUUCCCUAAUGAACCAUUUUUCAUGAGCUCAUACACAAGUAUCCUAUGUGAUCCUUCGCAGCAAAAGCCAAUCAAACGCACCAAGUUCUUGUGAUGAGUUCGCCCAAUUAUCUUCAUUUCAUUUUGGAACUCCCGUUCUCCGUCUUCCACCAACUUCUCUAGCCUCUUCACUGCUAUUUCUUUCCCACCAUUCUCUGGCAGUGAGCCUUUAUAGACCCUCCCUGACGCCCCUUUACCAAUCUCUUCCAUGAAGUCAUCGGUAGCUACCGCAAGUUGAUCAUAGCUAAAUGACGUCAAAUUGAUAUCUCCAAGGACAUCCGGUGGACAAUCUUGGCUUGUCAUCACCUUCAAGCUCCAAAUCUGAUGUGUGUAUAUAAGAUAACCAGAUGAUGCAAAUAUCACUAAAGAAAAGGCAAUCAAAACCACUCCAGUAAUUAGAAGUUCCUUGCCAAUCUUCUUUGUGAUGACGUUUUUUGUAUUGGUUAACCUAACCUUAACAAAUGACUUAGUAGGACUACUGCUAUUUUUCAUUCCAUACCUCAAUGGAAGCUUUGGCUUAAAGCAGGUUUGGUCCCUAAACAUGGCCACCACACAAUAGCAAUCUUCCAGGCAAGCUUUUGAACAUGCUUCUUCACUCACAGGCGUCAAAACUUCGUACUCGUCUCGUUCCCAGACAGUGUUUUCUAGCGUGGAAAUCAUGUAAUUGUCAUUAGCUCCUUUUAGAAAACAAUCACUAUCUAUGCUGAAAUUUAACUUGCAGCCCUUAUUGGGCUGGUUGGGAUCAACAAAAUCGAAACCAGGAGGACAUAAGCAGGCAAUAUUGUCUGCGCCAUUAUUAGCACAAUAGCUGUUAAGCCACAAACGCCUUUCACCGAGCAACGAUCUUCUCCAUUUAUUGCUGACCAUAAGACAUUGGAAUUCAAGCUUCCAUUAGUUCCCAUUUGAUGUUGGUAAAGCCUUAAAACGCCAUCAACAUCAAAUGUUGCUCGAUACAAUGUGGUCUUAUUGACUGGAAGUCUACCUUCUGUCAAAUUCCUGAUGGUAAACCCUGUUGAGCUCGCAAGAUACAAUCUGCUAUCUGCUGCGAAAGUUAAAGAUACGUCCGGUGCUAUGUUUGUAGAGUGUGAUGACCAAUAAAAAUAUUUAACCAUUUGCAAACCUUUUGAUGGAUAAGCAACGAGAUUUCCAUCUCCUUGCAUCCAUAGCUUAAAAUUUCCGGCAGAAUCAUCAGCAUCAGAUUUGCUUGAAUAUAGAAUCUUGUCAGGACCCAGUUCUUGUGUUACCAAAAGUGUGUUGGUAGGAAAUCGGAAAGUAGCCCAUACAACUUCCAUGUUGGAGCCAUAAAGCAAAAGGUUGCCUGAAUCAUGCAUUGCAGCAACUUGUGCCCUUUGCUGGGUUUCGGCUAUCAAUUGAACUUCGGUAAAGUUCUGUACAACAAGCCUACCAUCUGAGGUGAAAACAAGGCUUGCCCCUGGUAAGACUGCAGGUUCAUUUCGCUGUGCGGUCCACACAACUGUGUUUCUUGGCCUUCCAAUGAGCCAAGUGCCCACCUUGAAGCCAUUGCCACUAGGAUAAAAUCCGAACGCAAAAUGACCAGAAGGAGAAGGCCAGAAGUUUGGAGUGGAAUUGGUGAACAGAGUGGAGCCUUUUGUUAUGUUGGAUUGUGAUUUUGCUGCAGAGAAUAGGUAUAUGAAGAUCACGAAAAAAACAGUUGCCAUCAAAGUGUCUAGUCUUUAGUGCUGUAAACAACGUUUGUUGGUCUUCUGUCUCAAGAGCGAGCUCUUUAUAAAGAAUAAGACGAGGCCAGGAUCUUCCCUCCUUUCUUCUCCAGCUUUUACUAGGCAAUUUCCUAGCUAAAAUGCUGGUUACGGUGAGGUUUGAAUUCAAACUGGUUAUUAAAUUUUCGAUAUUAUAUAAAAAUGUUAUUUUAAUCUAAUAAUUUAAAUUAUUAGAAAGAAUUUUAAAAUAUAAUUUAUAAAAUAAAUCAUAUCAUGCUACUUUCAUGUCCGAUUGAACUGUUGGUACCGUACAUAGGAGUAAGUUGCCAUCAAAUUAAUUGAUUUGCCAGAAGAUCAGUGAGCUAAUCUGUUUGUAUUUACUACCUUACAUCAACGACAUCAGGAAGAGAAUCAUGUAGAAUUCUGUUGAAAAGAAGGCUACACUAUAAUUAUUCGACGUUAUAUUUUAUUUGAUUUAAUAAUUAUGAGCUAUUUAGCUUCACAUUAUUUUUUAAAAUAUAUUAACAUUAUUUUUAAUAUCAAUCCAUUAAAACAUAUAAAAUAAAAAAAAUUAAUUUUUUUUAAAAUUACUCAAAAAAAACAAUAUCAUGUUUUGAAAACCAAGAACACGUCUUUCCUCGAUUUAGCAUAACGUGGAAAACAAAUCCAAUUACCACCUACCCAACAACUUAUGUCCACUGGGCACAUGAAAUGCAGUUCCUGUAGCUAAAUGUUGUUAUAGUUAAUUUUUAAAAUAUAUUUUUAUUUAAAAAUAUAUUAAAAUAUUUAUAAAAAAAUAUAUAUUUUUGAUAUCGGCGCAUCAAAAUGAUUUGAAAAUACAAAAAAAAUAUUAAUUUAAAACAAAAAAAUAAAAAUAUUUUUAAAAUACAAAAAUUAUCUAUUUUCGUGAUGAAAAUCAUACGUUUGAUGCCAAAACUUUUUUAAAAAAAGAUGUGUGAACAUACAUUAAAUCAUGAGACCAAACUCAUGGAAGACAACCAUAAUGCCCAGCAAGUCUCAAAAACGCGUAACAAAGUCUAUUUCAAGGUGCUGGGGCUUCUCCGGUUUCUUGUUUACGGUGAAUUUGUAAAGUAUUUUUUGUUUUAUAAAUUUUAUUUUUAUUCUAAAUUUAUAAAUUAAAUAUUAUAUUUAUUAAUCUAAUAUUAUAUAAAUAUUAAAAAUAAAUUAAGUUUUUAUUAAUAAUAAAUAUGUAUUUAUAUGAAUAUAUAUAAUAAUACCAUGUAUAAACCAAUCAAUUAGUUAUAGGUCAUAUUAAACUAACAAGUUUGGUGUGCAUUUGGUAAUCCAUGGUGAUUUAUUUAUUUUUAUUUAUAAUUUAUAAUUAAUUAAUUUUUAACAUUAGUGUAUAAAAUCAUAAAAAAUUAAAAAAAACAAUUUAAAUUUUUUUCAAGUAAAAAAUAAUUAAAAAAACAAAUUAAACUAUAUUACCGAACAAAACCUAACCUAACCGUGAAGCAGAAGCAAGGACGGAAAGAAAAGAAGGCAGCUAACCAGCAGCUUGAUUGUGCUACAAGCUAUGAUGGAAUUGAAACACAACUUCCUGUGUCCACAUGUUUUAACGAAUGAAUUUCAACAGAAAACACCAUGCUUUACAAAAGUUUCAAAGAUCACAAAAUCAUGUUAAUUUGAGAUUUUUUAGACAUAAGUAUAUCAAAAUAAUUUAAAAAUAUUAAUUAAAAUAAAAAAAUUAAAAUUUUUAAAAUUAUUUUUAAAAUAUAAAAACAAAAAUAAUAUAAAGGUGCAUUUACAAAAAAAGAAAAAGAAAAAGAAAAAAAGGGAGUCGUCUAUCCUCCUUAAUUUUGUGUAUGGGCGUCGGACAGCAUCAAAACUAACAAUAAUACAAGUGGAUUUCAGUAUCCCAUUUCAAUAGAAUUUUGUUCUGUUUGAGCUAAGGCUUAAAUUGAUUGUUUGAAGGUAUAGUUGGGGUUAUUUUUUAAAGUGUUUUUCGUGCUGAAAUAUAUUAAAAUAAUAUUUUUUUUAUUUUUAAAAAAUUAUUUUUGAGAUCAGCACAUCAAAACGAUCCAAAACAUGCAAAAAAAUAACCUUUACCAAAAAAAAAAUUAAAUUUUUAUGGAACGUAUUUUGCACCGCAUUCCGAAACAGUGCUUAAAAAAAAUAUAAUAUUGGAGUCCUAUCUCUGAAAUCAAUGAGUUUUUAAUUCCAUUUCAAAUGGAUUUCAUAUUUCAUUGAAAAAUUACCAAAUCUAAAUAUAUUUUUUUUUCUCAUUUUCAAUUUAAUGAAAGAUAAAUCGGUCUAGGGCUUAAAAUAAUUUUUGCAUCAACACCUUGUGCUGUACGUCCAAAAGUUAACCAGAAUUUAAUGAAAGAUAUAGGUUGUUACCUGCCCUCUGAUCCCUACAGGUUUUGAGGGCUUCUCAAUUUCUCCCCCAAUCUUUUGUUUGUAUCAAUUACCUCCCUGAGUUUCCAUGGAAGUCUCAAUUCUUCCGUUUGAUCCAUCUCAAUUCAUGAAGCUAAAGGAUCUGACCAUAAGUCAUUCUUUAUUUCUCAAUUGACCUCCUGAACUUUUGAAAAAAUAUUAAUAAAAAAACUAAUUCUUCAAUGACAUUAACAAUAUUGUUUUUUCAAUUAUGGUUAUAAUAUUAUCUUUUUUUUACGCUAUGUUUCUCAAAUUUAUAAACUUUAAAUGUUAGAUAAAUAUUGAUAAGAAUGCAAAAGGUCAAACUAUAAGUUCUAAAUAUUUUAAUGAAAUCAUAACAAGUUAGAUUGACACCAUCUUUUCAUAUUCUCGUUUUCAAACAAAAAAUGAAAAGAAAAUAGUAUAUUUCUAAACUAUAUUUUUGUACAAAUCAUAAGUUAUCCGAUCUCCAAGAAAGAAUUAAUCCAUUUGAUAUUUAAUUAAUUGAUUGCAUGAGUGUUUGCAAGGCUUUUUUUAUAUAUAGAUUUAAUUUGAUGAAACAAGUUUUAUUAAUUAAUUUUAAUAUUAUUGAAGGAUGGAUGUUUGAUUGAAACUAUUUUUAAACUUAUCAUGAAUCCGGUCAGUUCAACGGAUGGAGAUGGAUUAAAGGGAAAAAUUCAGGGGGCAAACAAGAUUUAUCUUUACGGAUGCGAAAGCUUGAAUUUCGUACGAGUAUUUCAUGGCCUCUACAAGCCUAAUAUGGCCUGUCAAAGGCAGGCAGGCAAGCACUUUAGACACUGAACAAAAGUAGUAGUAUUUCUUGCAUCACACUACUGUCUACUGUGUUAAAGCCCCAAAAAGGAAAAAGACGUAAUUUCCCUUGAAGAAACACUGCUGGAUUCCCUUGAAACUCUCCUAGCAAAACGAAUAAGAUUUCUUUUUUAGUACUGAUAUUACUCCCAUUAGCACCGAGAAAGAGAGAGAGUGUGUUUGUGUUGUCAGUCGAGAGUUAAGACUUGAGAAGAGUCCUCAUCAAGGCUUCAAGAAUUUUACAAUGAGAAACAAAGUACUAGUUUUGCCAUGUCUCUUGUUGCUGCAAUGUUAUCUAGGUAUGUUUUCUCCCUUGUUUUAUGUCUUUGCCUUGAUUAUGUCUAUGGUUUGGGUGGCAAACGUUGAAUUAAUUUAAUCAUGGCUUCUAUGUUGUAGUUUUGUGCAAACCCUUUCUCUCUGGUAAUAACUUGAUAAAAAUAUUGUGCUGUUUUAGUGUGAUCUUCCUGAGACAUUUCUUCUCUGUUCUUCAUUUCUAUGGUCAAACCUUCUUGCACAUACCCUUUUUUUUUAUUAAAUGCCAAUUUUGGUAACAAGUAAUGCAUAAUGGUGGAUACCAGAAAUAAUGUUGACUACAUGACAUGAAUGAUACAUAGAAGUAUAUAUUACUGUGUGUCUUAGAUUUCAUUCUCUUCAGGAUUCCUGGAAUUUAAUCAUUGGUUUAUAUCAUGAAAAUAUUAUUCUAACAAUUGCUAAUUUGUUCUCUUUCUGAUUUUUUUUGGCCCUUUUAUUUUCUUUGCCUGAACUUAGUCCUGACAAUGGAGACUGCAACGCAAGAGAAAGCAGAAUCUGCGAUCCCAGUGACAACAUUGUCACCUCCAGAAGGCAACAUAACUUUUCUUGGUGGCACAACAUGGUGUGUUGCCCUGUCAGGUGUCUCUCAAAUUGAUUUGCAGAAUGCAUUAGACUGGACCUGUGGUCUAGGCAUGGCAGAUUGCAGUCCAAUCCAAGAGGGUGGAGCGUGUUUUGAUCCUGACACGCUAGUUUCUCAUGCCUCCUAUGCUUUCAACAACUAUUACCAACAAAAUGAGAAUUCUGAAAUUGCUUGCAAUUUCGGAGGAACUGCCGUUUUAACUAGAAAGGAUCCUAGUAAGAAAUCUCUUGCCUUCACCUUCUUUUCGUUUACUUUACUUUAUUUAGUUGUUCGUUCUUUUCUUGAUGAUGUACAGAAGAAUAGAGUAGAACUUGAUUCCUUUAAUGAGGAACUUCAAAUUUAUGCAUCAAAUAUGACCUUUGGUUUCUAUUAAUUUUGAUGAGAAUGAUAUUUGGAAAAAAAAUGGGAACAUUUUGAGUGUUCUCAGCAAUAUUUAGGCUUCCUUUAUGUUUCUUCAAGCACGCCAUUUUGAAGUAGGACUCUCACUUUAUCAUGCUUGUAGUCAUAGGAAAAUGUUGAUCAGUUUUUUAUUUUGAAGAUUAGCUAACCAGCAACCUAGCCAAAGAAUUAUUAGAUACUCUGAUCUGCAGUAAGUUUAUCACUUAGAUGCAUAGUUGUAGGACCCGAUCUAGAGUUGACCUGGCUCAGGCUCGGGUUGCAGAUCGUGAUCAACCUGACUCAGCCUGAGCUAGGCUCUCAGUAGGUAGAUCAUCAAUUUGAACUGCCAAGCCGACCCGUUGAGAUGAACCAGGUAUGUUACUACCAAUUCGAUUGGGACCAUGACUAAUCUACACCAUUUUUAAUGUGCAGGUCAUGGAAAAUGUAGCUAUGCUGCACCUGGGUAUGCUCUUUUAUUUUUCUUUCCUUUCUUUUUAAAUUGGAUAUAUGUAUAUGUUCUUCUUCACACGCUAGUUUCCUCUUCUUCUAUAGAUUUUUUUAAAAAAAGUGUGUGAAAGAGAAUCGACAUUAACAUUCUAAAGUGAAACGCCCUUUUGGAGGGUAUUUGCAGAUCUGCUGCUAAGUCGCCAGCACCUUCUUUGCUCAAGGGGCGCAGAGCAAACUUUAUAUGGUUGAAGUUUGCUGGGAUUUUUCUGCUUUUGUACUUGAGAAGAUGAUUAUUGGCUGGUUAACUUGUGAAUGAAGCAGAUGGUCAUUGAUUAUGUCCCUUUACCAAACUUUAUGUCAUGGGAAGCCAUAAGAAACAGGGCUUAAGUUGCAUGGUUUCUCUCUAUUUUGCUAAGAUUAGUACUUCGUAAUUGGAAUUUUCAAAGUUAAUCAUAUCUUUGCUUAUGCUUUAGGAAUCUAAUUUUUGUUUAUGCAAUCAAAUCUUCCCUCUUGUCCCUCCACAUCUUCAUUGAAUGUUUAUGAGCUUGCUUGUUACGCUCCUUUCUUUCAACUUUAUCUACAUUCCCUACGGCAGUUGUGCCUAAGGUGGUGGUGAAGAUUUUGAAAUUGCGGUAGCCAUGAUGAUAUAAAAUGAUUUUUGUUUAAAAAUAUAUUAAAAUAAAAUUAUUUAAUUUUUUAAAAAUUAUUUUUGAUAUCAAAAUGAUAUGAAUAUAUAUAAAAAAAUUAUUUUAAAUAAAAAAAAUUAAAAUUUUUAAGAACAUGAUUUACAUUAUAUUUCCAAACACCACACUACACUACGAGGUAUAUUUGUCACAUGCAGUCUGUAUCCGCAGCCAUGAACAUAUUGUUUGUAUACAAUUUUUUGUAUAUCAGCAACAACAAUAAUAAUUUUUCCUUCCAUUAGAUUUAACUAGUCUUGCGCGCGUGCUUUGAUGCGGUUCGGAUAAGUUUUUUCGUCUAACUUGUAAAAAAAAAUAAUACGGCAUUGGCAAUGUAUCUUGCACCACCAAGGAAAAUCGUAAUUUUGAAUUGCAGAGAUGAUGCAUGCCUUUAAUAAAAUAAUUUGGUGCCAAGAAAAGUUAAAUUGACACUAAAAUUUGAGAUGAUUCAAUUGAUUAUUUAAUUAAAUAAUAUCUCGAAUAUAAUAGCAUUUAUUAAAUCUUAAUUAAUUUUGAUUAAAUUUAAAGAAAAAACUAGAAACAAUCAUGAAAGACAUAACAAAAAUAGUGUCUGCUAAUAUAUAUAUAUAAAAUAAUGAUAUCAUUCAAGAUAAAUUUAAAAAUAAAUUUAGUUAUUUUAUUUAAAUAAAAUUGUAGAAAAAAAUAAAACAGGAUUGUUAAAAAGAGCCCAUAAGUAUUGUCGCACGUGAUGCGGCGUCGCGGCGAAAACAUCCACCCUCAAAAUCUAAUAAAAUGUGGCAAAUGUGUGGAGACAAGGAAUUCUUAUCUUUUAUUAGUGGAAAAAUAGAAUGAGAGUCGCCACCUAGUAUUUUGGUCACCAGGAACCCUAACUGGUCUCAGAGAUCGGGUACGGGGACUAGUUGCAUAAAGGGAAGGUAUUAGCACCCCAAAUACGCCCUACCUAUGAUAAGUUGCAUUGUUUUAUUGUCUGAUAAAAAAUUUAAAGUCUUGUUGUGUUUUCUAUUUGUUGGUCCUUCUAUGGUUUAAGAAAAGUUCUCUUCGGUAAAGAGAUCCUUAUCUUAUUGGGUAAAACCUAACUGUUCUAACGUCAACAAAAGAAUUUAAUAUCCGGAAUAUAUCUUACGUAUAAGGUCGUAACCCCAGAUAUUAAAAGAAAACAAAAUAAUUUUUUUGAAAUUUUUGAAAUAUUGGCCAGUUCUCGUGACUUUAAUAAACUGGUUAUUAAAGCCACAAUGCAUGCUAAAACUUUUUUUUUUUGAAAUUUUAUUGUUUGAAAAUACAAUAUGAAUUUUUUUUAGAGAGACUUGGCCGUAUGCAUGAAAACAAAAUAUUAUUUUUUUUAUGUUUUGACAAAAACCAGAUAUUUUAAUACCGAAUUUAUAUCUUUACAGUAUAAAAAUACAAACCAAUAUUGAUCAAAAUACAGUAAAAUAUUUGCGAAAAAUCACAUAUUUUUUUGAAAUAUUUUUUGAAGAAAAUUUUUUUUGGAGGGCUGGGCCCAGCCCGGCCCAUAUGGCUGGGCUGGACCCAGCCACCUGGUCACUGGCCCGAGCCAGUGACCCAACCAGCCAUGCACGCGUAAAAUUUUACGCGUGCAUGGAACAGUGCGAAGGUAAUUAAAUUACCUUCGCACUGUUCAUUCUUCGUUUUUUGCAGAUGGCAAAAACGAAGACCCCUUGGUUACAGAGUGCAAGAAAAGUGGCGGUCUUUAAGCUUUCAAUCGUCUUCUGUUUCCUUUUGUUUCUCUAGACCCACAUGCAUCUAUUUUUUGUGAAGAAAGGAAAUGAGCAUACCUGGUUCGGGAGAAAGGAAACCGGUGGUGAUGCUGACCUCCUCUGCUGUCUGUGUUCUCUGCUUCACCGUUUGUUUCUCUUCCUUUGCUCUUCUGUUGCGGUCUCCUUGUUCGGCCUUGCUUUGUUUUUUUUAAACUCUUUCUCUUGUAUUUCCCUCUGUUUCCUAUCUCUUUUGUUCCCUCUCCUCUUACUUUCCUCUCUGUCGUUCCCCCUCUUCUGUUUUUUUUCCCCCCCUGGUUUUCCACCACGGUCCCCCCCUGGUUUUCCACCACGGUCCCCCCCUCCUUGGUUCGGUUUCUCCUCUGGCUUUUAUAGCCAGAGGACGCAGGCAUUUCUUGGUAACGGCCGGCGUGCAUCACGGUGGCGUGAAACAUGCCCCCUCCCCAGACUGAAACGGCUCCAUUGAUGGCGUUCAUUUACUGUCAAAACCGUCGCGGAUGAAGAUGAUGAGCAGCUGUCAAGGAAACGGCGCCGUUUUCAAAUUCAAAGAACAUUUCCAGUUUGGUCCUUGGAUGUUUUUUUUUGCAAUUUUGUAAUAAAGCCCCCGGAUAAAUUAUAAUUGGGUCCCUUGAUGUUAGCGCUUUUUCCAGUUUAGUUCUUGGUUUCAGAUUGUUUCAAUUAAGUCCUUAAUUGGCCAUCAAACUUCAAUAAUUGUGCAAUUAAGCCCCUAAUUUAAUCAAAUCAACUCUUCAAAAUUAUAAUUGGACCCCAGAUCUUUAAUUUCUUCCAAUAAAAGCCUAAAUUGACUUAAGAAAUCAAUUUUCUUGCAAUCAAACCUUCCAUAAAUUCAAUUAAACCUUGGAUAAAAUUUAAUUGAGUCCAUAAAUAUCUGAUUUUGGACUUUUCUUUCUUAACUUGAAUUUUAUUUGUCAACAGGGCUCUCAUCAGUAAAAAAUAUACUGUUAAAUUUCAACAUUUUGCAUUUUUGAACCUUCUCAACCAAUUUUAUCAUUUUUUUCAGCAUUCCAGUCCUUUUCUCACACCUAUUAUUUUUUGGAUUUCUUUCGAAUAUUUUUUGAUAUAUUUUUUUGUAUUUUCUCAUUUUCAAAAUUAUUUUUUUUUUGUGGAAACCCAAAAAUGGGUAACAACAAGUAUGAGCAAUAUGAGCCCCCUUUAAAUUAAAUACGAUCAUCAUCUCUCUUUUAUUUUAAAUUAAGAGAUUAAAAAAUAAAGAAAAUAAAGUUUUAGAUCAAAAAUAAAUUUUCAAAAACCAAAGGACUUUAAAUGUAUCAAUUGGAAUGUAUAAGGACCAAAAUCAACUUUUCAUGUCUAGUUUAAAAGUGCCACUUGUUUCAUGUCUAGUACAAAGUGACUGAUAAAAUAUAACUUCAUCGAUCUGUUCUCCCAUUUUCAUCAGCUGCCAGAUAAAGUUUUCUGUCACAGGACUUCGACAUUCAAUUGGUAGUGCUUUGGAAAUUGAUAUCACCCCACGGCUGGCUUGAAUAUUGACUGCUUCCAGCUCAGAUAGAUCCCUCCAACACCAAUCCCUCCACCAAAACCUUUCCUUUUCAGACAAUCUCUUUCCUUGAUACGCAACACAUAGUCUGUCACAGGUAUUUUCUUCUUCUGCUUACUUUAAAGCCUUGAUUCAAUGCUCAAUGCAUCAUUUGAAUUGAUUGUAUCCUUUCUUAAAUCAAUUCUUACCACGUUUGAUAUCGUUAAAAAUGACAUUUACUAAUUUUGCUUCAUGAUUUAUUUUGCUAUGACGGAUCUGAGCUACCUCAGGAAUGAAAAUAGAAGAACUGUUCAGGACUUAUUACAAACGCCGAUCAAGCGGCACGUUCACAUUCACAUUUGGUGUCCCUUGCGAAGAUCAGUGGUCAUAGAAAAAGCUCACAUAGACCAUUAUCGCCUGCCAGAAGAAAUGCUUCAAGCCUCGAUAGUAGAAGAAACAAUAUAAAAAAUACAGCAAACACAAGCAAUACAAAUUAUUAUGAAUAGGGGGUAUUUUUUGUUAUUAACAUGUUUUUUUAUUUAAAUAUUGGAGAAAUAACAUAUUUUAAGAAAAUUAACAAAAUAAUACAAUUUGUAAAUGUCGCGAUUGAAAAACAUAACAUUUUUGCUUGUCGCUAUUGAGAAUCGCAUCGUUAAAAAAGUAUAUGAAAUGGCCUAUGCAUGAGGAGAGAGGAGAAAAAAAAAAAACUCUGGAGAUAUGCUGAAACUCUGAUUAUGACAUUAAAGGUACAAUUGAGAAGAUCUCAAUGAGACAAAUCUAACGAUACCAAGAAAGGUUACUAACGAUGAUCCAAGUGUGUCACACUUAUCGUCCAAAAAUGAAAGGUAACUCAUUUGUCUUUGAUUGUAUGUGUGGUUCACUCAGGUUACUGUUGGUGACCUUCUUUUGUGUUGUUGGAUUUGUCUUAUUAAGAUAUUUGUAAUGGUACCAAUGAUGUCGUAAAUGGAGCUUCGGUAUGCCUAAAAUGUGUUUGUUUUUCUUUCGAUCCUUUUCUCUCUCUUCUCUAUAUUGUAAUCAAAGCUUCAUCAUGUUUUAUAUGUCUCUUUUCUUUUUCUCUCUCCUUUGUCUUCACAAAUUACAAUAAGGUGAGAGGAGAGGAGAAAAAAAAAGAAAAAAAAAACUAGAGACACAUCAAAACUUCAAUUACAAUACUAUAAGUACCAUAUAAAAGAUUUUAACGAGAUGGAUUCAAUGACACAAAAGAAGGUCACUAAUAGUGACAUGAGUGGGUCACACUUGUUGUCAAAGGCUAGUGAGUCACUCACCACCUUUGAGCAGUAAGUGUGACACACUCGGGUAACCGUUGAUGACCUUUUUUAGUGUUGUUGGGUUUGUAUUGUCAAGAUCUUUUUGACAGUACCAGUGAUGCCGUACUUAGAGCUUCAAUGUGCUUCUAGGGUGUGUUUUUUUUUCCCUCUCUUCUCUUAUCUCUUGUCAUGUGCAUCACAUUUCAUUAUUUUUUUUUAAUCAAAAUAUCAUGAUUUUGAGUAGCUAUAAGUAAGAAUGUCACGUUUUAUUAUCGCAACAUAUAUAAGUUGUUCUAUUUUACUAUUUUUUUUUAAAUUGUGUUAUUUUAUUAAUAUUUAAAUAAAAUGUACUCUUUUUUUUAAAAAAAAUCUGAAUAGAAUCGCUACACAAAAUAAUUUUAGAUAACUUUUUAAAUAAACUCAAAAACUAACUUAAACAAAUUAGUAAAUUUAAAAAAAAAUAAAAAAUAAAAUAAAAGCUCUUUGACCAUAAAUAUCUUUUGAGAAACUAUCCUCCUAGCCUCCUCAUUGACAGAUUCACAACGGAGUGAUCAAACCCAUUUGCAUCAGUCAACCUUGGACAGUGAUAAAAAAAGAUUGACACGCCUCCCUUCAACUCCAUUAAAACCUUUUCCUCUUCACAUAAGUGCUAGAGUACAUGGUUCCAAAACCCAGCUCAGCCCAGCAAAUAAUCUCAAAGAUUCAUUGACCUGGCCCUUGGGAUUUCUUUCAGACCGACCAUGCAGUUGAUUCAGAGAAACCCAGUAGACUUAGCAUCUCAAUUAGGUGAUUUGAGAAACCCAGUAGACUUAGCAUCUCAAUUAGGUGAUCUAAUCAAAGUCUAGAUGAUAUCCCAUCAACGUUUUUUUUAUAAAAAAAACAAUAUUUUUUUCAAGUUUUCAAUUAUUUUUAGAUCAGCUUUAAUUGUUAGGAGUAUAUGCAAUUAUCUUACGUCGCUGCAUAAGAGCUUGGCCAUGAGCGGGGCCCGGUUGGAGAACACUGCUAGAGUAGCGACGGCGGGCUGCAUAACACUGUUUCUAUCGAGAUUAGUUCUGGAAAUUAAAAUUGUUUUUUAAAGUAGUUUUUAUUUAAAAAUAUAUUAAAAUAAUUUUUUUUAUAUUUUAAAAAUUAUUUUUAAUAUAAGUAUAUAUUAAAAUGAUAUGAAAAUAUUAAAAAAAAUAUUAAUUUAAAGUAAAAAAUUCUAAAAAAAUUUAAAUAUUUUUUAAAAAUACUUUUAAACCCUAGGCUUUGCUGACCUUUCCAUCUUCCAACAUUUUUUCUAAGAAUAUGUUGUAUAAACAGCCCCAUAAUCGAACCAACUAGAUGCUUUUUGGCAUCAUAUGUUGUAUAUGUAUCGAUCCUGCUAAUGAACUCUCUGCAAUUUCAUUUUCCAGCUUCAUAAAAGAAUAAUUUUGCCAUUGAUACUACGUGAGUUCAUUCGAAGAAAUCCAAAAUAAAAAAGUUGGGAUUUUGCCAUAACACCAUUCGAGACAUAAAAAUUAGACAAUUUCAUCCAUAAGUUGGAAUUCUUUUCAGACAAAUAAGCGUUUCCAACACCACAUCAGAGUAUGUUGGAGGAAAAAAAAACAACAAAGAUAACAUUUUUAAAGGUGUUUCACACACAAAUACAAAACAACCUUAUAGAACAGCCAUUUAACACACAAAUACAUGGUUCCAUACAUACAAGUUAUGCAUAAAACACCGGGAGAAUUAUUUGUAGACUAAGGAGUGGUAAGGACUGGAGCAAGAGAUGGAGGAUUUGGAAUGUCUUCGGAUCCUUCUAGCAUCAAAAUCACAUUCUUGAUAGAGGGACGUAAAGCCAGAUCACUCUGAACACACCAUAGUCCAAUCUUCACCAUUCUUUCCAAUGACUCGUAUUCUACAUGUUCAUCCUUUAGAAGCAAAUCCAACUGUCCAGCUACGAAGCAUUGAUAUGCCCACCUGGAAAGAAUCAUUUCAUCUUCUGUUGAAACGUCUGCUUUUAUACUGCUUCUACAACAGAUGAUUUCCAGUAGCACAACUCCAAAGCUGUAAAUAUCAGCUUUUAUUGAUAUCAAGGCAUUGUUCUGCCAUUCUGGUGCCAAGUGCCCUCUACUAUGUGAGAGGAGGGCCAUGGAGCUUCUUAUCUUGUCCGGAUACAAUAGCUUUGAUAACCCGAAAUCGGAGAUUUUUGCUAUCCAAGAAUCAUCCAUGAGAAUGUUUUGAGGGGUUAUAUUGCCAUGGAUGAUGCAGGCCUCACACUCUUCAUGUAGAUAGAGAAUUCCCCGAGCUAUGUCUAGAGCAAUCCUUAUUCUUUCUUUCCAAACUGGGCGCCUCUCAGCCGUGAACAGAAGAUCUGCAAGUGUGCCGUUCUUCAAGUACUCAUAGACGAGAAACCUCCUAGAGUGGUCAAAACAAAAACCAAGCAAUCGAACCAAGUUCCUGUGGUAAGUUUGUCCAAUGAUGGGUAUUUCGGCCUGGAAAUUUUUUUCCCCUCGGUCUAAAACUUUCUCCAGUCUCUUAAUUGCAACAGUUUUUUGACCCCCAUUUAUUUUCCCUUUAUAAACUGCUCCAAUUGAACCCCUGCCCAACUCUUCCCUGAAACCAUCUGUAGCUUUCUCAAGCUCAUCAUAAGAAAAUGACUUCAGAGUAAACUCUCCGGUCAAGCUUAUGAUUUCUGAUAGCUUUUCGUAUAGAAAAGCUCGAUCCCUGUACACGAAGAAAGUAGAGAUUGCAAUGCCGAAACAUAAGAUAGCUAUAGAGCAAAAAAUUAUAGCAAGAAACAUAAUUAAACUUUUCUUGCUUUCUAUAAUGAUUUUCUGGCCUGGGUUUGUUUCUUCCUUGAUGAAGGCUGUAGAUGAUAUGUUUUUACUCUCUCUACCAUACCGAAUUGGAAAAGUAUACUUUUCACACUUCGCAUCCAUAUAUAGAGCAACGUCACAAUGACAAUCUUCCAGGCAAGACAAACGACAUUUUUCCUCUUCGAGCUCUUCGGCAGAAUAAGGAUCUCGUUCAAACAAUAAAUUUUCUAUUUCGGUGACAUGGUAUUUUCUCCCUUCUUUCCUGCCUGCACAAAAACUUUCACUGGCAUUCCUGUAGCAUCCGCUGAAUUUCUCAUUGGGAUCAUUGAAAACAAAUCCAGCAUAACAUGAACAUUCAUAAUUAGUGCCCGUUCCUGAGCAAUAACUGUUGAAGUCACAGAAACCAUGAACAUCACACUGAUUAUUCAAUGCAGACCACUCAACAUGCACACUCCAGCUAGUUUUACUCUCAAAACAGUGUGAAUACAGCCUGAAAAUCCCAUCAGCAUCAAGUAUCGCACGAAAAAUUGUAGUGCUGUUCUCACAGGAAUAAGAACUGCUUGCAAAUGAGAGUACCUGUGAUUCAGAUUUGUCAAUAUUCAUGAACAGAUGUCCCUGGUGAUUGAGAGAGAGAUUCAACCCCACGUUAUUAUCAGUAUUACUGCCCCAGUAAGCAUCAUUAGGUAGAGAAGCACUGUUUCUAGGGUAGGCCACAAGGUUUCCAUCCGUUUGCAUCCUGAUUAGAAACCUUCCACUUGAGUGAUUUGAGCUCGACACACUCGAAACCAAUUCAUGGGACCGAGUGAGACUCUGGCCUCCUAAAAUGGUGUCGAUUGGAAAAUCAAAGCUUUGCCAAAUUAUAUUACAAUCACUGUAAAGCACGAAAUUACCAGAAUCAAGCAUUGAAGCUGAAUCUGAUACAGACUGAUCAGCAAUUAGUUUCUCAUAGCCUUGCCCAGUUCGAAGAAGCAGCUUACCCUCUUCCGAGAAGUGAAUUGUAGCAUCGGAGGAGACUGGUGGAUCAUCUCGAUUUGCAGUCCAGACGACUGUGUUAUCAGGUUGACCGAUCAGCCAUAUUCCUAUGGCAAAUCCAUUUCCUUGUGGAUAGAAGCCAAAUGCAAAAUGGCCUGAAGGGGAGAGCCAUGAAAGUAAGUUGGAAGUGGGAGAUAACUGAGAAUCCAAGUGUAUUUCACCACAUUGGUUUGGUUGAGUUCUUGUUUCUACAAAGAGUAGAAAUAGUAUGAGAAGCAAAAGGCAUGAUUCCAAAGCCAUGCAGGAAGGAAGGAGGUGGAGAGAGAAAAACAGAUACAGAAAAGAUAGCUAUUGUUUGAGACCUGAGAGCAUUCGGACUAAUUGUCAAAUAGAAGAAAAUUCUACCCAACUUCAAAACUAAAACCGUGUGAAAUGAUGAAUGAUUUGUUUGCUAGCAGUAGAAACUUUAGUACCGGUCCUACCGCCCUAGACCUGUCUGUAACUGUGGUAUAGUUUUCCACAAAAGUCUCCCAAAGUUACGUGUAAGACCCAACUAGCUGAGUCGUUGUCUUCAUUUACCGAUACCCAAAAGCACUCUUCCAAGAAGACAAGAUGCUGUUGUGGAUUCCUUUGUUAAAUUUUGGGAUAUAAUAGAUACUAAAAGCUUGAACUGCUAUCUUUUCCCAGUAAAGAUUCUCUCAAUAAAAUUUCAUCAGUUCUAGUGGUAACGUGAAAUGUUCAUCACAAAACAAAUUUCCUAGAAAAAAAAAAGACCUGCAACUGGAAAACAUUUCCGAUUCACCAGAAACAAUUACCGUAUAUAUAUGGAACAAGCUUUAAUAUUUUCUAUAUAUGGAGUGGCCAUUAAUAAUUAUCAAAGCAUGGACACAUUGAAAUUGGAGGAAACAGAACAUAAGCAUGCUUCAUGUUAGUAUUACUACACAAUCAAGAUCAUCAUGCUCUUUAAACUACUGCUUCCAUAACUUCCCCACCCCUAAAACCACUAAAUUAUUUUCUUUAUUUGGGAGUGCUACUACAGCUAUAGGAAACAAGAGACUUUUAGAGAAAGCGGUUGAUAGUUUUCCUGCGUAGACACGCAUACAUAGACACUUAUGCUGAAGCUGAAGUUGGGUGUGGAGGAACAGAUACAUCAGUAAUUCCUUCUAACAUCAUCACAACAGUCUUCAUAGAAGGGCGGAGACCUGGUUCAUCUUGAAUACACCAAAUGCCUAUCAUAACCAUUUUCUCCAAUUUCUGCCUGUCUACAUCUUCACCAAGAUCAAGCCUGUCCAAUUCUCUUGCAACCAAAAGCUCGUAUGCCCAUUUAGAAAGUAGAAUUUCCUCUGGUUUUGAUACGUUGAUUUUCAUGUUUCUCCUGCAGAAAACAAUUUCCAAGAGCACAACUCCAUAACUGUAAACAUCUACCUUCACUGAUGUUGGAGUGCUGAUCUUAGUCCAUUCAGGUGCCAUAUAACCUGGUGUCCCUCUGGCUAUAGUCAGGGUUCUUGUUUGAUCAGGCACUAACAAUUUUGCCAGCCCAAAAUCAGAGAUCUUAGCAGUCCACAAAUUAUCCAUCAGAAUGUUUUGAGGCUUUAUAUCACAAUGGAUGAUUGGUGCUUCACACUCUUCAUGCAGAUAUAAGAUCCCUUUAGCAAUAUCUAGAGCAAUUUUCACUCUGUCGCUCCAAUCUGGAAUCCUUUCAUUUCGGAAGAGAAGAUUUGCAAGUGACCCAUUGCUCAUGUAUUCAUAUACUAGGAGCCUAUGGGAACCCUCAGUGCAGUAGCCAAGAAGCCGAACCAAAUUCUUAUGAUGAGUUUUUCCAAUUGAACGCAUCUCCGCCAGGAACUCCCUUUCACUUUCACUGACCACCUUCUCCAGCCUCUUCACCGCAAUAGCCUUUUUACCUUUGUAUAAAGUCCCUUUGUAAACAGCUCCAGAAGAUCCUUUCCCCAACUCUUCUUUGAAACCCUUGGUUGCUUUCUUAAGCUCACGAUAAGAGAAUGCUCUCAGAGUGAGCUCACGGGCCAAGCCAAAAUUUCCACUUUCCGUCUGCAUUCUACCCUUAAUGACUCUCGACUUAAAGAUGAAAAGGCCAGAGAUUGCUAGGGCGACUAAACACCACGUGAUGAAGGCUAAACUCAUAACAAGAAUUAGUACCACUGCCUUCUUGCUUGUCCUCUGGAUUACUGAAGGCACCAUUCCUAUGGCACUGGAAUGGUUGCUGCUUUUGAUACUCUCCAAGGCCACCUUGAAGAAAGAUUUUGAUAAUUGAUCUUCCGUUUUCCAAGCAUAUUUCACUGGGUACUUCUGUUUCUUGCAGUUCCCUGAUUCGUACAGCGCACCAGCACAGUUACAAUCCUCCAAACAGGACUUUCUGCAACCUUCCUCUGACAUUGAUGCUUGAAAAUAAGCGUUGUCAUCCCACGCAAUUUGGUCCAUAACAGUAAUGUUAUAUAGCGAUGACAUUUCGUUUGUAUGUUUGCAGGAUCCUUCGUUGUAGUCUCUCUCACAUCCAUGAAAUCUCUGGUUGGGAUCAACGUAAGCAGUUCCAGGAAGACAAAGACAGUCAGGUUGAUCAUCAUCAUUCAUGGUGCAGUAGCUGUUGAAUCCACAUAAACGUCUCACUUCACACUGUAUCACUGGUACAUGCCACAUAAGGGAAAUGAUGUACUCAGCUCCGCCAUCGAAGUUAUGGGAAUACAAUCGGAAAAUUCCAUCGUACUCCAAUGUUGCCCGGUAGAUAAUUGAGGUGCUGUUCGAUUCUGAACCAGAGGGUGACACGUGUUCGAUUUCGUGCAAGGUUUGGUUAACGAGUAACAGAUCUCCUGUACCAGUUAAAAUUAGAUGGAUACCAGGAUUAUCAUAAGUGUCAGAGCUCCAAUACGCAUCCAGUGGAAGGUCUAGAGUGUCUACGGGAUACAAAACAAGGUUCCCAUCAUCUUGCAUUUUAAGAUGAAACCUUCCCGUGGACAAAUCGAUUGCAGAUGCACGGGAAAACAGUUCACCCCCUUUGUAUAGAUUCUGUCCUCCUAAUAUAGUAUCCGUAGGAAAGCUAAAACUUUCCCAUAUUGCUUCGGAAUGUUCAUUGUAGAGCACAAAAUUCCCAGAAUCAAGCAUUUGAGCAUAUGAAGCUGACCCCUUAAAAUUAGCAAUGAAUAUCUCUUCAUCAGUUGCAUUAUUUCUAUGCCUUCUCAAAAGGAGCUUACCUUUUUUGGUCAACUCCAAUGUAGCAUUUGAUGACACAUGAGGGACAUCUCGGUUUAUUGUCCAGGUGAAUGUAGCAUCUGGCUUACUCGCCAACCAAAUUCCCACUAUGAAGCCGCUGCCCUGUCGGUAGAACCCAAAAGCAAAAUGACGAGAAGGGGAGCGCCAUGAAGUUGGUGGGAUAUUGGUGGAGAGUGAAGAACCUAAUUCUAUCCGGCUCUGCUGGGGACUUACAGGUUCGUAAAUCCAAAAGAAAAACACAAGCAACAAAGCAGAAUAGGCUGAAGCCAUAUGAUAAUGCUAGCGUUGUACUUCCUCUCAGGAAAGACUGGUGACAUAUAAGAAAGUGCUUUUUUUUUUUUCAGAGGAUGCUAAAAACAGGGUAACAUUAUGAAUUCCCAUAAGGACAACUCAAAUCAUAGACAAGUGGGUUCCAUUAGCAAUGAAUGAGAUUAGGGAAACUGUCCCCCCUCUGGUGAACUUGACUUGUGUCUACUUCGACGUGCAAAUUGGUCCAAAACGCUCGGGGCAAAAAAUAUUUUUAUCAAAUAUCCUUAUCUUUUUGUUCUUUAAUAUUUAUUAUAUUUUAAAUAUUUCAUCCUUAAAUCCUAAUCCCCUAUAUUCCUCAUCCAAUUUUUUAGCACAUUCCGAGUAUAAUCAAAGUGUUUUGGAGAGGUGAAAGUACGAGGAAUGGCUGUGGAGAGAAAGAAAACGAGAGGGAAACGUAUUUUAAAAUUAUCCUCAUGAAUCUAAUGUGUUAAUCCGAGUUAAUUCAUAUGAAUCUAAUAUAUUUUAUUUUUAAUAUAAAAUUUUAAAAAAUAUCUUUUAUGGUAAUUGUUUUUUAUAUAAAAAAACAUUAUUAAUACAUAGAUUUUGCUUAAAUGUUUUGGUCUUCACCCGCAGCCUUGCAUGCGCACAUGUGCUGGUACUAUUAAAACCUUGUAGGUAUGUAGAAUUAAAAAUGCUUCGUAUUUGUUGAUGACUUUCGUUCUUCAAAGUCGUCCUUCAUGCUCCCCCGGUGUCUCUCCAAGACGUCCACUUGUUGAUAAUUAUACUCUUAAACUUCCGGAAAGCAUAGUUCUAUCCCUUGGAAAACCCAAACAUUGAUUACAAUAGUAAAGGGGCGAUUAAGGAAGCGUUUGAGAAUGCAGUUGAAAUUGUGUUCCCACAAAAUUUAAAAUUGUUUUUUUUUUACUAAAAUUUAAUAUGGUUUGUAAAUUUUAAAUCGUUUUGAUGUGCUGAUGUCAAAAAUAAUUUUUAAAAAAUGAAAAAACAUUAUUAACAUACAUUUCGGCAUGAAAAGUUAUUUGAAAAACAACCGCUACCAGACUGCCAAAUAUACCAUAAGUCUUCCACGAAGUAGAAUACUUAAGUCUUUUCUAAAUAAUAAAAAAACAUUUACAAAUUGAAUAGUGCAGGAAGGUCUUUACAUGUUAUUCAACACAACAAAACUACUUAAUAGCUCUUACAUGCAACAUUUUCUAAACCUAAAUGUUGAGGUUUUAUCAGCUUUUUGAUUUUUUCAAACAAUUAAACAAUGCAUUUGUUUUUAAAAUCAAUUAAUUAUAGCUUUGAUCGAGGAGCGUUUGAGUGUUUUUAUAUUAGUUUUUAUAUAUAUAUAUAUAAUAAAGUGGUUAUAGUGGGGAUGCUCGGCAAUUGUUUUAGUAAAAUUAUUAUUAAAAAAAUUAUCUUGCGUGUUAUGCGUUAGCGUGUAAAAUGAAAUCUUAUUAUAUUUUAAUUAGUUUGUUUUCUAGUUUGUUACUUUAAUGAUAUAUACGGUCUUUUUUGGUGUUGAUAUAAAGCCUUUCACAAUAACAUUUGAACAUCUUAAUAAGCUAUUUUUUAUGGGUGAGCAGUGUCUAUGACAUAACAAUGAUAGGUCUUUGAAAGAUUUUUUUUUUUAUCCUUUUGAGUAUGACUUAUUAUUGUUUUUUUUGUUCGUGUUAUUUAAGAUGUUUCUUUUUUAAAAAAAAAAAUCAUAUUCGUAAGUUAAUCAAGCUUAUUAAACUCGGUUAAGUCAACAAUCUGAAUCUUAUAUUUUUUUCUCUAUUUUUUUUUUAAAAAAAAACUGGCAUUAACUUAACAUUUUUUAUGUUAGGAAAUGUUUUAACUAACCCGGGUGUAGUGCGGACCACCUAUCUAGCUAACAAAAACUAAUUGAAGAGGGGAACAUAACGCCAACCAAUGUUCCUCUCCUUACAAAGUAUGGUUCACUAGAACAAUAAUUUUUUACUUUUUUUAUUUUUGAUUUGGUCUUUUAUAUAUUUCUUAUCCUUUCACAUUAUAUUUAUUGGAGAUUUAGCUUCAUAAUUUAUUUUAUUUUGUUUUCUUUAAGGUUAUCUUGGUUUUAUGACUUAGGUCACAUGUUUUACGAGUUAACACGAUUGACUCAGUUUUUUUGGUUUAUUUUUUUUAUAAUUGAUUUUUUUUAAUUUUAUCCUUUAAAAUUUAAAUUGAUUGAGAAUUAAGAUUCAUAAUUUAUUUAUAUUUUUUUAAUGAGAUUAUCCUAGUUUCAUGACUUGUGUUAAAAGCUUGAUAUGUUAACCCAGAUUAACUUGAGUUUUUUUUUUUUUUUGUAUUUAUCUUUUCUCAAUUUAAUCAUUCAAUAUUGGAUUAAUAGAGAAUUAGGCCUCAUAUUUUUUUUUUAUUGGUUUAUCCUAGUCUCAUGAUUUAGGUUUGACAGGUUAACCCGAGUCGACUCAAGUUUUUUUUUGUUUAUUUGAUUAAUUUUUUUUAAUUUUAUUCUUCAUCAUUAGGUUAAUUAAGAAUUAGACUUCAAUGCAUCAAAAUCAUUUGAAAAUAUUAAAAAAAAAUUAAUUCAAUAUUUUAGCCCAAAUUAGCACCUAGUGUAUUUCGUAUAUGAAGAAGAAAUGAUUGAAUUAAAAUAACAUAGGAACAAAGUGAAACAAGCAGUGAAAAUAAGUGACAAUUUCGGAUUUCAUUUGAAAAGUUUAUUUUAACCUUUUAUCUUUUAUAAUUAAUAGAUAGUUGGUCUCUUUAAUUGUCAAAAAAUUAAAUCUGGUACCAAACUACAUUUCCCUUAUUUUCUAGUUUUGUUUUGUGUGAGGAGUGUGAGAGACUUGUCGGAUGCUAGAUUAGAGAGAAAAAGUCAUUAUUGAUAAUUAUUUCGGCCAUAAAAAAUAAUUGAUAUUGGUGUCAAUGAGUUCUGUUUUAUGAGAGGAGUUUCAUCUAGCUGUUUGUUUUCCUUCUCCUUGCUUGAAUAUGCAGAUCUGAUCAUGGGGAGACUUUCUGGUUCAGUUUUAUUUUGGGGUUUUUAGCUAUUUUUAUUGUUGUUUGAGGUCAUUGAUAGAUUUACCAAGAUAUUUAAGGUGUUUUCUAAGUGUUUAGAUAAAAAAAAAAAAAAUUGAAAAUGAGUUUUUUAGUAAAAAAAUAAGAGCCCACUUUUGCAGCGACAUUUGAUGGCCAAAAUAAAAUAAAAUAAAAAACAAAUGACACAUCAUCUGCUUAUUUCUUCCAAAAAAAGUGGGGUGGAUGACAAUUCGUAUACCCUUUUAGAAAAUAAAAAAUAAUUGAAUCUAGUUAAAUCCACGAGCCGAACCACAUAUUUGAAGGGUUAAUCCUAACCCGCAACAUCCAACCUAUUAUUUAUUUUAAUGCAUUUUCUCUCGAUUUAAAAAAAUACAAUUUCACUCUUUAUUAACGAUGAUCUACUUUCUUAUUUAACUAAGAAAAAUAAUUUCAUCCUUUGUUAUCAAUGAUUUCCUUUAGCUAUCUUGAUCUCACGUGCUUAUCAUGAAUUUUUUCAAUGGCGUGCAUAACUUAUGUUACUAGUUUGCUUGGUUAACUCUAAUUUACUUAUAAUUUUUUUAAUUAAUUUUGUUCUUCAAUUUUUAGUUAACAAGGGAUUAAACUUCUCAAUUUUUUUUUUCAAAAUUAUCCUCAUGAAUCUCACAUGUCAAUCCGAGUUAAUUCAUAUGAAUCUAAUAUGUUUUCUUCUGUAUAUAAAAUUAAAAAAAUAUCUUUUAUGGUAAUUGCUUUUUUUUAUAUAUAAAAAAACAUUAUUAAUACAUAGAUUUUGCUUAAAUGUUUUGGUCUUCACCCGCAGCCUUGCAUGCGCACAUGUGCUGGUACUAUUAAAACCUUGUAGGUAUGUAGAAUUAAAAAUGCUUCGUAUUUGUUGAUGACUUUCGUUCUUCAAAGUCGUCCUUCAUGCCCCCCCGGUGUCUCUCCAAGACGUCCACUUGUUGAUAAUUAUACUCUUAAACUUCCGGAAAGCAUAGUUCUAUCCCUUGGAAAACCCAAACAUUGAUUACAAUAGUAAAGGGGCAAUUAAGGAAGCGUUUGAGAAUGCAGUUGAAAUUGUGUUCCCACAAAAUUUAAAAUUGUUUUUUUUUACUAAAAUUUAAUAUGGUUUGUAAAUUUUAAAUCGUUUUGAUGUGCUGAUGUCAAAAAUAAUUUUUAAAAAAUAAAAAAACAUUAUUAACAUACAUUUCGGCAUGAAAAGUUAUUUGAAAAACAACCGCUACCAGACUGCCAAACAUACCAUAAGUCUUCCACGAAGUAGAAUACUUAAGUCUUUUCUAAAUAAUAAAAAAACAUUUACAAAUUGAAUAGUGCAGGAAGGUCUUUACAUGUUAUUCAACACAACAAAACUACUUAAUAGCUCUUACAUGCAACAUUUUCUAAACCUAAAUGUUGAGGUUUUAUCAGCUUUUUGAUUUUUUCAAACAAUUAAACAAUGCAUUUGUUUUUAAAAUCAAUUAAUUAUAGCUUUGAUCGAGGAGCGUUUGAGUGUUUUUAUAUUAGUUUUUUUAUAUAUAUAUAUAUAAUAAAGUGGUUAUAGUGGGGAUGCUCGGCAAUUGUUUUAGUAAAAUUAUUAUUAAAAAAAUUAUCUUGCGUGUUAUGCGUUAGCGUGUAAAAUGAAAUCUUAUUAUAUUUUAAUUAGUUUGUUUUCUAGUUUGUUACUUUAAUGAUGAUAUAUACGGUCUUUUUUGGUGUUGAUAUAAAGCCUUUCAUAAUAACAUUUGAACAUCUUAAUAAGCUAUUUUUUAUGGGUGAGCAGUGUCUAUGACAUAACAAUGAUAGGUCUUUGAAAGAUUUUUUUUUUUAUCUUUUUGAGUAUGACUUAUUAUUGUUUUUUUUUUAGUGUUAUUUAAGAUGUUUUUUUUUUAAAAAAAAAAAUCAUAUUCGUAAGUUAAUCAAGCUUAUUAAACUCAGUUAAGUCAACAAUCUGAAUCUUAUAUUUUUUCCUCUAUUUUUUUUUUAAAAAAAACUGGCAUUAACUUAACAUUUUUUAUGUUAGGAAAUGUUUUAACUAACCCGGGUGUAGUACGGACCACCUAUCUAGCUAACAAAAACUAAUUGAAGAGGGGAACAUAACGUAAACCAAUAUUCCUCUCAUAAAGUAUUGUUUAUUUCAUGAUGUAAUAACAAUAGUUAAAUCAACAAUAUUUCAAUUAAAAACCAUUAAUAUUAAUAUAUAUCUUUUUUAGUUAUUUUAUAACCUCAAUUUGAAAAGCGUUCUUAACCAAACACUUUAAACUAUUUUUUGUUUAACUUUAAUUUCAACCAUUAUUUUAACCAAACAUAUAUUUUUCGAAACCAACCUCAACUAAAAGUAUUUUUUAUAAAACAAUAUUUUUAAACUACAACCACAAAAACUAACACAAUAUCAAACACAUUCAUUAAGAGCUUGACACCAUGAAUUCACACCAUAAUUCCAGCUCUAUAUUUUCUUUUUCCUUUUUGAUGGAUAUUUGUGGUCUUUUAAAUGAUGAUUUUUUCAUUUACGUCCCUAAAGUUCAUUUGCAUUUGUUCUGAUCAUAGCUUAUUUGGAGGAGAGAGAAGGGGAAAAUUAGGGGUGAAGAGAGAAAGUUGCAUGUCAUCAUGUUUUUCAACACGAUUCCUGAUAAAAAAAGAAGAAGAAGCUCACGGAAUCGCAUUCGACAAGUUAAGCUUAUGCAAAAAAUACAUAUCCUAUUUCUAUACUUUUAAAUUGUAGUAAUAUCAAUUAUUCUAUUUAAUUUUGGACCAUGUCAAUCCUUCUGCUUAAAUUUUUAAAUAUUUUAAUCAUUUCAUCCACUUAUUUUUUAAAAAAUAAAUCUAAAAUGGAAAACAAUUUUUGUUUCGAAACUUUGAUUGGAUUUUGAGAAGUUUUUGGAUGGAUUCAAAUGGAAAAUGGUAAAAAAGGGAGUUCUACAUGGAAAAAAGGGUUCGAGGAACGACUUUUUAGUGAGCACAGGAGAAGACGAAAGCAAGGCACCGCUUGCUUGCUUUUCCUUGGUGCGGGCCUAGCAUCCUAGAGGCAUGCGUACGGGCUUGGUGCUCUAGCCCAAUUCUUACUUCUCUAAUGCCUUGUUUGUUUUUAAAAAUUUAUUUUUUUGAAAAUUAUUUUCUUUAUUUUUUCAUGUUUGAUAAAUAUAAAAAAAAUUAAUUAAAGAAAACUGAAUUCCAGUUAAAAAAAAAAUUACACUUUAUGUCAGGAAAAUGUUUUCCUUUCCAAAUUCUAAGGAAAACACUUUCUUUUUCUUUGUUGACAAAACGUGUACUAUUAUCAAGUGAUCAUCAAGUGAUUAUAGAGAUGGGAGGAAUUGGUGGAUAAGACCAAGGGAAUUGGAAAAAAAAAAAAAAUAGGUAUAGCCACCAUCUGGUAAGAAAUUAAGAUAGGAAAUUAAGAAGGAUCCCUUUUAAUUUGUUUAAGAUAGAAAUGGAAGAGCUCAUAUUCUUCCAUUUCUUUUUGAUUUCUAAUACUUUCAAUUUAUAUAAGCAAAUCUGAGAAAUAAUGUUAUUUCAGCAAAAAAAAAAAGUUGAUAAGAAAAUUAUAAAUCAUUUUAUUUCAAUUACAAGACAUUUUUGUGUCCAAAUUAAAUUUAAUUGGUUCUCAGUGACGGAAAAUUACAAUUAAAAUAGUUGUUAACCUAAUGUAAUAUUUUAUCCUCUAAACAAUACUUAUUAAAAAAAAAAAGGAGUAAUAAUCACUUGUCAAAUGCAUAUUAAAAAAUCAUCAAAAAAUAAUAAAAAAGUGACUAAUAAUCACUUGAUGUUUUUUCAAGUUUUUUUUAAGUAGGUUGUAUUUGUAAAAUGCAUUUAAAAACAGAAACUAUCGCACUCUCAAACACAUAAUAACAGAUGAUAUACAAAUAAUUUUAAUGCUUGUAUCUAUUGAUCUCAAUCAUAUAUAUUCUUGUUAUUUUAAUCCAAAUCACCUUAAUGCUUAUAUCUAUUUUCAUGCUUAUAUCUAUUGAUCUCGAUCAUAUCAUAUCAAAACUUAAUAUUUAUGCAUAACUAUGUUUGAUGUAAGAUAUUUAUAUUUAUGUCUUAAUGCUUAUUUGAGAUAUAUUAAAGGGAUAUUACAGGGAUAAUUGCAUAUACCUGUAAAAAAAAAACAAUCUUUAUCCAAAAAAUUCAUCAAAAUAUUUUUGUAUUUAUUUAUCUUUUAAAAAAAUCUUCAUACCAAAAAACCUAAAUAUCUAACUCUUACUUAAUACCAUAAACUAAUUUGGCUUUAUUCAUAUGAAAACAAACAUAUUUUAAGCUUUUAAAAUUGAAAAAAAAUAUUAAUAGGUUUUAUUUAUGAAAAAUUUCACAAGGUUAUAUCUCUAUAAUAUUAUAUGACAUAUAUAGUUAUAUUUUAUAAAAUAAGCUAUAUUUGAAUAUAGGAUAUAAUAAAAAAAAUUCAUCAUUACACUUCUAAGAUUUUAUUCUUUUUAUUGUAAGUGAUUAAAUAUUUAUAUUAAAUAUUUUUCAUAUAUUAGAUAAAUUUGAAAAAAAAAUUAAUUCAUUAAUAAAUUAUUUUCCAGUUUAUUUUUCAUAACAUAACCAAACACUGUAAAGUGUUUUGUAGUUUAUUUUUCAUAACACCACCAAAUAUCGUAAAGUAAUUCACUUUUCAGGAAUUCACUUUUCUAGAAAACCACUUUCCAAAAGGAAACUAUUUUCCUGCAAGCAAACAUGACCUAAUUAUUUAUAUACUUUCUAAACUCUAUGUUCUUCCAGAACAAAAAACUAAUUUGUUUUAACUCAUGAUUUAAAUAUAUAAAUGAGUGCAUUUUUAGAAUUUAGAUUCAAUAAAUCAUUGUUAUAAAAUCUUGUAAGGAAAAGAUUUCCCUUUGUAUUUAUAGUAGAAAUGGGGGAACAAACCUCUUACCUAUCAUUUCAGUCAACUAAAUGGGCCAUCGUCUACCACUAUUUUCAUCAUUUAGGUCACCUAAUUUGCUGCCAUCUAUAUAUAUAUAUAUAUAUAUAAUAAAAUAAUAAAUAAAAAAUAAAAAAACUAUCAAAAUUUCAAUCUUUCUAUUUUUGAAUCUUUUAAAUCAAUUUCCAUAUUCUGAGCACUCUAGCCUUAUACUGUUAUUAUUAUUUUUUUUAUUUUUUUCUGAUUAUAUAUUUGUAUAUUUAUAUUUAUAUUUAUUAUUUAUUUUUAUUUCCAAACAGAACAUCAAUCUCUCCCCCAUUUCCCAUCUUCUCACCUCCCAAUUCACAAAUUCUUCCCCCCCCCCCCUUCCGGCUAAUUACUCUCCCAUGGCUGCUUUGACUUCGAUCUUCGAUUAACGGUGGCCGCUGUGAGGCCGGUGAAGUACAUGUCAUCAUUGGCCCCAUCUUUGCUGGCAAAACCACCGAUUUACUCUGUCGUAUCGAAUCUGAGAGCAGCAGUGGCAGAAAUGUGGCAAUGAUAAAAUCAAGCAAGGACACAAGAUAUGCAAACGAUUCGGCGGUCACACAUGAUGGCUUGAAAUUUCCUUGCUGGUCUUUGCCAGAUCUCACCUCUUUCCAUCACAAGCUUGGAGAUGAUGAAUAUCACAAGCUUGACGUGAUUGGCAUUGACGAGGCUCAAUUUUUUGAAAACCUUUAUGAAUUCUGAUGCAAAGCUGCUAAUCAUGAUGGGAAAACUAUAAUUGUAGCUGGCCUUGAUGGGGAUUAUUAGAGGAGGAGCUUCGGAUCUGUGCUUGAUGUAAUACCGCUUGCUGAUACUGUAACAAAGCUGACUGCAAGGUGUGAACUUUGUGGCAAGCGAGCCUUCUGAAAACCUUUACCUUGAGGAAGACAGCAGAGACCCAGACAGAAUUGAUUGGAGGGUCUGAUGUCUACAUGCCUGUUUGCCGCCAGCACUAUGUCAGUGGGCAAGCAGUCAUAGAAUCAACAAGGAACGUCCUUGAAUCCUAUAAGGUUCCCACUAACUCCCAUAUUUAGGUAGCUGCAGUCAUGUAAUGUGCUGACUGGGAGCCCACGCGUGGCUUUUCCAUUAGCUAUCUAUUUUAUCUGCAGAUUGCAGUUUAUGUACAAUGCUGAAUUGGGGGCGUUCAUGGUUCCAGAUAAGUUGAAAACAUCAAUGUACUGAUCAUAAUAUAUAGUAUGGAAUGAGAUUUCUUACAUAAAAUCUUUGUUCAUUUACCGGUAAAUUCAUACAUUUUUCACUGGAAAAGUUCAUUAUUGGCACUUGAUAUAGACUGAAGUAGCUGAAUCCUCAUCAAUUAAUGAUAUCCCUGGCAAAUUUUUUUUUAAAAAAGAGGGAACGAAAUAGUAUCGUUUUGAGCGACACUGUUCCCCCUUCUUCUUCCCUGGACGUGCAGCAGGGGAAGAUAUAAUUUUUGUUUUUUCUUCUUUACUUCUUCCUGUGUCUCUCUCUCCCUGCCUGCUCCGCCAAAACCCAAAGCCCCACGCCCCCUCAUGAUGAGAAACCAGCGAAGCCGUGCCCUGCAAACCAAACCCAUUGGCCACCUCGUCCGGCACCGUGGCAGGGCAGGAAGGCCCCGCUCCCCAUGCGCAACGAUAGGACGGCGAUAGGGACGCCCCCGCUCCCCUUUUCCCUAUAAAUACCACUGUCAAUGCCAGCACAAGGGGGAGGAGAGAACGGAGAGAAAAGAAAAGAAAGGAGACGAAACAGAGAGAGGAAGGAAAGAAGACGGGGAAGUUUGAAACAGGGGAGAGGUACUGUGAGAGGGACGAGACCGAAACAGGAAGAGGUACCGUGAGAGGGACGAGACCGAAACAGGCAGAGGAACGUGAGGUGAAAAACAGACAGAGAGGAACAAGAAAGAAAGGGAAGCAUAACAGAAGAAGAGGAAAGAAAACAGAGGAGAAGGGAAGAGUAGUAACCUCUCUCUGCACCGCCGCCCGGAGCUUCUGUCCGUGAGUCACGUCCUCAGCCAGACCAGCAAGGCACCGCCUCCUCCGCGCCAGGUAACUUUGCUUUCCUCUCCAACUUUGCUUUCGUCUUUGGCUUCAUCUCCUCCUACAUGCAGAACGAAUAUCGCUUUGCAUGCAGGAGGAUGGGAGGGGCAAAAUAAUCCCCCCCUAAAAAAAAAAAAAAAAAAACCUGUUUUUCUUUUCUGGGUUGGGCUGGUUCUGGCCCAGCCCUGAUGACUGGGCCGGGUUCGGCCCAGACCAAAAGAAACAGAGAGGAUUGUGGGGCCGAGUCCGGCCCAGCCCAUAUAAUUAUAAUGUUAUAUAUUAUAUAUUAUAUAUAUAUGAAAAAAAAAUUCUGAAAAAUCCUUUUAAAAAUUUAUGAUUUUACCGUAUAUUUUUUUUUAUUAAAUUUGUUUAAUAUUGGUUUGUAUUUUUUAUACCGUAAAUAUAUAAAUCUGGUAUUAAAAUAUCAGGUUUUCGUCAAAACAUUGCAAAAAAUUUAUAAAACAAAAAAAAUAUUUUGUUUUUUCAUACAUAUGGCCAAGUCUCUCAAAAAUAAGAAAAAUCAUCACAUUGUAUUUCAUACAAUAAAAAAAUCAUAUUGCUUUUUUAUACAUAAAACACAAAAAAAAUAAAAUUCAAAAAUAGAUUUUAGCAUGCACUUUGGCUUUAAUAACUAGUUUUUAGAGCCAUGAGAACUAGGCUAAUAUUUCAAAAAUUCCAAAAAUAUUUUUGUUUUCUUUUAGUAUCUGAGAUUAUGAAUUUAUACGUAAAAUAUAUUCCUGAUAUUAAAAAUGUAGUUUGUUUUAUAUAGACGUUAGAACGGUUAGGUUUUUACCCGAUAAGAUAAAGAUCUCCUUACUGAGGAGGACUUUUCUUGAAUCAUAGACGGACCAACAAUUAGACAUAUAAUAACACCUUAGCUUUUUUAUCAGACAAUCGAACAAUGCAGUUUACCUUAGGUAAGACGUAUUUGGGGUGCUAAUACCUUUCUUUUAUGCAACCAGUUCCUGUACCCGAUCUCUGAGACCAGUUAGGGUUCCUAGUAACCCAAAAUACUAGGUGACGACUCUCUUUCUUAUUUUCCACCGAUUAAAAAUAAGGAAUCCUUGUCUCCCCAUAUUUCAUAUUUGAUAGAUACCUAGAUGAAGUGAAAUAUUUGCCGCGACGCCGCAUACGUGCGACAUUGACCCUCGUUAUGCAACCAUGUUGGACAUGGCUGGUUGAUGCCAUUUGUGUCCACACACAACAUUUAUGUGAAUCCAUAUAGCCUUUUUGCCAAUAGUUAUUUGAAUCCCUCCAUGCUUUGCAAAAGAUAAAUCCCAUUCAUAAAUAAGAUAAUAAGAUAAUUGAUGAAAUUAAUAGACAGUUCAUUAUUGAUAGAAAUAAUCUCUCACUCAACUUUAUUUUUUCAGUUCUACAGAAACAGAUUGAAUAUAGUGAAAAAGAAAAAAUUCAAGACUCUAGGUGCUGUAUAUAAUUGCUUGUGAAAAAGAAGAGUACAAGUUAUAAUACAAGAUGAAGUGAAGGGAUGGUAAGCUAGCUUUUUUUGUUUGUUUGGAAAAUUGGCUGCUUAACUCAAUUUUUUUUUGUUUUAUGUUUUGCUAGAUAGAUUAUAAGCUGUUACAAUAUUUCCAUGUGAGUUGUGGGUAGCAGCAUUGUUGCUAAAUUAACAAGGAUGAUCAAAAUCAUUUUAAUCGUAACAAUGACGUAAUUGUCCAUCGACCACUUCAUCAAAAACCUUGAAACAUAAACUAUUCGGUGAAGUUUAAGAAUUGGUUUUGACCAGUAACCAUAGAGCUUUGAAAUUAUUUACGAACGUAAUCGUAAUCGUAAUCAUCGUCAUCAUCUUCGUCUUGGUCAUAAACAUAUUGGUGUGAAAUGCUAGUAGUAUUGCCAAAGGAAACCUGGUCACCAACCAUUAGUGGUCGCCAAGUUGUUGAGCCAAGACUUGCUGAAAAUCCAUCAGGGUUUGCUAUAUAAUUUUUGGGUACGUAUUGUUGCACCACAAGAACUGAUGCAUGCGACGCGAAAUUUGAUGAAGCCAGUGUAUCCCCCAUGGUUCCCAAUUCCUGACAGCUAUUCCACUCUGAUAACCCCGAUGUGAGCACUGAUCGUGUUUUCUCCCCUCUUCCAACUAUAUAGAGAUCAAAAUCUGCAUCAUUUCGUCUAAUUUCCGCAAGAGUUUCAUCCCCAUUAUUCACCACUUUCUCUGUGUAAGUAAUGGACUCAUCAUCAAGAGUCUUGAACAUAAACUCGUAUGUAUAAUCAUCAUCAAGCCUCUUUUCCCUCUCCUCAAUCGUCUUGGAACUGAAUAACUCAUCAUGACUGUUUGAGCCGUGUUCUGGAGUGGAUUGUGCUGCUAUUCUACCUGGAAGAAAUCGAAGCACCGUUAAACUUAUGCCAGGAUGCCCUGCCAUUCGCCACGCAUAAGCCAAUGCCUCCCUGUCAUCAGGGCCACCAAUGAAGAUCAUAGCAAUUCGGUGCCCUUUUGAACUAGAACUGUUCCUUGCGGGACCUGUUUGCAUGAUGGAACCGAGUCCACGAUCAACCAGUAGACCCACAGAACAUGUUGCAUUUUCCAGCACAUAUUGGUUCAUAGCUGGAAAAGUCGAUUUUGCAUCCUCUACUCGGCCGUCUGCAGUUAAGACUGUUUGGAAUGGUAUGAUGAUGAGGGAAACUCGCUUGUCCAAUGCAAGGUUGCAAAUAUCCUCAUGCAUAUUCUCAUAAGGUGAAAUUGCAGUGAUUGUUUGAACCGACACAGCUCCGUUUCUCUUCUCGUAUGAUUUAAAAGCAAAGAUAAUUUGGUCCGAUUCUGAUUUUGCUCGGAUAGGAUUGCUCAUGCUUGUCAUGGAGUGGUCAUGAACAAUUAGCAUCGCUGUGUUCCGUCCAGUGAGCUCUACCAAGUGGACGGCGAUGACACAGAUAGGGAAGUCUGGGCCGGCAUUAGAGGCUUCAAGGAGGCUAAUCAUGCAUGGUGCAUCACGAUUUGAAAGAACACAUGCAAGGAUUUUAAAUUCUACCCCAUUUACCAGUACACUCUCAAUGGUCCUGUGCUUGUAUCUAAGCAAUUUUUUUCUAGGCUUAUAUGUGGCAGCCACUAUUGGCUCCACCAAACAAGUCAUGGCCAAGGCUGAAAACACCAUUAUGGUAAAUGUUUGGUUGUUUAGAACCUGGGAAAUGAGAUGAUCUUUAGUUAAUUUCUGUAAUUAAGAAAUUCUUGAUCUCCUAUACUAUAUAGGAAAUAUGAGAAUUCUGCAGAACAUGCAUGGUUCAUACCUUAAUAUUCCGCCCGGCAUUAAUGAUAAUGAUCGACAUAACUCCUUUAGUGUUCAUUAUUACUCCAAGAGCAAAACCAUCCUCCAUUGGCUUGUUGUGGAGCAGAAAGACGAGCAAUGUGCUCAGUAUCUUUGCUCCAAAACUAAGGAAUAUGAUUAUAAUUAUUGCAUACCAUGGAGUUUCUUUCAGCAUAAAACCAGCAUCAGUUCGGGUCCCUGAGGUUAAGAAGAAGAGGGGCAUCAUAAUCCCAGAGACAAAAUCAUCAAGCCUUUCCAUUAGUUUCAUUCUGAUAACAUCUCGACGAGGCAUAAUAACUCCUAACAUGAAACUACCAACCAUAGAAUGCAAACCAAAAGCAUCAGUGAUGAAUCCGAAAAACGCAAUCCAACCCAAAACAAACCAUAUAUGUUGUUCAGUGAAGUCGUCUCCUUUGACAGCAUGGUUAGCUAUCUUUGAGAUUACCGGACGGAUCACAAAACAACAGAGUAAAACGAAAGCAAGGAUAAAUGGCAAAACAUAAUAUGGGUGAGCAUUGAGCAAUGACAUUGCAACCACAAGAAGAAUCCAAGUAAAGAAGUCACUGCUAACAGCUGAAGACAUGGCCAAUCUUCCCAUAUCGGUGCGAAGGAGCUUGAGGUCUGUGAGAACUUGAGUAACGUCAGGGAAGUUGGUAGCAGUGAGAGUAAUAGCCCAGAAUAUGGAGCCCUUAAAGCUGCUGAUUUCCUUUGCAUCACUAUCAAGCAGUUGUAAUAGAUAAAAUAAGCCAAACCCAAAGCCAAGUGGAAUCAGAAUUCCAGAAAUGGCGAUGCGAAUAGCCUCCGAUCCACUGUUCAUGAUGGGUUUUAGGUCCAUUUCUAACCCAAAUAGGAACAUGUAGUAAACGAGUGCCAAGUUUGCAAAUGUUUCCAACACCUUGACAGCCUUAAAAGGAAGGACGUGAUCGAAAAACAACGGGGUAGUUCCAAGUGCUGAUGGGCCUAGCAACACCCCAGCCUGUGCAUACACAAUCGGCAAUCCAACAUAAUUGAUACCAUCAAUUAUCCAAUGUGCAUGCAUAUGUUUUUUUUUUCUUGUUACAAAAGAGAGAAUUAAACUCAAGACUUUUGAGAUGGAAAAGAACACUAUACUACAAAUGCAUGCAUAUGUUAAUUGUUUGAUACAAGAUAAUUUUUGUUAAAAACAUAGAUUUAAAUUAAGUAAUGAAUAUAUAUAUAACUUUUGAUUCAAUUAUUAAAAUUAGACUAAAUUUUUUUUAGAAAAUUCUAUAAAUUCUAUUUCCUAUAAGGUUAAUGUCCCAAAUAAGGCUUAAAAUUUUCUGCUUGAGAUUUGUCAUAUUUUUCUAGUUAAUUUAGGAUUUGUUUUCCUAUAUAUUUAGUUUAGAGUUUCUUUAUUAUUUUCUUUGUUUUAUUUAAAACUUUUUUUUUGUGUUACUUAAAAAACAUAGUACAAAGAAAAAACAAUAAAUUAAGGUAGUAAAAGAAAGGCUAUAUGAAAAGAGCUUGAGAAACCCUAAAUGUACACCAUUUUCAUAAUAAUAAAGAAUACUCUAAAGUUUAUUUUCAAUAAACAAAAUUGAAUAUUACAACUCUCCUAAUAUGCUUAAAUAAUAUAUAAAAAAAAUAAUCUAAAAUAGAACAUGAAAAAUAAUAAAAGAUUUUUAAACUAAAUAAGACGUAGAAAAAUAGAAUAAAAUUUAUGUACUAACCAUAUUUGAAAGUCUUAUAGACCUCAAAUGAUUACAAAAAAUUGACUUUAUAGGAAACAAAACAUUUAAGAUCUCAUGGAAAUUUCUUAACUUGAUUCAAUAAUUAGAUGAAAGUUAUUUCCGUUGCUUGGCUGCACACAUUAUCGUUCUUCCCACAUACUUGGAGGUUUAGCCUAGUUGCUUACAAGGUUUCAUGACUCAAAUUCGAUGAAAUGCACAAGAAAAAAAAUAACUUCUGGUAAAUGUAGUAGAAGUCCUUUUAGUUAAAAUUAAAGCAUUGUUUUUCCAUAAGUUUUGAUCUGUAUAUUUACGAAUCAUUGUAUUAGCAUGAAGAAGGAUAAAAGAGCAAUCAACAUUAGUAAUUGGCCUACAAAAUGAACCAUGAAACAGCAAUUAACAAGUUUGACCUUACAGUUAUAAGAGCAACUAUGCUGGGUUGUCGCAGAGGCCUGAGGAUCAAGAGGAGAAGGCGAGUGGUGAACAGGACAACCGAUAGUUGGAGGACAAAGAGAGGGAGGGAUGUCGUCAAAGCACUUGUACUUUGGAAAUAAUUGCCACCAGUUUGAUUUACGUAGUAACAUGCUUCCGAACCAUCCUUGGUACGAUUUACUAAAUAUCCAGAUUCAGCCAUGGCGAUUCCAAGUAUUUCAAAACUUGUAAUUCAGAACCAAAACAAGUUAAGGAGAUUGAUGAAAAGAAAAUUUUGAGAAGGCAGGCAUAACCAGCUAGAAAUUAAAGUGAGAUAUCUAAUUUGUUGGCUGCAACAUUUUCUUUGUUACAAUAUCAUAGCUGUUUUCUUUUUUUUUACAAAGGAGAGCGUGAAACUAAGAUUAAUUUCUCGCGCGGAAGAGAAGAACAUGCAUGCCUAUUGAACUACCAGGUUAUUGCCUUAGCUGUCCUCACCUGUUAAUUAGUUUUCUAGUCAGAGUUGGUCAUUGUUAUAGCCAUCAAAGAAACGCGAAGAAUCACGUAACCAAAAUAGAAAAAAUUGCAUCAUCAUGUUUUCCAAAAUUAGGCAAAUACAACAUGGAAAAUAGGCGAUUAAUGAGGACUAUCCCAAUUCUUAGCCCCGAAGUAUUUCUCUGUUUAUAUAUAUAUAUAUAUAUAUAUAUAUAUAUAUAUAUAUAUAUAUCUGUGUGUGUGUGUGUGUAAUGCAAGAGAGUUGAGAAUUACAAGUGCCGCUAACACAAACACACAAACACAUGUUACGUUUUCUUCUAUUUCCAAUAUCUUGUUUUAGUAUAAAGACAAUGAUUGUUAGCCUUCUAACGAAAUGACCAGUGAUACACCGUAAUUCAGAUCAAAUUUUUAAUAUAAAUAAAAUACCUAAGUGUUGUUGAUGUGAUUUAUAAAAUAUGAUAUAUAGUAAAAAACACAUUUUUUAAAUAUUAAAAUAAUGAUAUAUUAUAUGAUAUUUUUUUAACUUAUUAAAUUUGCAACUCGGGUCAUAAGAUUAUAAUAAAUCUAUAAAAAGAAAAUCAAUAUAAAUUAUAAAUAUAAAUUUUUAAUUAACCCAAUGUUGAGGGAAGAACUUGAAAAAAUUAAACAUAAAAAAGGAUGAAAAAAAGCCUACAUUAAUCAAUCUGUCAAACUCGUGAUCCAAGUCAAGAGAUCGAGAUAACCCCAUAUAAAAUAAAUAAAAAAAUCAAUUAGAAAACAACAUAAAGAAAAUAUAUAAAGUAAAUUGAGAAAAAUUAUGAAGCCCUACUUUUAAUAUAUUUAAUUUUAAAGGUUGAAAUCGAGGAAAAAAAAACUAAAUUUACGAGACCAAUAUAUAAUCCAAUAUAAAGAAAAUAAGAAAAAAAAUAAGAAGCACAAUUAUUAAAUAAUCUAAUAUUGAAAGAUAAAAUUAAAAAAAAAAGAUUGGAUUGGUGAAUAGUGAAAUUAUUUUUUAAAAAACUUAAUUAUUUUUAAAAAACUUUUAUUUGUUUUCAAUUUUAACAUUCAAUCCUAAUUUGUUAUAUAUUAUUUUUUACGACUUGGUCCUUAUUUUUUUUAUUUCUAAUUUUUUUUCCUUGACCCUUUUGUAAGAAUUUUAUUGGAUUUCAAUUUCAUCUUUCAAUCCAAAUUUAUAAUAUUUUUUUUUAAUUUGAUCAUUAUUCUUUUGAUUUUUUUAUCCUUUUGUUAAAGUUAUUUUUCUUUUCAAUUUAAAACCUUCAAUAAAAAAAUUAUGAUUGCCCUUUAAUUUUAAUUUUAAUUUUCAUCCCCAUUCUUUUUGGGCCGAUAUCAGCCCAUUACUUAUCAGGUCGAGGUAGGCCCAACCCUUUUUGGGCUAAGAUCAACCCAGUUAGCUGGACUUGCCCAACCUAUAUUUUAUAAUAAUAUAAUAUAAUAUAAUAUAUAUUGUAAUAUUUAAUAUUAUAUAUUAAAAAAACAAAAAAAAUCCUUUAAAAAAUUUAUGAUUUUCUUGCGUGUUUCUUUUAUAUCAAUUUUGUGUAAUAUUGAGCUGUAUUUUUACAUUGUAAGAUAUAAACCUGUAUUAAAAUACCCGGUUUUCUUCGAAAUAUUUCUAAAAAAAUUAUAAAAAAAUCUCAAAAAUUUUAAAUUAAUUUCCUUUUUUAAAAGACAAAAAAAAUAAAAAUAUUUUGUUUUCAUGCAUACAACCAAAUCCUAAAAUGUUUCCAAGCAUAUUUUCAUAAAAAAAAUUGCAUCUUUCUCAUGUUUUAAAAUGCAAAAUGAAUAUCUUAACUAGUUUAUAAUUAUUUAUUCAUUAGGGUUUGACUAAAAUAUCAAAAAUAUUUUUUUUUCAAAUCUUUUUAGGGUUUAGAUGUAAACUUUAAUAAUUUGUAAGGUGUAAAACUACAUAAUAGAGUACACUCUCAAAUAUUAAAGAUACAAGGUAUAAAAUAAAUGUGAUGCUAAAGUUUAAACUUUGAAAUGGUUAGGUUUAACUCGAUGAGAUAAAGACUUUCUCACCAAGAGAGAUCUGCCUUAAACCUUAGAAAAGGCCAACGAAUAAAAAUCCGACCUAUAAAAAUAAUUAAAUAACAAUGUAAUUUAUCUUAGUUAGGGUGCACUAAAUGUGAUAUAUCUUCUCCUUACACAACUAGUUCUUUACCUAAACUCUCAUAAACCAUAAAUUUCUAACAACCAUAAUAAUAAAUAAUAACUUCUAAACCUUAAUCAUAAUUUUAUAAUUACCUCUUCAAGCGCAAUAAAAGCUUUGCCAUAGCACUACGACGUCACAGGGCACCCGCAACAAUUAUCAUAUACAUCAAAACUCGAAAGCCUUUAUUUAUUACCCCGGCUAUAUAUUUAAUUAGUCAAGGAUUAAAGAUCUCCAUUUAUUUGUAUAAUUACCAAUACAUUGACAAGAUGUCAUUGAUUAUUCUUGACACAUGGAGAGUAUUACAAACUAUUCAAGCCUUCUAAAUAUAAAAGGAAAGGCGGGACCAUCCAAGACUAGCAAUCUCCUUUCAUUCUCAACCACAAUACCAGCAUCCCCACACAAAGGCCUAGGACAAACUUCCGUGAGACAAUUUGGACACCAUUGAAAAUUGUAGAGGCCUUGAUCAUUCUUGACGAUGUUGAAGUGCCAAGCAUUAGAAGAAGGAUUAGGAUCCGUUUCAGCCAAGAUAUACCUCCUCCUCGUCUCUGGAUUCUGCUCACCUACCAUCCAUGCAGUAGACUGAGCACAAAUUGUUACACCAGUGAAUGCAACAGUGAAGUCCCUUGUCUCCCUUACAACAGUAUCCGCAACCCGUGGUGUGAAUAUGACUGAAGUGCCUGGGGACACAACAGGUGCAAGAGGCUCUUGACCAACAAAGAGGGGACAUAUUGAACCGUUGUUAAGAUUAACAAGGGUUAAGCCACCGGCAACAUCAGUUACAGCUGGAAGCACGUAGUAUUCUACACCACUUCUAAGAGGUUGGCCAUCUGCAUCAAGCACAGCAGGCCAGGUUUGAGCCAUUGUGGAUGUGGCCAUGAGUAGCCAUAUAAAGCUCAAGCUUCCAAUCAAUCUCAACAUGGCUGCCUAGAGCUAGCUAUCUCGCACAACAAAAAAGAAGUAAAUAUUAUAUGUGCUGGUUCUUAAAAUUAAGACGCUAUGAGCAAUUUGUAAUCCUUCUUUUCAUCCUUUGCUUGAGAUUUGCCAUCUUUUUAUAGUGGAAGGAGUCGACAUACCACAUUUCUCUAUUACGGCACGGCAACAAAAAAGUCCUUGGGUAAUUAUCCAUUUUCAUCUGUUGCAUUGUUAUCUAAUGAAUCCAGUUUAACGGUGUCUUUAAUACACUUAGGGAUAUUGUCUCAUGGGUGGACUAAUUAUGAAGAGAUCUGUUGGAGCAAGUAAUCGAAGGAGGAAAACAGAGGAAAUAUGCUCCCAUAGUCCCAUGUGCCAUUUAAUUUAAAAAAAAUAUAAAUUCAUUAUAUAUUUAUCCCAUAGAUAUAUUUAUUUUAUGUUUUUGUUCUUAUCCUUUUAACCAAAUUUUUUUUUUUUGUAUCUGUUUUUAUUUUUAUUUGUUCGGCGAUACUAAUCAAACGUUGUACAAAAUUAACUCGAGGAACAGUGUAAAACCAAAAAAAUGGCAGCUGAAAUACUUAGACUGUAAGCUUUGAAAUACUGUCUCAUGGGUAGACUAAUUAUGAAGAAAUCUGUUGGAGCAAGUAAUCGAAGGAGGAGGAGAACUAUUCACAACCGGAACAAAAUUAAUGAUCGCUUCCAAAUUCUUUGAGCUGGUUAAUUAUCAGGAACUAGGUAACGGGAAAAUGCUAGUACCUAGAAAGUCAUUAUCAAAUUCAUAAAGGAUUUGAAUGUUCAGUUUGACCAAAUUUCUAGUGUAUACCCACAAUUAAAGCAAUUGAAUUUCCCAAAAAAUCGUCUACUUUCAAUACCAUGUGUGUGGAUAUGCUAGAGAAAAGUCUGUGUUGUCUUAAUUAGCCAAUUAAUUAAUUAAAGACAAUAAAACAAGGGUUGGUUGGAGCAUACUAUUCAUUUUGAACAAUUCCUAGUUUUACUGCUGGAAAUUAUCAGACAAUGAGGAAUACUCAACUCUUUAUGCUCUUGCUACAGUUAACCAAUCCCUUUCAGAUUACUAGUCCAACCCAAGAAUAACUAUAUUAAUGUCUUGAAGUUUCUCGCAACGCUAUAAGAUUUUGCACUCUGUGCAGUUUCUUAAAGCUCCUCUAGUCUCACAGCUAGAAAUUAGUUGAUUAAUUUGCAAGGAAUUUCGCAAUAACUUGGUUAAAUCUUUGCAUUGUUUGGCAAUGUUUCGAAGUCUUGAAACAUUAGUAAGAUUCUAACUUAUAUAUAUAUAUAUAUAUAUCUGCUAUUUUAGAUCAGUAUAUUGCUUAGGCUAUUUAUUUUAUGGCAUUUUUAAUAUAUUUUUGAUAAUUAUCCAAAAAAAAACCCUCCUAUUUUAGAUUCUCUUUUCUAUGCGGAUCCUCCCACGUUUCCUACUAAAACAAAAACAUGUUUCCCUUAACUUAUAUCUACUCUUAAUGUUUGUUGUUGGAGAGAAGUAAUUAAGCAAUCAUUCCCAUUCCAUAAAGAUAAUUCUCUAAUUAAAGCACAACAGCAAAGAUAGAUAACUAAAUUGAAUUAUUUGAUUAUGUUUUUAAUUCAAGUACUAGAAUUUAGUUAUUAAUUUCAGCGAGUGAUUUCGUUUGAUCGUCAAAUACCAAGUGUUCUAUACCUUCCACCUUCCAUUUCAUGAUAUCCACCUGAACUAUAUACACUAAAGUGGAAUGUUGAUGGUUUUUCUUUUGGCAAACGUGGUCCUACUGUUAAUGGAGGGGUUCUUCAUGACCAUAGUGACUUUGUGAUGAGUUAUUUAUCUGCACAUGUGGGAAUUAAAAAUUUAAAUGAGGCUGAAUAUUUGCUUCUUGUUAUUAAAGUGCUUGAAUUAUCUUCUUCAUUGGAGGAUUUUUCUUAAAGAAAUUUCAUCUUUCAAUCUGAUUAUAAGUGAAUAGAAUAUGUAGUUUUGUGGCUUGGAUCUAAUUAUCCCAUGUCGUGAUGUGGUGUCUCCAAUAUAUUGUGACCUUUUUUUGUGCUUAAUACUGCCUCCAUUCUAUGCUUCAGUUUUGAUUCACAGUUUUGAAUGUCUUUGUGGGUUUAUAGUAUCACAGCUCCAGAGAUUUUUUAUAUCGGUCAUGGUGUUUGCAAUUUUUUUUUUUUUAUUUCAUCACAGGUGUUGUUAUGCUUAUUCUUUUAUAUAUAUAAGAUAACUAAAUUGAAUUCUAAGCAUCAAGAAAGAUCUCCAUUUAUAUUCCUGAUAUUACAAUGACACCAAGGCACUUAUUCUUCUAUGGAGAAUAACUUAAGCGCUUCUAAAUAUAAAAUGAUUUAUUUGUACUAUUACAAUGCCAGAACGUCAUCUACUUAUAUUUUGCAAAGGAGAAGAACUCAAGCCCUUCUAAAGCUGAAAGGAAAUGCAGGGCCAUCUAUGGUUAAGAACCUCGUUCCAUUCUGUUCCAGAAUACCUGCAAUCCCACAUCUUGGCCUCCCACAAGGUGGAGGAGUGUUGCAUUCUGGGCAAUAGCCAAAAGUAUAGGGACCUGGUGCUUGAUUACGGCUAAUACUAAAGAUGGCUGGUUCAUCACCAAUCACAAUAAGUCUCCUUGUCGUCUCUGGGUCUUCCUCGCCUAUACCCCAUGUAGUAUCUGAAACACAAAUCGAAGCAGCUGAAAAUGCAACAGUGAAUUGAGUAUUUUCAGUGAUGACAGUCUCUCCAGAAUCUCUUGGGGUGAAGAUGACUGGAAGGCCUUGAACAUUACCAGAUCCAAUAGGAACCUGACCAACAUAAGAUGGACAAGAUCCAUUGCGAGUCACUAGAGUUAAACCACCAGCAACAUCAGUUACAGCAGGAUCUACAUAGUAUUCUACCCCUCUUGUAACAGGGUUUCCAUCAGUAUCAAGCACAGGAGGGCCCUGAGCCAAGCAUGAUACAGCCAUCAGUAGACAAAUGAAGCUCAAACCUUUAAUCAACCCCAACAUGGCUGCCUGUGUCAAACAACAAAAUUAAAUUGUACGAGCUUAGUUAUCAACCUUGAACUUGAUGAGAAAUUGUGUAAUUGUAAUGUCUUUGCACUUUGUGGUCUAUGCAUGGUAGCUAGAUUUUUAUAGGAAAUCUGGCGCAGGCAGGCAUGCGACUUUUCUACAAGAUAUCACAAAGUAAGCACGGCAACGAAAAGUCCACUUGUCUAUCCUAAUCAAUUACUGCUUUUACCGACCUAAUAAACCUUUGCAUCCUACUCUUUAAUUAUGUGUAUAUGGAUAGCAGAAAAAUUCAGAUAUUUGAAGUUUCAAUUUCUGAAAAGAUGAGUAGAAUGAUAGACAAUGAGAGUAAAAUGACUAUUAAUUCGCUCAAAUCUAUCCCUUCUACGUGAAAAAUGGUUCUAAUUAGCCCAUUGCUAGCUCUUAACCCAACCCUCUACCGCUAUUUAUGAUGUAUAAUUUGCUGGGUACUGGCUAAAUGUGGUAGUCUACCAAAUAGUAGCCAAUUAGGCAAUGAAGUCUUACAAGAAAUCCAUCACAAAGUCAAUAGGGGUUUUGUACUUGGGAACGAAUUUCAAUUGAGAAAUAAAUUUAAUACGUUUGGGCAAAUUGUGAAGGGAGAGGCUUAUCUUCAUAUUUGACUCAGCAUUACUACACACCAACACGCUGUCCAUGACGAUGCUCCCUCAAAUUCAUGAACUUCUAGAUAAAUUUUCUAUUACGUGAUAUAUAGAUAACAACCUAAAAAAAUCAAAGACGACAACAUCCUUUAAAAAUAGUACCUCCAAAUCAUAUAUUAUAAAAUUCUAGCUCCUAACUUGGGAUACCAGUUUUGUUAUCGAGACUUUUCUUUCACUGCAAUUUGGAAUUAGAAUUCAUCGAUGUUGUCUAUUGUGUCUUGCGUCUCCUCUAAUCAAUAAAUUUAUUAUAAAAUGCAUAUAUAUCACAUUUGUAGUUGUUUGUCGGCAUAUAUAUAUAUAUAUAUAUAUAUAUAUAUAUAUAUAUAUAUAUAUAUAUAUAUAUAUAUAGUAGGAUAUGGCAUGAAAAUAUUAUACUAAACUUGACCGAUUAAAAGGAUGAAAAGCUCCUGCAAACACUAAACACUCAAGAAUUCAAUAUAUAUCUCUUAUCUUGGCAAUCCUCUCAACAAUCUUAAUUAGCAUUGCGUGAUUCCUUUUCUUUUAUCUUUUAAACAAGGCCUUCUUGAGUGCAAAUAAGUUGUCUAUAUAUGACUGUUGGAACCAUAUCUUUUAAGACAAGUUUUACUCUGCGGAGUAUAUUUUGUUUUCGUUGACAAAUGUCGACCAGCACAAAUAUUUUUCUUAACUUGUGCAAAAUAAAAGUUAUUAAGUUUUUUGUUUUGUUUUGAUAAUAUCUUUCUGUUGGUUAUAAUACAUGAUGUUUCCAUUACACAUUGCAUUUAGAUUUAUUUCUCUAAAUAAGAUUUUUUUUAGGUAGAUUAGAGUCCAUUUUUGCCUAUUGACAAAUAAUAAACUAAUUAUUUUGACAUUUCUUCCACCUUAUCUUGAGUUGGUCAAUCUUCAUUUUCAUUAUCUAAGAUCUUUGAUCUCUUUUUGAGCAGCAUGUAUAAAGAAGGGAAGCCUGUACAAAGAGAGGCCUGGUAAUUACAAAGCUUGGUUGGAAUUAAUUUCCUUGCUUUCAAAUUAAUUUCUUUGUUGUCGUGCUCUCGAUCCUUAAUAGACCUGUACUUUGAUACCCCAAUUAUUGGUUGAGAUUAAUUUCCUUGUUGUCAUGCUUUCUUUAAUCUACCUAUGCUCUGAUACCCUAAUUAUUGAAAACACUAAACAUUCCUUAUAUUCGUAGAGAGAUUAUAGGAUAAAGUUAAAUUAUUCUAUUCUAACAAGGAUUCUAAAUACUAUUUUAAGGAUUCUAAACAUAAAUACUUUUAAGAUUAGGAUUCCUACUUGAUCUAGGAGUCCUUCUCGUAUCUCAACAAAAGCCACGAAGAAACUAAAAGUAAAAAAUUCUCAAUGCUCAAAAUGGCACAGGGAAAGAAAGAUCUCCAUUUAUUUGCUGAGGAUAAUCAGCAACUUAUGCCCUUCUAAACAUGAAAGGCUUGAUUUUAUUUACUAUUACAAUGACAAAAUGCCAUUUCUAUAUAUUUAUUUAUGUUAUGGAGAAUGAACCUAAUUAGCCCUUACAAACAUAAAAGUAAAUUCAGGACCAUCUAGGACUAAAAAUCUCGUUCCAUUUUGAAUCAGAAUACCAGCAGUUCCACACGUUGCCCUACCACAAUCUGGUUCGUCGACACAUUGUGGGCACCCUUGGAAAGUAUAGGAACCUCCUAAUUGAUUCCUGCUGUUAAUUUGAAAGUAGGAUGGUUCAGCUCCAGUCACAACAAAUCUCCUUCUCGUCUGUGAAUCUUCGCCACCUAUCGUCCAUGCAGUGUUUCGAACACAAGUUGAAACCCCUGAAAAUGUAACAGUGACCUCUGUAGAUUCAGUGAUGAUAGUCUCUUGAGGAUUUCUUGGUGUAAAGAUGACUGGAAUGCCUAGUCGACCGGAUCUAGCAGAUUCUUGACCAACAUAAAACGGGCAAGAUCCAUUGCGAGCCACUAGAGUUAAACUACCAGCAACAUCAGCCACAGCAGGGUCUGCAAGGUAUUCUACACCGCUUCUAAGAGGUUCACCUCCAGCAUCAAGCACAGGAGGGCUUUGAGCCAUAGUGGAUAUGGCCAUUAGUAGCCAUAAGAAGCUUAAACUUCCAAUCAACCUCAACAUUACAAGAAAACAGUACUGUGCUGUUUGUGCUUAGAAACUGAAGAACUUGGUACGAAACUGAUCGAGUAAUGAGUUCGCUUUUCAAGGUAUAGAAUAUGUGGGCUAGAUAUUUAUCGGAAAUGUGGUACACACACGGUGGCAUGCGGCAGUUUACAAGAUUUGAACAAUGGAGGCACGGCAACGAAAAGUCCAUUUCUCGUAUCGUAAUUAUUGUUGUUUGAACGAACAAGAUAACCCUAUCCUGUGACCCUGUCUGUACAUGGAUGACAGUAAAGUAGGAAUUAUUCCAAGUCGAAUUUCUGAUGAGGAGUAACGUUUGAGAUAGAGAGAGAACGUCUCCCAGCAUAGCCUAAUUGUAAUCGUUUUCUGUAUAUUAUUAUUAAUGUUGUUAUUAUAUUAUUAGGAAGUCCAAAAAAUCUUUGCUAUGAUUGGAGAGUAGAGUCCUCGAUCUUUUAUAUGAGAAUUACGAAAUCUGAGCUGGUUUAUAUAAAAACAUAUAGAUUUUCUAUCUAUUCUGAAAAAAAAAAAUUAUUGAGUUAUCAAAGAUUACCAAUCAAUUUAAAUCAAUUAUUUUUAAUAAAAAUAAUUUUUUUUUUGUGUUCAAUCAUUAAAUUUAAAUUAGAUUUGACUAGAUCAACUAGAUCAUAAAAAAUUCAGUUAGACCAAUCAAGUUUUACCAAGUCAAUAUUUUAUUGGUUCAAUUAAAAAUUAUAUUUGAAUCAGAUCUCAAAUCUCAAAUUAACUCGCUAGAUCGGACAAAUUUAAUAACAACUAAUGCUUAAACUUAGUUUUUUUAAUUAAAAAAAUUAAAAAAUGGUAUACUUAAUCUAACAAUUGUAUAUUCGUGGCUUGCUAUAAAGUUAGAGUCUUAUUAAUGAGUUCUCUUUCUCAUCUGCAAUCAUGUAAUAGGAAAGAAUUACUCAUAUGUUUUAUGAUUCGAAAUCUGUUGCUUUAUCAAGUUUGUGUUCGGCUAAUUCUAGCGAGGUGGUAGGAACUUGUAACAAAACCAAAUUCAGAUUUCGUAUUUGGGCCAAAUUGCAAUACUUGGGCCACUUUAAUUGACCAGGAAAGAAGUUGCCCACUUGGGCCGCCAUAAUUGACCCACGAAAGAAGUUGCCCACUUGGGCCGCCAUAAUUGACCCACGAAAGAAGUUGCCCAUUUGGGCACGUUAUCAUAGGUCAGAUCCAUAUCCACAUCGGGCCCAUGUUUGUUUGAGCAGUUCCUCUCAGUCAACUUGGCAAGAGAAAAAAUUCAAUCAUUAGUUUGGCAUGUACUGCACUUCUAACAUGAUUUCAUGGCUGUUGGAAAAUCCGAUCCCCAAACAAGACAAGUAUGUGCAAUCUGGUCCUAAUUAUACAUGUGCAACAAUUGAAGUUUUGAUAUGAAUUUAUAAAGCACAAUUUGCAUACGAGCUUCAUCCUAAUCAUGUACAAUAGUCACAGCCCUCACAGGACAAUAAAAUUAAUGAUUGAAAUAUUAUUUUAAAGAAGAAAUCAUUUAGAUAUACAAGAGGUAGAUUACAUUUUUUAUUCUAAUUCUUUUAUUUGUAUUUUUUAAUUUACAUGUAAGUAUAUAUGCGAUCAUAGGAUAACUCGAGUUGACAAGUUUUUCUUCAUAGUUUAGCUCUUGAGAGUGGUUAUUUAUUUAUAAAUCGUGUCAAAAAGUAUAUUUAAUAUACAUAUGUGUAUAGAAAGAGAUUUAGAUAUACCAUAAUUUAAUAAUAGUAAGUAUUAAUAAUUAUAUAUUAUCAUAUACAUCUAAACUCAAAAGCCUUUAUUUAUUGCCCAAGCUAUAUAUUCAAUAUUAGUCAAGAAUUAAAUAUCUCCAUUUAUUUUUAUAAUUAGCAAUGCAUUGACAAGAUGUCAUUGAUUAUUCUUGACACAUGGAGGCUAUUACAAGCUAUUCAAACCCUUCUAAAUAUAAAAGGAAAGGCGGAACCAUCCAAGACCAGCAAUCUCCUUUCAUUCUCAACGACAAUACCAGCAUCCCCACACAAAGGCUUGGGACAAACUCUGGUGAGACAAUUUGGACACCAUUGAAAAUUGUAGAGGCCUUGAUCAUUCUUGACAAUAUUGAAGUGCCAAGCAUUAGAAGAUGGAAUAGGAUCCGUUUCAGCCAAGAUAUACCUCCUCCGUGUCUCUGGAUUCCGCUCACCUACCCUCCAUGCAGUAGACUGAGCACAAAUUGUUACACCAGUGAAUGCAACAGUGAAGUCCCUUGUCUCCCUUAUAACAGUAUCCGCAACCCGUGGUGUGAAUAUGACUGAAGUGCCUCGGGACACAACAGGUGCAAGAGGCUCUUGACCAACAAAGAGUGGACAUAUUGAACCGUUGUUAAGAUUAACAAGGAUUAAGCCGCCGGCAACAUCAGUUACAGCUGGAAGGACGUAGUAUUCUACACCACUUCUAAGAGGUUGGCCAUUUGCAUCAAGCACAGGAGGCCAGGUUUGAGCCAUUGUGGAUGUGGCCAUGAGUAGCCAUAUAAAGCUCAAGCUUCCAAUCAAUAUUCUCAACAUGGCUAUAACAGGAAUAAACUAUAUAUUUCAGCAAAUUUUUUGGAAUUGGGACU